UUUUUUUUUGGUUAUUUGUUGGGUUUUUCUUAAAUAUAAGACAUACACUGCCAAACACAUAUUCCGGCGACCACAUUUUCAACGUAACACUAUCAAAGCAAUUGCCUUUAGAGAAGUCUAUUAUUUACCAAGAUAUAUUGAUGAUAAUUUAAUCAAAUACUGAUAGAUAAUUUAAGGACUCAAUUAAAAAUAUAUUAUUUUUAACACGAAAUGGAUUCUUACAUUUAACAAAAGAAAACUACCAAUCAAAUUAGAAUGUAAAGGUAAAGAAUUACAAUAAAAGUGUAAACUAUUAACAUUUACCAUAAAAAAUUUGAAACUUUGUAUAAAAAUAUACAUAUAUAUAUAUAGGUGUAAUAAUGAAUUUGAAAUAGCUACUCUUAUAAUUGGGUUUGGUUCGGUUGUUUUCUGAUUAAAACCAUAACCAAACCAAAUUUAAUCGGUUUUUAAAAUUCAAAACCAAACAAAAAAUAUCGAUUUUUUAGUCGAUUUGGUUUGCUUUUCGUUACCAAUCAGACUAGAACAUAAAGGUAAAGAACUAUAUUAAAAGUGCAAACUAUUAACAUGUACCAUAAAAUUUUUGAAACUUUAUAUUAAAAUAUACAUAUAUAUAAGUGUAAUAAUAAAUUUAAAACAGCUAAUCUUAUAGUCAGUUUGGUUCGAUUUUUUUCUAAUUAAAACCAAAAUAAAAUCAAAUUUGAUCGAUUUUUAAAAUUCAAAACCAAAACCAAAUCAAACAAAAAAGUAUCAACUUUUUAAUCGUUUUGGUUUAAUUUUCAAUUUGGUUCGAUUUUUCGGAUUUUUAUGAACACCCAAAAUUAUUUCAUAACACUUCUUUUUCUAUUUAUGGGAAGAAUACAUCUUUUGACUUUUGAAAGUAGUUAUUGCUCCUCUUGAAAGUUAUUUUCCGCCUAAAAUUUUGAUCAAACACAUCCAAUUUUAAAAAUAAACACUUUUUUGAAGGAAAAAAAAUCACUUUUAGACUCCUUGAAACUUGGUCAAACUACUAUUAACUUGUGCUCGUCUCAAGUAUAUUUAUCGGGUAAAUUCUCAACUUCAGCCUUAUAAUUUUUUAACGUCUAAUAAUUAUAACUUUUCAUGAACGAAAUAAAGUUAGCCAUCAACAUCUCGAAAGUCAUAUUAAUCGCGAAGGAGGGUGGCUACUGGUGGAGGAAAGGCGGAGGGUAGCGGAGGCUAUUUUGGGUCGCCCUAAAAUCCAAAAUGGGGCAGAGAAUUUGAGAGAGUCUAAAUCGAGGUGUAAAAAUGUGAUCUUUACACUUUAUUUUUAUUGAAAGAGGCUUUACGCAAAAAUGACAUCGCUUCAAAUGAAAACGGCGUCGUUGCAGUGGCUCAAAGACUAACCUGAUUAGACGGGUAAAACUAUUAGUUUGGGCCAGGGUAGGCAUUGGGCAGUGAAAAUAGCACGGGCUAUUCAGUUUUCAGAUCGGUAAUUAAAAAAUAAUCAGUGUUUGUAAAGUCAUUUAAAAAUAGUCAUUUUUUUUCUACAACACGUAAAGUUCCAUCAUAAUAUACUGGAGAUUGGAGCACAUGUGUAUGAAUUUCCAGCAUAUUAUGCUGGACCAGUAUAUUAUGCCGGAACUCCAGUAUAUUAUGCUAGAACUCCAAUAUAAUAUGCUGGAAUAUUUUUUGAAUUUUGAAUAUUGUUUUUGUUCAAAUUUACCUUUACAUAAAAAGUGGCUAAAUUUCAAUUAGUUCGAAAUUGUGAAUAUUUUUCAACUACCACUUUUUAAAUCUAGCUAUUUUUGAAUUUUACCCCAUUGGACAUGGCGGUCGGCGGAUGAUUUGGACUGUUGUUCCGAUUUUAAACACCCCCGCGCUCUCAGUUCUUUCCCCUCAUUUGAUUGGUACAUUUAGCUACUUAAUUUGAUUUUGAAAUAAAUCCUCUUUUGAUAAUUAGCCACUUUUGGUUUAAUUCUAAAUUAGACUAGAACUCAAUUGCACAAAUAACCUAUUCAACACAUUAUUAAACAACCAACUACUAAGCUAUCAAUUAAUCUCAUUAACCAACUAAUUAUACAACUAAUAAGUUCUACAAUACAAAGAUGGAAGAAAGAGAAAAAUAAAUAUAUAUUUUUUGUGAUUUUGUGUAUUUAAAGUGCAACUAAAUGCAAUUAAAAUGUGAGAGUGCACAUAAAAAUGCAAACAAAUAAAUAAAAACUACCAAGAAAUCCUAUAAAAUUCAAAAACUAAAGAACUAAUUAAAGUCACUUUAGAAGUAAUUUGUAACUACCCGACUGGUUAUUUUGCCUUUUAGAAUCCCGUUCCCCUACAUAAAAUCUCCCGUAAUUACUUUAGCUAAUUUAUGACUUGCGGGGACGGUUAGUUUGGGAGUUGGAAGAGUUGUGAGUGAAAUAAGUCUAAUUGUUUCUUUAUGAUUCUCUAAAAGAUCAAGUUUGACUUCGGUCAACUUUUUGGGAAAGUGAACCCGUACUCGUGAUUUGGCGGUUCCGAAAGGUCCGCGAAAAAAUAUGGGACCUAGGCGUAUGCCUGGAAUCGAAUUCCGAGGUCCUUAGCCCGAGUAAUGAAUUUUUAUUGAAAAUUGUUAAAUUGAAACCUAAGACUUUAAUAAAGAGCAAAAACGCUUGAUCCCAUUAAUAUCGGGCAUGAUGUUAGUUCCGGAGUCCAGUACAAGUUCGAUAUAAUAUUUUAGUCUUGUUUGUAAAAUUUGGUGAGAAACGGGACUGAUUCGACGUGAUUCGGACGUUCAAUUGAAAAGAUAGGAAUUUAGGUAUUCUUGAGGAUUUCAUGCAUUUUUGGUAUUAAAUAUGUGGUUUUAGGUGUUAAUUAGGAUAUAUGAUUGCUUUAGCAAGUUGGUAAGUUGUUGUAGGACUUGCAUGAGUGUUCGGAGUGGAGUCCCGAGGGCUCGUGUGAGAUUCGGGCAUGGUUGGAGGUAAGAAAACACAACAGUGUUGUUGUAUUUUUGCUGGUACUGCAGGUUUCGCAAUUGCAAGUUAAUUCUUCGCAUUUGCGAAAUUGGUCGGGCUGGGCAGUGUUCGCAUUUGUGAACCCAGCAGGUUCCACAUUUGCGACCCAUGCAUCACAUUUACGAUUGAGGCAAGCUAGGGUUCAGUUCGCAUUUGCGAACCUUUUGUCGCAAUUGCUACACUUGGGCGAUUUGAGAGCUUCCAAAGAAGGGAAGUUCAACAUAACAUUGUGAGGUAAGUUAUUUCCAUUUAUCCUUAUAUUAGAUAGAUUAAACACACAAAAAAAAAGUAAAAUCAAAGGGUUAGAGUUUGACUUCGGGUUUUAAACUAAGAUUUAAUCACAAAAUUUGUUAUGAAAUUAACUAGAAAUCAUAUAUUAUUGAUCCUUAGGUAGUAGAGAAUAACUUUCUUUGAAAUUUGUUGGAAUUCGGGCAUGUGAGCCCGGGGUUGGAAUUUAGGAAACCCAUGUAAAUGGUUUGGAAAUGGUUUAAAUAGCUAGAAUUCGAUUUUGUGAGCUUAUAUUAAUUAGUUCUUACUCUAUUUAACUAGUUUGAGAUUGUUCGGCUACAAAUUGAGAGUUGGACUUGUUCUUGAUAUUUGGAAGCGCGUUUUGGAGCAAGGUGAAUCUCCUUUCUAACCUUGUAAGAGGGAAUAGUCCUCAUAGGCAUAAUAAAUGAGAAUUUGCUACUAAAUGCGGGGGCUAUGUACGUAUUUGGUGACGAGAGUCCGUGCAUAGCUACUAUGAUAUUAAUUGCUUGGGUAGAUUAGGACCCACAUCAUCCCUAAUUUGGAAUUUUCUUCUAUUUAAAUUGUCAAUAUGAUCAUUUAUGAUAUGCUAGAGACUUGAGAUAAAUAAAAAAGUGAACAUAUGAACUUGUUGGACUUUGUAAGAGUUUCCUUAUAUAUAAAUGAGUCUUUUAUGUGCAUUCUUGAUGUUUUCUUGAUAUUUAUGGAGCGGGCUGAUCGCCUCGGUGAAAAUAGAUGCAUCUAUGGUUUGUAACGUUCGACCCUCGACAGUGCAUAAUUUAUUUUUUAUUGGAGCGAGCCGUCGACCUCGGCAUGAUUGCGCAUGCUAUAUAUGUUGAUGCUUAUACAUGACAUGCCUACUUGCUAAGUAAUUUAAAAUGUAAAUGGAAAUUGAAAUAAUGUGAAGAACCUGAUCAUUAGUUUUCAUUAUAUAACCUGUUCAAUAUUGGAGACUUUCAUGCUCAGCAUAGCACAUUGAUAUUAUAUUAUCUUUACCCUAGUAAAUAUCAAGUCGACCUCUCGUCUCAACUUUUUUCGAGAUUAGACGGGAUACUUACUGGGUAUAUUGUUUACGUACUCAUACUACAGUCUUGUACUUAACUGUACAGGAUCUGAGGUAGAUACGGUGCACGCCCUUAAGUUUGUGGCAGAGACUUCCAUGGUGAGCUGCUUCCUUCCUAUGCCGCUCAGCAGCCGGAUGUAGCCUUCCUUUUCUUUUGCUGUCUUUCUUUAUCUCAGACAGUAGGAUAGAGAUAUUCUUUUGUAUAUUCUACUAGAUGCCCGUACUUGCGACACCAAAUGUUGUCUCACACAUAUUGUUAGACUUGCUUUUGGGUUGUGUGAUUAUGUUACUUACAUUAUCUAUCACAAUUGGUCUUUGAAUCCCAACUUGAAUAUUUAUUUCACUUAAGUUCUGAUAAAAUUAACAUAAGAAGUAGAAAUGUUCCGCAUUGGCUUGCAUGACAACGGUAUCGGGCGCCUUCAUGUCCUAUCAUGGAAAUGAGUCGUGACAACGUGGUAUCAGAGCACUAGGUUCACAUAGGUCUCACAAGUUAUGGGAAAACCUAAUAAGGUCUUGUUUAUUGGUACAGAGACAUUUGUAUAUUUCUUCGAGGGGCUAUAGGGUAUUAGGAAAGACUACUCUUAUUUCACUUCCUAUCGUGCAGUGGUUGGUUUACUAAAUUUCUCUUUUCUAUUCUCUCAUAGAUGGUGAGAACCCAUAUCGCCGACAUUCUGGACCCGGGAGGAGCUGCUCCCUCCGUUGUUAGGGGCUGAGGUAGAGGCCGGGGGAGGGCACCAGACCGUGGUAGGGGACGAGGGUGUCCCAGAGUCGUUCCAGUUGCACCACCAGUAGAUCCUGCGAGAGAUCCCAUUAUUGAGGAGCAAGGCAAGGACCCGCAGCUAAGUCUACCUGGUAGAUUUCAUGACAGCGCCGGGAUUUCAGGAGGUCAUGGGCUGCAUGCUACGGUUCAUGGACACUAUGACUCAGGAUGGGUUAUUUUCAGCAGAUCCAACCACUUCACAGGUAGGAGGGGGAGCCCAGGCCCCUACUACUCAGGCUCCAGGUCACGUAGCUGCGAUAUAUCAGACUCCGGGUGAGCCUACCUGCAGAUGGGGCUCAGCUAGUUGCUGCAGUGGCACCCCAGCCCAGGCCAUCUGUGGAUGGCGAUCCAUAGAAGUUAUUGGACAAAUGGACUAGAAUUCACCCUCUAGUCUUUGGGGGUGAGCGUCAUGAGGAUGAUCAGGACUUCAUAGAUAGGUCCAAGGACAGGCUGCACAACAUGAGGAUAUUAGAGUCGCAUGGAGUUGACUUCACUACUUUUCAGCUUUAGGGCAGGGCUCGUAAAUGGUGGCAGUCCUAUGCACUUGGCAGGCCAGCAACUUCUCCUCCCAUCACUUGGGGACAAUUCACACAGUUAUUCCUGGAUCGGUACAUUCCACUCUCUAAGAGGGAAGAGCUGCGGUAUCAGUUUGAGCAUCUAAAGUAGGGUAAGAUGUUAGUGACCGAUUAUGAGGCGGGGUUCUUUGAGUUGUCUCGCCAUGCAUUUAUGAUACUUCCCACAGAGACAGAGGGAGUACAGAGGUUUGUUAUGGGGUUACACCCCACUAUCCGGUAUGGUAUGACCCGAGAGGUAGAGAUGUGUACAGGGUAUCAGCUAGUGGUUGAGAUCGCAUGCACGAUUGAGGGCUAUAGUUUGAGGGGUAGAUAGGAGAUGCAUCAGGAUAAGAGGGCUAGAUUCUCCAAAGAGUUUAGAGGCGCCCCAGCUAGGGCUAGAGGUUAGUUUGGAAGGGGUCAGCCCAGCAAGCCCCUAAUUUUAGCACCACCACCUGCUCGAGGUGCUCCAAUAUGCUCCUAUUUCAGCUCCAUGCCAGAGAGUUCUUAUCGCCCGCCAGUUGAGUUCUUAUCGCCCGCCAGCUAUUCAAGGUUCCUCCAGUGGGUAUUCAGGUCCUCCAGAUUCUUCCAGCUCUUAUUUCAGUGCUAUGCCGGAGAGUUCAUACCACCCACCGGCUAUUCAGGCUUCUUCAAAUGGAUCUUCUGGUUUUCAGAGUCAUCCCUCCGAACAACAGGUCACCACACCAUGUUAUUUUGAGUUUAGAGACCCCGGUCACAUGAGGAGAUAUUGCCCGAGACUUCAGGGUAAAGCGGUGCAGCAAUGAUAACAGCCCAAGACUCCAGCACCAGCUGCCCAACCACCUAGAGGUGGAGGGUAGGCUGGUAAAGGCCGUCCUAGAGGCGGAGGCCAGACAGGGGGGGGGNNNNNNNNNNNNNNNNNNNNNNNNNNNNNNNNNNNNNNNNNNNNNNNNNNNNNNNNNNNNNNNNNNNNNNNNNNNNNNNNNNNNNNNNNNNNNNNNNNNNNNNNNNNNNNNNNNNNNNNNNNNGGGGGGGGGGGGUCAACCAGCUAUUGCUAUGUCAGGUGGAGGCCAGCCUGCCGGUGCUCCAUCUAGAUUCUACGCUUUUCCGGCCAGGCCAGUUGCAUUGGCCUCAGAUGCCGUUAUCACAUCUAUUAUUUCCGUCGAUGGUACGGAUGAUUCGGUAUUAUUUGAGCCAAGUUCUACUUAUUCAUAUGUAUCAUCUCUGUUCUAUCUUUUCCUAGUUAUUUAUCCAGAGCCUCUAGGUGUUCCUCUUCAUGUGUCCACUCCCAUGGGUGAUUCUGUGGUUGUGGAUCGGAUCUACCAAUCCUAUGUGGUCACUUUCUGUGGUUUCGAGACUAGAGAAGAUCUUCUGCUACUUAAUAUGAUCGAUUUUGAGGUCAUCCUGGGCAUGGAUUGGCUAUCUCCAUAUUACGCCGUCCUAGAUUGCCAUGCUAAGACUGUUUCUCUAGUGAUGCCAGGGCUGCCGAGAUUGGAGUGGAAGGGUUCCACAGUUGAUACGCCUAGCAUGGUUAUUUCUUUCCUGAAGACUCGACACAUGGUCGAGAAGGGGUGUUUGGCUUAUUUAGCUUAUGUUCGAGACACCACUGCAGAGUCUCUGACAAUUGAUUCAGUCCCAGUUGCUCGAGAGUUCGCUGAUGUUUUUCCUUUAUCUUCCUAGCAUGCCUCUCGAUCGUGAUAUUGAUUUCUAUAUUGAUUUGGCUCCAGGCCCUCAGCCUAUAUCUAUUCCACCGUACAGUAUGGCUCCGAUUGAUUCACUCCUAGUAGUUUGACAGCUCGCUAAUGUUUUUCCUUUUGAUCUUCCUAGCAUGCCUCCGAAUUUGUGAUAUCAAUUUUUGUAUUGAUUUGGCUCCAGGCACUCAGCCUAUAUCUAUUCCACCGUACCGUAUGGCUCCUAAGGAGUUGAAAGAGCACUUGGAGGAAUUGUUGGCAAAUGGGGUCUGUUAGGCCCAAUGUAUCUCCCUGGGGUGUACCAAUGUUAUUUGUGAAGAAUAAGGAUGGGACUGUGUGGAUGUGCAUUGACUACCGCUAGUUUAACAAAGUCACCAUCAAGAAUAAGUAUCCGUUGCCUCGUAUUAAUGAUUUGUUUGACCAGUUGCAGGGUGUUCUCUAAGAUUGACUUGAGGUUAGGGUAUCAUCAGUUGAAGAUUUGGGACUCAGUUGUUUCGAAGACUGCAUUCAGGACUAGAUAUGACAAUUAUGAGUUUCUGGUGAUGUCCUUUGGCUUGACUAAUUCCCUAAGACACUUAUGGAUUUAAUGAACAGGGUAUUCAGGACUUAUAUUGAUUCCUUUGUUAUCAUUUUCAUUGAUGACAUCUUGAUAUACUUACGUAGCCUGGGGGAGCACGAGAAGCAUUUGAGAGUAGUGCUUCAGACCUUGCGAGAGCAGAAACUAUAUGUUAAGUUCUCUAAGUGUGAGUUUUGGCUAGAGUCAGUGGCAUUCUUAGGGCAUAUUGUGUCAGGAGAGGGUAUUAAUGUGGAUCCCAAGAAGAUUGAGCCAGCUUAGAGUUGGCCACGUCCUACUUUAGUGAGUGAGAUUAGGAGUUUCCUGGGGUUAGCAGGCUAUUACCGAUGAUUUAUGUACGAAUUUUCAUUUAUUGCAUCACCUUUGACUAGAUUGACCCAGAAGGGUGCUCCAUUCCGUUGGUCCGAUGAUUGUGAGGAGAGCUUCCAGAAGCUCAAGACAGCUUUAACCACGACACUAAUUCUUGUAUUAUCUUCCAGUUCAAGGAUAUAUACGGUAUAUUGUGAUGCGUCCCGCGUUGGUUUGGGAUGUGUAUUGAUGCAGGAGGGGCGAGUUAUUGCAUAUACUUCAUGUCAGUUGAAGAUUCAUGAGAAGAAUUACCCUGUGCACAAUUUGGGUUUAGCAGCAAUAGUUCAUGCUCUUAAGAUAUAGAGGCAUUAUUUUUUUGGGGUGUCAUGUAAGGUUUACACCGAUCAUCACAGCUUGCAGCACCUAUUCAAGCAGAGGGAUCUUAAUUUGAGGCAACGGAGGUGGCUGGAGUUACUAAAGGAUUAUGACCUUACUAUUCUUUAUCAUCCGGGCAAGGCAAAUGUGGUCGCGGAUGCCUUGAGAAGAAAGGCGGAGAUUAUGGGUAGUAUGGCAUUCAUUCCAGCAGAGGAGAGACCAUUAGCUUUGGACAUCCAGUCCUUGGCUAACGACUUGUGAGCUUGGACAUUUCAGAGCCCAGCCAAGUCCUAGCAUAUGUGGUGUCUCAGUAUUCAUUAUUGGGGCAUAUCAAGGCCCGGCAGCUCGAUGAUCCACAUUUGGCGGUUCUUAGAGAGACGAUACUCUAGAGAGGUGCCAAGGAGGUUUUUAUUGGCAAGGAUGGUGUGCUACGGCUUCAGGGCCGUCUAUGUGUUCCUAAUGUUGAUGGUUUGAGGGAAAGGAUUCUAGAAGAGACCUACAGUUCGAGAUAUUCCAUUCAUCCGGGUUCCACGAAGAUGUAUCGUGACUUGAGGCAGCAUUAUCGGUGGCGGAGAAUGAAGAAAAACAUCAUGGAGUAUGUAGCUAGAUGUCUGAAUUGCCAGCAGGUCAAGUAUGAGCACCAGAGACUGGUGGCCUACUUCAGCAGAUGCCUAUUCCGGAGUGGAAAUGGGAGCGCAUCACCAUGGAUUUCGUAGUUGGGUUGCCGCAGACUUUGCAGAAGGUUAAUUCAGUGUGGGUCAUUAUGGAUAGGUUGACCAAGUCGGCUCACUUCAUUCCAGUGGCGACUACUUAUACAGCAGAGAGGUAUGCUUAGAUUUACAUUCGGAAGAUAGUCCGAUUGCACAAUGUGCCUAUUUCCAUCAUAUUAGACAGAGGCCCUUAGUUCACUUCCCAUUUCUGGAGAGCUGUUCAGAGUAAGUUAGGGACCCGUGUCGAGCUUUGCACAACAUUCCAUCCUCAGACCGACGGGUAGUCGAAGCGGACACUUAAGAUCUUCGAGGAUAUGUUUAAAGCAUGUGUGAUUGACUUUGGAAGGCAGUGGAAUCAGUUCUUGCCUUUAGUAGAGUUUGCGUAUAACAACAAAUAUCAGUCCAGCAUAAAGAUGGCUCUGUACGAGGCUUUAUAUAGUUGACGUUGUUGUUCUCCUAUCGGGUGGUUUGAGCCAGACGAGGCUAAGUUACUUGGCACACAUUUGGUACAUGAUGGCUUGGAUAAGGUAAAGUUGAUUUAGGAGAGGCUUCGCACAGCUCAGUCGAUACAGAAGAGCUACACGGAUCAUAAUGCGUGUGAUGUAUCAUUUAUGGUUGGCGAGAAGGUUCUCUUGAAAAUCUCGCCCUUGAAGGGCAUCAUGAGGUUCGGGAAGAAGGGAAAGUUGAGCCCAAGGUUUAUUGGUCCCUUUGAGGUGUUAAGACGAGUUGGGGAGGUUGCCUAUGAGCUUGCUUUACCCUAGUUUAUCAGGAGUCCAUCCAGUUUUUCAUGUUUCAAUGCUUUAGAAGUAUCAUGCCGACCUAUCACAUGUGUCGAACUUCAGUACUAUUCAGUUGGAUGAGAGCUUGGGCUUUGAGGAGGAGCCAAUUUCCAUUAUUAAUAGGCAAGAUCGCCAGUUGAGGACCAAGAAGAUUUCUGUGAUGAGAGUCCAGUGGAGGGGCCAACCGAUCGCGGAGGCGACCUGACAGUCCGAGGAGGACAUGCAUAGCAGAUAUCCUCACUUAUUCAGCAGUCCAGGUACUUUUCUAUGACCAUUCGAGGAUGAACGUUUGUUUAAGAGGUGGAGAAUGCCAUGACUCGACUGGUCGUUUUGCCUUUUAGAACCCCGUUCCCCUAAAAAAAACCUCCCGUACUUGCUUUAGCUAAUUUAUGACUUGUGGGGGUUGGAAGAGUUUUGAGUGAAAUAUAUCCAAUUGUUUCUUUAAGAUUCUGUUAAAAGACCAAGUUUGACUUCGGUCAACUUUUUGGGAAAGUGGACCCGAACUCGUGAUUUGACGGUCCUAAAAGGUUCGCGGAAAAAUAUGGGACCUAUGCGUAUGCUCGGAAUCGAAUUCCAAGGUCCCUAGCUUAAGUAAUGAAUUUUUAUUGAAAAUUAUUAAAUUGAAAUCCUAAGAGUUUAAUAAAGAGGAAAAAUGCUUGAUCACAUUGAUAUAGGUCCUGUAUGUUGGUUCCGGAGCCCGAUACAGAUUCAAUAUGAUAUUUUAGUCUUGUCUGUGAAUUUUGGUGAGAAACGAGAAUGAUUCGACGUGAUUCGGACGUUGUUCUUGAGGACUUCAUGCAUUCUUGGUGUUUAAUCCGUGGUUUUAGGUGUUAAUUAGGCGAUUUGAUUGCUUGAUCAAGUUUUCACAUUGUUGUAAGACUUGCGUGAGGGCUCGAGUGAGAUUCGUUGGAGGUAAGAAAACACAGCAGUUUUGCUGGUAUUUUUGCUGUUGCUGCUGCAGGUUUCACAAUUGCGAGAUGGCCAUCGCAAUUGCGAGAAAUUCUUCGCAUUUGCGAAAUUGGCCGGGCUGGGCAGUGUUCGCAUUUGGGAACCAUUUCUUCGCAUUUGCGAACCCAGCAGGGUCUGCAUUUGCGACCCAUGCAUCAAAUUUCUGAUUGAGGCAGGCUAGGGUUCAGUUCACAUUUGUGAACCUUUUGUCAGAGUUGCGACCUCGCAUUUGCAAGCUUGAAGUCGCAAAUGCGACAUCAGAGGACUGGUCAAAGCUUUUUGAAACGGGACUUAGGGCAUUUAUUUCAUUUCUACUCUACGCUUGGGCGAUUUGAGAGCUUCCAAAGAGAGGGAUUUCAACACAACAUUGUGAGGUAAGUUAUUUCCAUUCAUCCUUAGUUUAAAUACAUGUAUAUUAGGUAGAUUAAACACCAAAAAAGGUAAAAUCAAACGGUUAGAGCUAGACCUAGGGUUUUAAUAAAACUAAGAUUUAAAUACAAAAUUUGUUAUGAAAUAAACUAGAAAUCAUAUAUUAUUGAUCCUUAGGUAGUAGAGAAUAACUUUCUUUGAAAAACUUUAGAACCCGGCCAUGUGAGCCCGGGGUUGGAAUUUAGGAAACCCAUGUAAAUGGUUGGGAAAUGGUUUGAAUAGCUAGAAUUCGAUCUUGUGAGCUAAUAUUAAUUAGUUCUUACUCUAUUUAAAUAGUUUGGGAUCGUUCAGCUCUGAAUUGAGGGUUUGGACCUGUUCUUGAUAUUUGGAAUCACGUUUUGGAGCGAUACGAGUCUCCUUUUGUUCGGCUACGAAUUGAGGGUUGGACUUGUUCUUGAUAUUUGGAAGUGCGUUUUGGAGCAAGGUGAGUCUCCUUUCUAUCCUUGUAAGAGGGAAUUGUCCCCAUAGACAUAAUAAAUGAGAAUUUGCUACUAAAUGCGGGGGCUAUGUACGUAUUUGGUGACGAGAGUCCGUGCGUAGCUACUAUUAUAUUAAUUGCUUGGAUAGUUUAGGACCCACAUCAUCCCUAAUUUGGGAUUUUCUUCUAUUUAGAUUGUCAAUAUGAGACUUGAUAUAAAUAAAAAAGUGAACAUAUGACCUUGUUGGACUUUGUAAGAGUUUCCUUGUAUAUAAAUGAGCCUUUCUGUGCAUUCUUGAUGUUUUGAUAUUUAUGGAGCGGGCCGAUCACCUCGAUGAAAAUAGAUGCAUCUAUGGUUCGUGUCGUUUUGUCACGACCCCAACCCCGGUCAUGAUGGCGCCCAACUUACUGCUAGGCAAGCCCGACCAAUUCAACAACCUUAGCCCCUUUUUAUGCAGUUCAUGAUCCAAUUAACACGAAUACUUACCAAGUCAUAAUACUGAACUCUAAAAUAUAAAUUAAACAUGCGGAAACCCAAGUGUAAAACAACUACUCAGCCCGAAGGAUCUGGCGUCACAAGUCUGAGCCUCUAUUACCCGAGUAACAACCUACUACAUGUAAUCUCUAGAAACGCAGAAAUAAGACAAAUAAGAUAGAAGGAAGAUCAGGACUGCGGACGUCAAGUGCAGCUAUCUUGAUACUUCCGGAUAAGCUGCUAGGUAGAAAAAUCCUCACACAGCCUCAGGUAUACCUGGAUCUGCACGCAAAGUGUAGGGAGUAAUGUGAGUACUCUGACCCAGUGAAUAAUAAACAUAAAUAAAGGCUGAUAAUAAGAAAUCAUGAAUAGGCACAAGUAAUUCUAUAAAUACAACAACAUGAACCAUAUAAUAUUCAAUCCUUAAACCAAUAACGACAAUUAUGGAAAUGCUACAACAAAUAAGUAAGUAAUUGGCAUGCAAAUAUGAAAUGCAACACAUAGUACGGUACUCUCUAGUACCCGCUGAGGCGUGCAGCCCGCUCCAUUUAUUUAUCGUCUACGACGCUCACUAGGGGUGUAUAGACUCUGGGAGGGGCCCCUUACGGCCAAACCGCAAUAAUAACCCAUCUCAUGGCAUCAACCAGGCCCUUGGCCUCAUAUCGAUAUCAAUAUAGUACCAUUGCAGCGCGCAACCCAAUCCCAUACUCAGUCAAAAAUCAUAUAAGCCCCUCGGGCACAAUAGUAAAAAAAUAUUCAGCCCAAACUUCUUUUUAAAACAUUAAUUAAAUUUCAAGUGAGAGAAAAAGGUGGCUGAGUUUACAAAACAACAUUAAAACCGGGACUAUUUUCAUUAAUAUGUAAAAACAGUAAGAAGCCGGUAAUAGCAAUCAACUCAAAUUAUAACAAUAAUAAGGAAUCUCAAUUAAAUACGCAGGAUAUUCAUCUACCGGGAUGGACCAAGUCACAAUCCCCAAUGGUGCUCUACCCCAUGCUUGCUACUCGGCAUGCAAGUCACCUCAUUAUAGAACUACGACGUGCAAAUAUGGGGUUUCAAACCCUCAGGACAACAUUUACAUAUAUUACUCACGUCAAGCCAGGCCAAAUCCUAGCUUGCUAUGCCCUUGCCCUUCGAAUAGACCUCCUCGUGCGUCGAACCUAAUUAAAACCAUAAUUAAUACAUCACGAUAGGCUAAAGGAACAAUACUUAAUCGAAAAUAAUCGAAAAACAUCAAAAUUCUCGAAAUUGGCAAAAACCCGAGCUCGGGCCCACUUCUCGAAUUCCAAAAAAUUUAACAUCAACACAUUCCUUAUCUCUCCACGAGUCUAUAAUUAUAAAUAUUUCCAAAAUCGGAGUCCAAAUGACCCCUCAAAUCUCCUUUCUUAGCUCUCUUAAGUUCAAGCCCUAACUCCCAUUCUAACUCCCUAAAUUCCUUAGUUUUUCAGUCUAAAUUCAUGUAAUAACACCUUAGAAUUAUGUUUAAGGCCCAGAAAUUCUUACAUCAAAGAAGUCCCUUGAUUGCUCUCUUUGAACUCGCCCAAAUUCUCCAAGUCCGUAGUGAAAAAGAUGAAACCCUUUAAAAUUUCGCGAAGGAGAAAUUAAAUAACACUGACCAGUCAAUUCCCCAUCUGCGGCUCCUUAGUUGGAUCUACGACUCCCGCUUCUGCAGAAAUAUCUUCGCUUUUGUGGAUCCCCCAGGAAAUCUUGAAUACCGCAUUUGCGGUCUUCUUGUCGCAUCUGCGACUCCGCAGAUGCUUGACCAGUCAUUUCCGCAGAUGCGGUACUCCCACUUCUGCGGAAAUAUCUUCAGUUUGUGGAUCUUCAUUAGGUCCAGGACCGCUUUUGCAGUCAAGUCCCGCUUCUGUGGACCCCGCUUAUGCGGUCAAAUAUCCACUCCUGCGGAACUCCUCUAAAACGUACGGACCGCUUCUGCGGUCAUUGUCCGCACCUGCGGAAUUAAUCCGCUUUUGCGAAAAUUCUCCAAUUGGCCAACUUUCGCACAUGCGACCCAUACUUUGCAUCUGCGGAAUCACAUCUGCAACCCCUUUUUCUGCAAAUGCGGAAAUACCAGAUAUCAGCAAAUGAUCAAUUUCACAACUCCAAAAAUCCAUCCAGACGGCUAUCCGAAAUCACCUCGAGGCCCCCGGGACCUCAACCAAAGGUGUCAACCCAUAUUAAAACAUCAUUCAAACUUGCUCCACUCAUCAAAACACAACAAAUAACAUCAAAACCCUCAAAUUACAUCGGAUUCAAGCCUAAGUUCUUCUAAAACUUCCGAAUUACGCAUUUGAUAAAAAACUCGACCGAAACUCCUUCAAAUGACCUAAAAUUUUGUACACACAUUUAAAAUCACCUAACAAAGCUACAACAACUCUUGAAAUUCCAUUCCGACCCUCGGAUCAAAAUCUCACUUACCAACCGGAAUUCGCCAAAUACUAACUUUGCCAAUUCAAGCCUAAUUCUAAACCGGACCUCCAAAACCAUUUCCAAUCACACUCCUAAGUCACAAAUCAUCCCACAAAGCUAACUGAACCAUCAAAAUUCACAUCCAAGCCUCCUAGCAUAUAAGUCAAUGUCCGGUUGACCUUUCCAAAACAAGCCUUCCUUAAAGAGACUAAGUGUCUUAUUUCCUUCUCAAUUCAAUCCAAAUCUACUUGUUUACAUAAAACAGUCAUAAUGAAGCAUAAAGAAACAAAAAAUGGGGGAAACGAGGCGGUAACCCAUGUGACGACGGGUCGGGUCAUCCUGCGUUCGACCCUCGACAGUGCAUAGUUUAUUUUCUGUUGGAGCGGGCUAUCGACCUCGGCAUGAUUGUGCAUGAUAUAUGUGUUGAUACUUAAACAUGAACCAGACUGAAACAAGGUCAAGAACCUGACUAUUGCUUUUUAUUAUAACAUGUUAAAUAUUGGAGACUUUCAAGCUCAGCAUAGCACAUUGAUAUUAUAUUAUGAUGACCCUAAUAAGUAUCAAGUCGACCUUUCGUCUCUGAUUCUUCAAGAUUAGAUGGGAUAAUUACUGGGUACAUAUUAUUUAUGUACUCAUACUACACUUCUGUACUUAACUGUACAGGAUCUGAGGCAGAUACAUCUGGUUACUGGCCCGGUGUGCGCCCUUGAUUUUGUGGCAGAGUCUCACUGGACUGCUUUCAAAAGGAUACUAAGAUACUUGAAAGGCACCACUGAUCUGUGUCUUUGGUAUCCCAAAAGUAGAAAUUAAUAUUUAGUAGGAUAUGUUGAUUCUGAUUAUGCAGGUUUUCUAGAGAUCGGAAGAGCACCUCAGGUAUGUCACACUUCCUUGGUUCAUGUCUUGUGUCACGGGCUACCAAAAAGCAAAACUCAAUGGCUCUAUCUACUGCUGGAGAUAAGUAUGUUGCUUCUUCUUCUUGUUGUGCUCCAUUUCUAUAGAUCAAACAACAGCUGGUAGAUUUUGGUGUUGAGAUUGGUUGUAUUCUAAUAUUCUAUGAUAACACUAGUGCUAUAAGUAUGACAAAGAACCCUGUUCAUCAUAAGAGGACUAAGCACAUAGAUGUUAGACACCACUUCUUAAGAGAUAACUAUGAGAAAGAACUGAUCUCCAUAAAAUUCUCUGCUACUGAUAAGCAAAUUGCUGAUCGCUAAAGCAUCGGGUAGAGAAAACUUUGAGAGGAACAUGUUGGAAUUAAGGAUGAUUAAGAUCACCUAAUAGGUCCAGUUCAUAAUGCACAAUGAAAAAAAUGGAAAAAAAGUUUGGUUAGGAGUUCUAACAUUGUAAAUAUCUAGAUUAAUUCUUACUCAAUUUCAUACUUCAAUUAGUAUACUCCUGUGACAUGCGUAUAUAUGGUUCAAUGAUCUCUUACAAAGUUUUUUCCAUUAUGACAUUUGAUGCAUGCUCAAGAGAGUUCUAUAUGAAGAACCUGGUUCAUUAGUAUGAGUUCAUAUGUAAGCUCAUGUAUGUUUUUAAUACUUUGCAUAAUUAGAAAGAUUAACACUUCAAUCAUGAGCAGAAGUCCUAUAUUUUCCAAAUUCCUAGAAAAUUCUAUCCUUUGAGGCGAUGAACCAUUUUCGUCCAUUUAGAACUCUAAAAUCGUGGCAUGACAAAUUCCUAGAAAAUUUUAUCCGUUGAGGCAUUGAACCAGUUUCAUCCAUUUAGAACUCUAAAGCUGUGAUUUUUUGCCAAAUAUCUAGGGAAGCCAAAUAAUCAUUAAAAGAAUGGAAUUGCAGUUUCAUUAGACUUUUAAUUGACCCAUGAAAAGCUGUCGUUACUGCAUUAAUGUCUAAUUCACUUUAAAUACCAACCACAUCUCUAAUAUUCUUCAUCAUUCUAAAACCAUCAAAAAUUAUUUCUCUAGUUCUAAUCGCUUCUCUUCUCUAGAAAUUUCAAAAUUUCCUCCAUAAAAGAAGAACCGUGUCUAACCCACAAGAUCAUCCUGUCACUCCUCCACCACCAACCCCCUCAAACUCAUCCUCGUCUACUCCUCCUAGUGAAUCCCCAAAACCUAGGUUUCGAAGGUAGACAAUGUUGGCUAGAAAAAAUGUAGCAUAUGGAGCCCUGAGAAAAGUUUUACAUGAGAGAUUGAAAUCUAGCCUGAGGAAAGAAAGGCCAGCUCAAGAGUCUGACUCCAAUUCUGAGUUAGAAUCCUUCAUAUCUGCCAGUGAAGGUGAAGAACAUGAGUCUUCUGACACUGAGAAAAUUUAAGAAAUUUCUGUUGAGGUAAGUUCUUCUGUGGUUGAAAACAUAGGAAAUAGGUUUGUUCUAGUUGGACCUAUUAAAGAUGUAAAAUUGGCUGGAUCGAGUAGGAGUGGAGGUAAAAAGAAAAGAAAGGAGAGAAAGGGAGCAAGUAGUGAAGAGAUGGGAAAAUAGAAAGGAGCAGUUCUUGCUAUAUAUGGGGUUGAAGAAAAGAGUGGCAUAAAGUCAAGGGUAAGUGGCUAUGGAGAAGCAGUUGAAGGGUUGGUUCAUUUAAGCAAACAAAGAGAUGAACCUGAUUCAUCUGCUGAGGAAACUCUGGCUGACAUUCUGAAAAGGGUUAGGGCAAGUUAUGACCCAAAGAAAUGCAAAUAUACCUCCCAAAAGACCCCAACUAUUCCCAAGCCAUCCAAGAAAAGAAAGACUUCAUCCCCAAAAUCUACUGCCCCUUCAGUACCUAAGGGAAGAGCUACAAGAAUCAGGGCAAGACAAAGUGAUGCUGACCUACAAAAAGAUCUGGAAGAAAGCAGUAAAAAGAAAGUGAGAAGGGAAAGAAAAAUGAAGCAGGGUAAGACAAAGUGAAGCUGACCUACAAAAAUCUCUGGAAGAAAGCAAGAAAAAGAAAAUGGAAAAGGGAAAGGAAAAAAUUGCAGAGUCCUUUGAGGUUGCAGAAGAAGAGGAGAUGGAACUGGUCUAUCAAGAAUGGGGAACAACAGUGGAGGUUCCUACACCAAAACCUAAAAAGUCCAAGACUUCAUCCAAGAAGUCUUCUUCAAUACCUAUGUCUGCUGAACCCCCCAUUAGCCAAGAGGACAAGAUCUGCAAUGAAAGGCAAGCAAAAGAAAUUACUGAAGAAGAUGAACAAUGGAGUGGAGAAGAAGAAGAAGAGGAAUCUGAGAAGGAGCAGGAUAAGUUUGCCAUCUUUGGCAGAAGAAAAAUUCUGAAAAGAAGAUUGUUGAAGGACAUGGUUGAGACAGGGAUGAUGAGACUGGUGGAUGCUUUAGCUGCACAAGGUUGGAAGAACAUGGUCCUUGAAAUAGAUGGGAGGCUGCCCAGGAAUGAACUGAUUAAAUUUAUGGCCAAUACUGUUGCCUGGUGAAAGGAGUUAAAGUGAAGUUUGAUGCACUCAAACUGGGUGAGAUCCUGGACAUACCUACCAAAGGGUAUGAUGACUAUACAAGGCAAAGGUGGCCAUGUCUGGAUUUUUUCCCUACUGCUCUUGAAAUCACUAGGGCGUUCUAUGACUCUAGAGAUGUGCCUGAAGCCAAAUUUGUGCAGAUAAGUGAAAUGAGGCCUGAGCACAAGGUCUUGUUUGAAUUUGUCACCAAGUGUCUCUUGCCCAGAUAGGAGAAAGGCACACUGCAAAUUACAUGGACCUGGCUCUUAUAGAGUGCUUGGUGAGAGGAAUGCAAAUCAACUGGCAUGAUUUCAUUAUCAAAUUGCUCAACAGAGUCAUCAAUGGUUCUAAGGCUCAUGCCAUUCCAUAUGGGUACAUACUGACUACUGUGCUGGACAGGCUAAAUGUGCCUUUGAAGAAAUGGGAAAUGGCAUCAAGCAAGGUACAUUUUGGUGUUAAGACCCUGCUGGCUUGUGACUAUCCAGUCAAUGCCAUCCCAGUUGAACCUGGUUCAUCUCUGAGCACACCCGUCAAUAGCAAGGUUAGAGCUUUGGUAUAAGAAUGUGGAACUAAGGAUAAUGAAAUUGCUAGGCUCGAAGCACGCGUGGCUGAAUUGAAAACUGAAAGAGAUGGCCUUAGAACUAAGCUAACAAAAGAAAAUGAGAAAAGUGAUGGAAUGCUUCAGAAUAUGCUAAACCUUCUCCAAUCUCAACCCUCUAGUUCCUCCAAGCCCUAGGUCUCCCAGCACUUGUCUUCUGAACCAGUCUAGGACCCCUAGUGACCCAAUUUAGGGAUGUUUCUAUUUUUUUGCUCAUGUUUUGAAAGUUUUUCUUUCUUUUUGUGGUCUGUUUGUGAAAGCAUAUUUCUAUCAAUGAUAACUGUUGUUUUAUCUUGUGCAAUGCCGAUUCUGAUCUUAAUAGUUUAAAAAUGUUUGUUGAUUAUUGAGAAUUGCACAAUGAUUUCACUUGCAGUUGCCCAAGUGGCCAUGAUUACUUAUUAAAUUCUUCACACUGUGUAUGCAACUUUCCGAUGAUGCCAAAAGAGGGAAGAGAUAUUAUGCUUUGAACAUUAUUCUAAAUUAAGUGAUAUUUAUAACCUAAUUAACCCGGUCCUUGAUGAUAAGUAAAAUUUAUAAGUAAAGUGUUAAUGGUUAAGUUGAGUUCUUACAUGUUCUUUGAUCAGUAAAAAGCACAUAGUUUAUCAUCAUCAAAAAGGGGAAAAUUGUUGGCCCAAGAACAUGUGAAGUGUUGAAGAAAUGACAGAUGAACUUAGUCAUGAACAAGGUCCAUCAUAUGAAGCAUAGUGUUUGUCAACCUAUACAUAUAAGAUGCACGUGAAAGAGAGAAGUCCUAUUGAUUAAGCAACAAUAUCUCCUGAACUGAUCGAAAAGGUUGCAUAUGCGAUAAGGAGAGAAAGUCUCCUUAUGAGAGAUUAAGCAACAAUAUCUCCUGAACUGAUCGAAAAGGUUGCAUAUGGGAUAAGGAGAGAAAGUCUCCUUAUGAGAAGAGAACAUAAUCCAGAUAAAAGAUAGGGCUGGAGUUUGUGUUGUUCAAGGACUCAACUUCAAUGGAAGAUCAGAAAUUGAGUCUUAAUCAAACUCUAAUUACAAACUCAUUAAAUAACAAUGAUUGUGCUCUUUUACAGGUAUUGCACAAAUGCAUAAGUUAAACUAUAUUGAGAGCAAAAGAUCGAGGCAACUUCGCAAGCAAUUUAUCUGAGAUUUGAGUGUGCAUUCCUGAAGCUACUUGGAUAAGAUAGAAGAACCAAUUCCAUUGCGUCUUUCUUUUAUUCUAGUUCAAUUGUAGUAGGUAAUUUAAACUUGUACCUUUCAGCUUUCAUAGAAGCAAUUGUAUUAGGUACUUUGUGUAUUCAAGUUAGAGUUAACUUGAAGUUGUCGCAACAGUUAAGGCUGUGUGCCACAACGAGAUUAGAGUUUAAUCCUUAGGUUUACAAAGAGUUUUUGUAAAUGGUGUUUUGGCUCAAUGAUUUUAAUAGAAGUUUGGGAAAAUCCUACUGAGUAGUAGGUCGUGAUUUUUUCACCUUUUGAUCCAAGUAUUCUCCACGUAAAAAUCUCUGUGUUCCUUAGUUUAUGUACUUAUUAUUCCGCAAAUAGUAGUGUUAGUACACUUAGAAGAACCAAGUUCUUCUAGAGCGAAAAAUUGGGUACCACACAAAUCACCCCCUCUUGUGUGGUAUUGAUGUUUAGAACAUCACUAAGGAUAUUUUGAAAGAGUUCGGUUGUAUAGACUGUCCUCUUAUGACUCCCCCUUUAGAUUCCUCUAUGAAGUUAAAGGCUGAUGAUGGAGCUCUAUUGGUAGAUCCGUCCUAUUACAGGAAGUCGAUUGGAAAGCUCAACUUCCUCACUAACACUACGCUAGACAUUGCCUACAACGUAUAAUAUCUUAGUCAAUUUAUGCAAAGUCCCAGAGAACCUCAUUUGAAGGCAUCAUAUCAUGUCUUAAGGUACUUGAAAGGUGAUCCAACCUUAGGCAUUUUCCUUAGCAAUGAUGCAGAUUAUAGAGUAAAGGCUUUUCGUGACUCAGAUUAGGCAACUUGUCCUCGGUCCAGAAAAUCAGUUAGUGGGUACAUAGUGUUACUUGGUGGCACCCCUAUUAGUUGGAAAUCUAAGAAGUCGUCCACUAUUUCCCUAUCCUCUGUAGAAGUUGAAUACAGAUCAACUAGGAUGGUUGUUGGUGAACUUGUAUGGCUGGCCAGACUUAUUACUGAACUCACUGUUCCCCUAGCCUAGCAUAUUCCCAUAUUCUGUGACAGUCAAGCUGCCUUAUAUAUAGUAAGGAAUCCUGUGUUAUAUGAACGUACAAAGCAUAUUGAAGUGGAUUGUCAUUUUGUACGAGACCAACUGCAAGAAGAGUUGAUUUCCUUUCACCAUGUCAUUACCAAUGAUUAAUUAGCUGACAUUUUUAUCAAGUCUCUAACAAGAAUCAAGCAUUCUACAGUUAUUAACAAGUUGACAGUGAGCUCCUCACCUCCAACUUGAAGGGAGGUGUUAGAGAUUAUUUAUAUACAUUAUUUUGUACAUCAUGUAUUGCAUUGUAUUUAUACUUUCAUUUCUUUUAUUCUUCUUACUUGUACAAUGCUUCAGAUGUUAAUAAGGUGUUAGUUGAUAUUAGGUAUUAGUUUGGACACUAUAAAUAGGAUAUUAAUUGUACUUUUUCAUUUGAGUUGUAAACCAUGAAAAUCUAACUCCUCUUUUUAGAAGCUUUGUUUGCGUUCUCUCUCUUUUGCACGUUCUGUAUUUCAGCCAUUAGAGAUCACAUUGAGCUCAUGUCUCUUUUUUCUCAUUUAUCUCUAAAAUCUUGAGAUGCCCAGUUGGACUUUGUGUUGAAAUUCUCGAAUUCAUACUAAUUUACCCGUUUUUUCCUUAAAAAAGGGGAAUCUGUACUUGAGAUUUUUAAACAGAUGCUAUAGAAAGGUUUAUACCUUUUAUGCUAAGUCUUGAGAUGCCCACUUGGAUUUGUUGCUUAAAUUCCUAAAAAGUCUUUUCUUUUGCUAUGUGAAUUCUAUACAAAGGAAAGUUUGAAUCUUUUGUUCGGAUUGAGUUGAUAGAUUGGUCCAAUUUUGGUAACUUUAUUUGCUAUGUUGGAAGGAGAGAUUAAGUUCUCUAUUCUGACUUGAUAUGUUAAUUGCGAUUUCAGCAAGAUCAAUUAAAAAUCAUAUUUAGGAUUAUUCCUAGAAGUGGAGCCUCGGCGCAACUGGUACAGUUGCUGCCAUGUGACCAAGAGAUCACAUGUUCAAGCCGUGAAAACAGCCUCUUGCAAAAAUGAUGGAUAAGACUGCGUAUAAUAGAUCCUUGUGGUCCGGCCCUUCUUCGGACGCCGUGCAUAGCAGGAGCUUAGUGCUUCGGGUUACCCUUUAUUUAUUUAGGGUUGUUCUUGCAAGUGCCUUGUUGUCUGUGAUCAUAGAGGUUUAGCUAUAAAUUUAUCAAUUCCUUAUCUGCAGUAUCAUAACAGUCAGUAAGAAAUUAAAUAAAUGAUGUAUGGCUGACUAAAUAUUUGAUGUAAGAAGGGGCGAAAUAAUAAUACAAUUUUGGCAUUUGAGUUCAUAGAUUGGUCCAAUUUGGUAACCUGUAUUUGGUAUGUUGGAAGGAGAGAUUGAGUUCUCUAUUCUGACUUGAUAUGUUAAUUGCGAUUUCAGCGAGAUCAAUUAAAAAUCAUAUUUAGGGUUAUUCCUUGAAGUGGAGCCUCGGCGCAACUGGUACAGUUGCUGCCAUGUGAUCAAGAGAUCACAUAUUCAAUUCGUGAAAACAGCCUCUUGCAAAAAUGAUGGGUAAGAGUGCGUACAAUAGAUCCUUGUGGUCCGGCCCCUUCUUCGGACCCUGCGCAUAGCGGGAGCUUAGUGCACCGAGCUGCCCUUUAUUUAUUUAAGGUUAUUCUUGCAAGUGUCCUGUUGUCUGUGAUCAUAGAGCUUUAGCCAUAAAUUUAUCAAUUCCUUAUCUGCAGUAUCAUAACAGUCAGUGAGAAAUUAAAUAAAUGAAGAAUAACCCGAUCUCUAUUUAUGAGUAAACAUGCUGAGCCAUCCUUCAUGGUGUGUAUAAAGGUUUGGCAGAUACCUCAGCAGCAUCUACUGAAAAUAAAGGAAAAAGUCAGUCAUCUAUAAUUUCCUCCAGAGUGAGAGUAGCUAUUGUAGUACUUGGAAUUUUAGCUGCUGUGGGAUUUUGUUAUGUCCUUUUCAAGAUAUGGCAGAAGAAGAAAAGGGAAGAGCAGCAAGCUCGCCUCCUAAAGCUCUUUGAAGAAGAUGAUGAUCUUGAGGUUGAACUUGGAAUUCGGGAUUGAGAUUAUAUUAUCUCAUUCUAUAACACAGUGCAUAACAGAGGUGCGAGCACUGCCAUUUUCUAGAAAAUUGUGUUUAUUUCUUUUUAGUUUGUCUCAGCAAACAAAAUUUUGCUUUUGCAUGUGUACAGUUGAAGAUGAUUGAAAGAUUUUAUUUUUGUUUUAGCUUGUAACGUGUCUUCUAAAUGGUACAUGUGAUUUCUAUAUAUACCCUGUAUUCAUGCAAUACUAGAAACACCUAUUUUCUGAAAUGUGUACAUUCACAUGAAACUUCUCAGGAAUGUAAAUGGUUCUCUAUAUUCCAGGGUCAAAUAUUGAUGGAGUAUAGUAUGUUAUGAUGGUGUCCACUUGUAAAUCUUAGACCAAUAUGGUGUCCACUUGUUAAUCUGGCUUCUCUGUAGCUAUUAAUCAAUGAGGUCAAGAUCUUCUAUGCGGUAUUUGGGUUGCGUGUUUGAAGGAAGACACUUGUAUCAAAAUUCAGUUUCUGUCCAGGUGCCUUCUUGCUGUCCUUUAAUUGACGUGGUAUUUUUUGGCCCGUAGGAUUAGCAAAAAGUGUCAUAAGCUACAUGUCAGUAGCUAGUAGCAUGGGAUUUCAUUAUUUCAAUGACAUGUGCCUAUCUACCUUUUUUCUGUAGUGACUUUCGAAUAUACCUAUACAUCCCAUCUAAUGUUAAAAAGGUCAAAAAAACAAAUUUCAAAGUUAUUCUACUACACUGUACAGUUGUAGUUGCAGGUGAUUGACGUACUCAGAGUUGAUAUGUAGCACCUAUUGCAUAAUGUUCAGGCCCCUUCUUUUUAGCUUUUCUUGCAUAAAACUUGCUCCAUUAGCUGUAAUCCAACAAAACCGGCUGCUUUUGAGGUCAAGCUCUAGUAUUUGUUUGUUUGAACUUUGAACAGACCAGAGAGUAAAUAGGACUGACAAAAUAGAUAUUUGUAAGAAGACAGCUAUGCUGGUGGUUUGGGUCCUAGAUACAUACACAAUGAAUUGUGGUGUUAGCAUAUGGUUCGUGUGAGUAGGAUCCACUUAUUAAGUAGAAUGUAGAACAAUUUAUUGUCAAUUUAGGGGUCUCAGCGGCGGGGUGCUGCAGAACAGUUCCGUAAUUCUCUAUCUUGUUGGUUUUCCCCUGCUAGUAUUGGUUUAAAUAUUUGCUUUGUAAGGUUAACCAAGUCUAAAACCUUCAGGGUUGCAUAGUAAUCGGAUGGCAAGUGUCAUUUGGUAAUUACGAUUUUCAUAUAACUUAAUAGACUGAAGGAGCUUUGUAGUAAUAGUAAAGCUGUUUCCCUAUGACCUAUAGGUCACAAGUUCGAGCCGUGGACGCAACCACUAAUGCUUGUAUUAGGGUAGAUUGUCUACUUCACACCCCAAAGGGUACGGCUCUUUCCCCAGACCUUGCAUGAAUACAACGUGCUUGGUGCAUCGGAUUGCCUUUAUUUUUUCUUUUUUUAACUUAACCGGCUAUUUUGCUUCAAUAUCUUAAGAUUGCUGUCAAGAUAAGAAUGCUUAGUUGUCCGAUAAGCAAUAUUCAUCUAGAUUCAAAAUAUUCCUUCUUGCAUCUCCAACCUUUCUCCUGAAUACUAUGUGUUGUGGGUAGUGCAUUUGUUGGGCAGCUGGUUCGAUGUCUGCUGUUUUCUUGUUCCUAGCUUCUCCGAUGAGCUCAGUAUAUGGGCGAUAAAUCUUCUAGUUGAAGCUCCAUUUUGGAAUUUAUGCACUUCUCAUUGUUGGUAUUUGUCUUACUGAUGACCCUGCUGCAUUGUUAUGCUCUACAAAUCUUAUUAUGAUAUAUAUGCUUAGCUGUUGUCGUUAUCUUUCGAGAAUUGGUUGUGUCAUGGCCAAACUUAAUACAUUGAUAAAAUGAAACUUGUGAUAAAGUCAGGUAUUGUAUAUGAAGGUAUUCAAGUAAGGAUCUUGUACCUUCAUAUAUGCUGUGACUAUGGUGUUCCUGAGCCGAGGAUCAAUCGGAAACUGCCUCUCCACAUUCACAAGGUGAGGGAAUAAGGUCUGCGUACAGACUAGCUUCUUGUUGUUGCAUCGUUUACCUUCAUAUAUUACGAUAAGAUACCAAUCAGCUAUGCUCAUUUUUCUGUUUCUUUUCAUGAUUCUUUGCCAAUUAUCUAUUGUUUGAAUAUUUGCAAUGUCUGCGGUUUGAAUGCCUGCCAAAGUUGUUUGCUCCAAGUAAAGUCUGUGGUCUUUGUCAUAUAUAUGGCUAAACUUGGUACUCCUAUUUGUGAGUUUGACUCAUACAAAGUUUAAACACGAAAUAUUGGAAUGGAUUAUUAUAUUGUGUUUAAUAGUGAAGAGUACUAAGAUAAUAGAUUUACAUGUGAAAAAUAGAAAAAUUAGAUGAAAAAAUGUCACAUCAAUUUACUAAACAAAAUUAAGUAGAACUACUAAUUUAUGAAAACUACUAAUUAAAAUGGGACUAAGGAAAGUAGUUUUCAUGCGUAGUACAGUUUCUAAUCAAAUUUUUUUAACAGAGUGGAAUGGGAUGAAGAGCAAACUACACUUUAUCUUCCCUUUACCCUGUCUUGUUUUUAAGAGUUCAAGUUAUAUACAUUGUCAGUAUAAGAGCUUUUUAUAUUAUCAAAUUACGCUUAAAUUUAACAUUAUAAAUCUUAUAUUUUAAAGAGGCUUAUUUUGUGUUUCGGUCCUUUUCCAGAUCCCGCACAUAGAAAACUUGAUAGUACAGUUUUUUUCUACGCUAGUUUAUUUCUUGUCACGAUCUAAAAUUUACUAAAGGUCGUGAUGGCGUCGUCACCGCUGUCAGGCAAGCCAACCAAAAUACUUAAUUAAAUUCUUGUUUUAAAUAUUUUUUAAUUCACUAUUAUUAUACGUUUAAAUAAUACAUAGUAAAUUCCACUGGAUAGAUAAUGGAACAUUUUAACAACAUUAGAUAUUUCAGAACUCGGUGUCACAAGUGCAUGAGCAAUUUUUAAGAAAUAUUGUAAUACCACAACCGUCCGGAAUACAAAUUGGACAGAGGAUAAAUACAACAAUCUGGAGGAGACUCUGCUGGCUACGGGUCGUCCCAAGAAGUGCAACUCACCUAAGUCUCCGCAUCAACCAUGCUACUAUGCCAUUAAGCCACUAGCCAUAUAUAAACUUGUGCAACAAAAAUGCAUAGCAAGUGUAGUAUGAGUACAAAAACAACAUGUAUCCAAUGAGUAUCCCGUCUAAUCUCGAAGAAGUAGAGACGAGAGGUCGACUUUGACAUUUACUAAUGGUCCAAUAAUACAUUAUUAAUGCGAUAAAUCACGGAUUUAUUAUCGACAGUAAUUUUAGAUAAGUCAAGCAAUCGGUAAACGUUCCUUUUUAUUAAAAGGCUCCGGAUUCAUAAUCCAUUAAUUAACAAUCAUCUCACGUUGGGGAGAGCAGAUACCAAUAUCAACUCAUGCCGAGGUCGUACGGCCCGAUCCAACACAAAUGUAAAAUGUGCAUUGCCGAGGGUUGAAUGACGCGAACCAUAAGUGCAUCUAUUACCCUGCUCGCGAACCAUACAUGCGACACGGUCAAAUUUAAAUAAACAAUUAUCCUGCUCGUGAACUUUAUAUGCGAUGCAGGUACACAUUGAAGUACAUGCUCAAACAUCAAAUUAAGAAUUUAUCGGGGAAUAUUUAUCCAAAUAAAAACUAAUUCUCUUUUAUUGAUUUAAGAAAAUGAAGUUUAAUCCUCUUAGAAAUUUAUUUACCAAUUUGAUAGAAUUUAAGAAAUUCAACUAUCAAUAAGAUCACAGAUAUUUCAAGUAUAACAUGCUUUUAGGUCCUACACUAUCCGUACUUAUACUUAUUAGUAGCUACGCACGGACACUCGUCACCUCAUGCGUAUGUAGCCCCUACAAAUAGGAGCACAUAAUCAAUUAUUUCACCUAUGUGGAUAAUUUCCUCUUACAAGGUUAGAAAGGAGACUCAUCUCGCUCCAAAGAUCCAUAACCGAUACUCCACGUCCUUCCGAAGACUCGAAUCGAUGCUAAAUGCUCCAAAGCUAGCCAACAAUUAUGCAAUUUCAUUGUUAUAUGAUCAAUUACUCAACAAUCUAAUUUAUAACAAUUCCUGACCCUGAUCAAAAGGUUGACAAAAUUUCCCUCGGGCCCACGUGUCCGAAUUCCAAAAUUUUUGAAGAUAAAGUUUACCCAUAGCCUCAUGAACUCAAAUAUAUAGUUAGCUCUCAAUUUCAUGUUCAAAAUCGUGGUCAAAAUUCAAGAAUACAAAUUUUCUAGGUGUUCUUCAAAUCCCAAAAUUUCUACUAAUUUACAUGAUUUUCCAUGUUAACAUCUUGAUAUAAUCCAAGUAAUUAACUUGCAUAUGUGAGAAUCACUUACCUUGAUAUGGAUGAUGAAAAUAGAGCACCAAAAUCACUCCUUGGUCGGCUCCCAUUGAGGAAAAGAGAUAAAAUGAGACAAACCCAUUUCUUUACACUUAUACAUUGAUCAUACGACUCUUCUUCGUGUUCGCGAGACCCCUAUUGCAUUCGCGAAGUUAGAAAUUUUUCAAAAGCCAUUUUUGAGACUCCUCUUAGAUAGACUCUAGUAUAAUGGCCAUAACUUUUUGUACAAACUCCAAAUGACAAAUAGUUUAAUAUUUUGGAAACUAGAUACCAAGAUCUAUAACUUUCAUGUUUUGUUCAUCUUUCAAUUCCUUACAGAUUUUGAGAUAUAAGCUGUCAAAAUCAGCCCCGUGCAACACAAUUUCUUCUUCAUCUUCCCGGUCAUCCUAUAGAGUACCAGCAAUAACUUUUUGAACACAAAUUAAAUGCUAAAUGGUUUACUUUUAUGAAAAGUAGACACAAUAGUCUACAACUUUCAUUUUUGGAUCAUCUCCAAAUUCCUUAUAAAUUACCAGAUAUGAGCCUCCGAAGUCAGACCUGUGCAAUAGAGAUUUUCUUCUUCGCGAAUGCAAAGAAUAAAGUCCCUGAAGCAAAAUCCUUCUUCGCGAACACGAGAGGAUCCUCACGAACGCAAAGAAUAACACCAGACACCAGCAUCACCUUUUGCAAAACAGCUCGAAAUGAUUCAAAACCACCCUGAAACACACCCGAGGCCAUCGAGUCCCGUCCAAUCACGCAAACUAGUCCCAUAACACAUUACAGACUUGUUCGAGACCUCAAAUCAUAUCAAAUAAUGCUAAAACCAUGAAUUACUCCAAUUCAAGCUUUAUGAACUUUGAAAUUUCAAACUUCUAUUUUCGAUACCGAAACCCGUCAAAUCACGUCCGACUGAUCUCAAAUUUUGCACACAAUUCAUAUUCGACAUUACAGACCUACUCGAACUUUCGAAAUCGAAAUCCGACCCCGAUAUCAGAAAUUCUACUUCUGUUCAAUCUUCUCAAAAACCUUUAAAUUUCUAUCUUUAACCAAAUGACUCCAAAAUGACCUACGGACUUCCGAAUUCACUUCUGAUCGCACUUCCAACUCCAGAAUCACCAUACGGAGCUACUCCCAGACUCGGAAUCCCAAACGGACAUCGAUAACACUAAAAUGCACUUCAACCUAAACUUAUGAAAUUUCUUCCAAAAUGAUAACUUCCACAAUAUGCGCCAAAAUGCUCUCGGGUCAUCCAAAACCUGAUCCGGACAUACGCCUUAGUCCGAAAUUAUUAUAUGAACUUACUGGAACCUUUAGAUCCCGAUUCCGAUAUCGUUUACUCAAAAAUCUAAUUUUAGUCAAUUCUUUCAACUUAAAGCUUCCGAAAUGAGAAUUCUCUUUCAAAAUCAACUACGAACUUUUCGAAAUUUAAUUCCGACCAUUCGUGCAAGUUAUUAUACCUGAAGUGAAGCUACCCAUGGCCUCAAACUAUUGAACGACGUGCUAGAGCUCAAAACAACUGGUUGGGUUGUUACAUUCUCUCCCACUUAAACCUACGUUCGUCCUCGAACAUGUUAAAAAAUUCACUGGAGUUGUCCGAAAUCACUAUUUAACACCUCGUGCCCCUACCCGUGCUACUACAACCCAGUUGAGCUCAUUAGCUCGAUCAAUUAUGAAGAUAUUCCCUUUUAUUCAAGAAAAUAAGCUUAAAGCCAAUUCCAACAUCCAGAAUUCUUUGCCAAGAUUGCUUCCAAUAUAUGAACACCGUAUCAUUAACACACACAACACUAAAAUAUGACUGCAUACCUUAGCUGAAUUUACACCUUGCACCACUUUAUUCACAAGACCACAAUAAUAUUCUCUGAUCAAAUAAAUCAAAAUUCCUCAAAUCUGAUGCUUCUGUUGCUCUUCAUGACCUGCAUAGAUCUUUCCCUAACUUUUACAAUACCGCUGCGUAGUAAUUCAUAAUCAAUUGUCGAAUUAACAAAUAAUUGGGUCCAUACUCCUGACAAGAACCAUCACCUUAUCCUGAACCAAAUAACGGUCUUAGCUCCUUAAUAUACUUCAUAUGGUCAUAUUGCACUGAUCCUAAAUCCAAUGAUCUCAUCUCACCCAAUACGAACUGCUCAAGCAAUAAGACACCUGGACAUAAUCAAGAGUCUCAUAUGAUGCCAUAAUGUGCCAAUAAGCUACCAAUUCAAACACGAUACAAGGAAAAUGAAUUCUGAAAAGGAAAUCUAAUUAUCCCGCUCGCGAAUCAUACAUGUGACGCGGUCAAUAAAAUUGAACUGACACCCCUCUCGCGAAUCAUACAUGCGACGCAGACACACAGCUAAUAUGAGUCUUCCUCAGAAAAAUAGGACACAAAACACGUAAAUAAAUAUGGGGAACCGUACUCAACAUCAUAUUAUUGCGGCGCCAACCUGCUCCAAACAACAUACCCAUGGAGGCGUGCCACCCGAUCCACACAUAAAAUUUACAUAAUGAGGUACAUACCGAGCUAGAUUGCUCAUUACAACAAGAUACCGAAUAUCGGUCACAAGCACACUAAGUGCAUAAUACCAUCCCCGGGGAGACAUAUAGCACUUAUAAGCUACAAAACUCAUGCACAACUGGGGUGCGAUAUACGAUCUGAAUCUCAAGAGCCAUUUUGCUCGUAUAACACCAUCUCUACGCGGAACCUCAACACAUAAACAAUUUACCAAGCCAUCUCAUAACUCACAGAACGCAAUAUAUUGUUACAUGAAAUAACUGACGAUGAAAUAACACCCUGAUUACUCUUCCAUAAGGAGAGUAUUACUGAAAUGAACACAUCUAGCAUGAUAUAGAGCCCAUAUACACAUUUAAAUCCAUCCACAGACCUCAAAUUUAAUCCGAUCGCACUGAACUAGGCAAAUAACCUUUCAGAGGUCCAUAAUAACUCCCCUUCUUCUCAUAACACAUAAGGACAACCAUCAUAACCGGAGUAAUCAGUCACAGUCCACAACUCAAUAAAUUAAGUGCCCUCCAGGCAUCGAUUACCAAAUCAACGAUAUUGCCAUAAUCUUCAUUCUUGGUUUAACUCUUCAAACAAUCAAAUGACUAUAUGCCACACUUAUACAACCUUCCUGUGGGGCACGCUCCCAUAACCUUCUAUAAUAGACAACAAGUUUGUAUAUCCAAACCACCGGCCGCACUAACGCUGAAAACCGAUCAAGAAUCCUUAGACAGGAUGCAAAGCCCUUUUCACAAAACACCGAUAUCCGGUGAAGCUGAAGGCAUUACCAACUUACUUUAAAUAUCAAAACUUCUUUUCUACUUAUCCGAGCUCCUAACAUCCUUGUCAACAUCGAAUUGCAAUCUUGAUCCUUACUUCAAAUUUCGUACCACUCACUACACACGAUUUUCAUCAUAACUCCGGAACCGCUAAUAUAUUAACACUUCAUUAUAUAAAACAACUUUUCACUUAACUCACUUCAGGAGAACCAUAGCAACACACAUGUGAAUUCUCAUAACCGUAGAAUAUGCAAAUCUUUCAGUAGUGGUCUAAACCACUAUAACCUUUCCAGGAUCCGCGUACACAUUCAUGCCAUAAUAGAGCAUACUUCUGAAUAACAUCAAUUAUGGUGGCCGACAGGCCUCGCACGCGCCGCCACAAAUCAGUUGCAUAAUUUGGACUGAUUACUACCACCAAUAUGCCAAAUCAACUAUGCUAACCAGUCUAUCUUCUUCUAAUUUAUCCUUGAUUGCCUUAGAAAUAAUAACUCCAUUCAACACAUAACACACUCCAUCCGCACUCAUCUCGAGUGAUCGGGAAUCACGAGACCAUGUUGUCUAAAAUCCCACGAACCAUUUCGUACCCCCCAAUUGCUACACUGCAGGUCAAAACAUCAUAAAACAUUCUAGGCACCUUCUCAUAAGUUGAUGUAAACCUUGAUUCUUAACUGCACCUGUAAGCUCGAAAUCAUUAGGCACCAUACUUUACCUCUUUGAAUCCAUUAGGAGUUGUUGAGAGAUACCCAUUCUAACUUGGUCCCGAAUAUAAUCAACUUUAUGAAUCUUCUAGCACAUGAAUACCCUCUCGACGAAGCACCUGUCGGAAUCACUUCCCUUGAAACCCAUAUCUAUACAAGGCAUAAAUCCUGAAUCCUUCCUCAAGUCUGAACAUGAGCCAAUAAGAUCAACCAUGACACACCUUCACAAUUCCCUUGCUUAAAUCCCCUCUUAUGUUACUCCCCCUUAGCUGAAAUAACCCAUCAAUAUGCUACUAACCAGAAAUCUCAUAAAUAGACGACCAUGAAAUCCAACCUUAGGUUGUGGGACUCUCCCUCUUAGCUUGAAGCCACUAUUACACAACUCUGGAACUCACCAAGAUUCUUCCUCUCUUAUUGACAUGACUUUACGCAAUCAAAUUGCCAGAUUCCUUGAAAUCUUUUCGUUAAUAUCUCAGGAACGCUCCGAAUCUCUUGCAAUAUUGACAUAUUAUACCUCUUACCGAAUAGCCAUCAAAAUCCUUCAUGGAAGCUUCACCAACCACGUGACUGUUGACUUGCUCACUGGAAAUAACCAACCUGAGCUCGUGCUCAUUCACUAACUACACAAGUCCAUUCACUCAUUGUGGACAUCAAUUAAAUGGGUGACAAUACCUUCCGAUUCAAAUUUAUGUUGUAUCCUUCUCCAUAUCGAACAACUUCUUUCCAUAAUACCAAAUCUCCUGCCGCAUAAUGGUACAUACUUCAAAUUAAUCCGUAGGCCCAAAGUACCAAUUACUAUCAUUCUCAAAUCAUUCCAACUUUCCUCAAGGGUGUAGUCAUCCUACCACCAGACCCAUAUACAACUCCACCACUCUUCCACUUCGGCAAAACUUGCUCCUUUAAUCAACUACUCGACCUUCGCUUCUGAUAUAUGGCCUGCUAGAAAUUUUAAUCACCGCCUUGAAACUUCCCACAUGUCCUUUGUCAUAUUUUACAACUCAUUUGAUGCCUUAAUAAAAUCUACCUUUGUAGCACUUGAACCCACAAUUCGCAACUAACUUUAAACCUUUUCGGGGAUCAUCUUUCUUGAGCCAUCGACAUUGGAAACAUUGAUUCAAUCCUGAACCACCGCACCCCGCGAUCUCUGACAGUCUCUUCUUCAAUACUAUCUCACUAUAUCCUGCUCCGAAGGUAUCAUAACGUCGGUGAACUUAGUACAUUCAAUAAGGAUAAUGACUCCUCACUGUCACACCUCCAUUUGAAUAUCCACAACCCGGCGAAGGGCGCGGAUAAGGGAGUUUUUCCAAUUUAAGGACAAUCAAAACAGGAUUUAUUAAAAGAUUCAGAGUCGCCACUUGGGAGAUUUAUGGUGUCUCAUGUCACCGAUUUAAAUCCCGAAUCGAGGAAAGUUUGACUCUGUAUACAGUCUGCGAGCCGGAAAUUUGAGUAAGGAGUUCUGUUAACCCGGGAGAAGGUGGCAGGCAUUCCUAAGUUCCGUGGUUCUAGCAAGGACGCUCAACGAUCGUAUUCAGCUUAAAUUAUCUGAUUUUGAAAAACUAUGAACCUAUAUGCAAAUUUUAACUUUAUCCACUUUUAUUAUUGUUUUUGAAGAAAAUUGCAAUGUCGUUAAAACGUGCCUUGAACCACAUCACAUAAAUGCACCUGUGGUUUUUGACACAUUCCAACUUCAUUGAGAUUUGAGUUUGUUCCACAUAAAUGUGCACUCGAAUUUAGGAAAUUAAUAUUAUUAAGCACGCACCUAAAGCGACUAACAUAUUAUUAUCUUUUCGGGAAGUCGUGAAGUUUGCUAAACGGCAUGUCCCGAAUUUCCAAGUAUCUUAAUAUACCCAUUUAACGAGGUCGCAAUUUAUGGGUUUCAUUUGGUGCAGCGUACCUCAUUUUAUUAUUUAAAGAGCCGUCUUAAAGCAAGCUAGGAUUUUCUAUAGAGGCGUGCCUCUAAUAAGACCUAAUUAAUUAAUAUUAUGAAAUUCGGGCCUCGAAUUCAAGUCCAGAUUCAAAUAAAAGGGAAGAACCUCAUAAGUUGAACCUGCUACCUAACUCGAAAGCCCAAUCUUACAUUGCAAAAUUAAACUAACACUUGAAUAUGAAUUCGCGCUUUAGCAUAUUGGGUUACAAAUUCGGCCCAAGGAAAAACAAAGGUGAACUUAUUCAGCGUUUAUAAGAACCUACCCAGCAAAUUACAUGGGUUGAACUGGUCACUGAUACUUUGGCUCUUAGUACAUAGCUGGGCCCAAGUCUCAUUUUCAAGAGAACCUGUCACACUGAGCUCGUGAAUCAGCCAAAACCCAACCUAUGAUGUUAUUUAACUCUCAAACAUACCAAAACAAGAAGAAAAAUCACCUUUUAUAAAGAGCUGUCCAGUGUACAACAAGAUGUAUUGGCUAAGUGGGUCCUUGAUACAUGGUCCCAUUAUUGUGCAGCUAGGCCCAAAUCUCAUUUUUAUGAAUAAUCCUGGCAUGCUGGGCUUCUGAAUGAGCCCAAACCUCAUUUUCAGCCUUCAGAAGUACCAAUUCUAAACAAGCUGAAUCUAACGAUUUUUUAAAACAGAGAAAAACCACAAGAAUUAUUCAAAACGAAAGCGAGACAAUAUUUGAAUACCAAUUUCAAUACAUUAUCCAACUCGUUUGUAUACCAGCACAUUUAAUCCAGAAUUUAGCAGAAAUUUAAAGUAAUUACUGAAUCCUCCAACUAUCGUAACAGGCAAUAUACUUCUGAUACUAAAUUGUAAUUAACUCCUAGGUUCACAUUUCUGUAGGUAUAUAAUGAACGAGUCAAAGUAAUUAGCUCCUUGAAACUACAAAAAUUGCCUAGUUCGAUGCUAAUAUGAGUGUGCAUGCGACCAUUGGAUUCAGUUUCUAACCCAACCCCUAUUCCAUACUCAGGUUUAAAUUAAUAUUAUAGCCAAAACAAAAAUUAACUAUAACCUUCUAAAAAAAAGUCUAACAGUCCAGUUCAAAUGAAUACACAUCAACAGAAUACAAAAUUAAACUACACUAAACAAAUAUCAAUAUCAUUUGCCCAAACUACAGUCACACAACCAUCCAAACGAGCAUGCAUUGGAGAACCAAACUGGUAGUUGUAUUUUAUUCCAUUUCCAAUUCGAAGUUACAUCAAGGCAGUUUAGUAUGUGUACCUAAAUUGGGGUAAAAAUGAAACACCUAUGUGUAGGUGAUUAAGAGGUAAUAACAGCAGCAAAUCCACCAAACCGAUGCAGCAACAAAUCAAUCUCGAAACCCAGGAACAAACAAGGAUUUUUCUCAAAAUAAACCAGGAUCUACACAACUUUAACACAAAUGAUUCCAGGAUGAGUUCAAAGUGGUUGAUGCUAAUGGAACAAUAAUUUUUUUUUUGUGUUUUCAAGUUUUCAUUAAAUUUCCUAGAAUCAGAUAUGCCUUUUUUUGAUUCUUUGCUAUUCUAUUUGGGACUAAUUCAGAAUGAUUCUUUAGAGGUUGUUUUUCGUGCCUUUUCAAUCAAGAUAUCUAUGCCUUAUAGGAAAGUAUGCUAGGGCAAAGUUCACUUUUAUUCUUUUUCUUUUAGUCCUUUCAAUUUUCAGAUUUUAUACCAUCAGUCCCUCAAUUCUUAACUUGCUGGCCAAGUUAUAUCAAUUAAAACUUGUAGUUCGAAUUUGAACCCUAUUCUAGAAUGCUCUAGACUUAACUACAUCAUUGUGUUCUAUUUAGGACUAACUACACUACCCCUUUUCAAUUUGAGAUUUACUAAACUAGUCCAUGCUACACCCAAACCCUUUUACCUUGGUUUACAAUUAUCAGUUAUAACCAAACGUCCUAAUGUCUGAAUCAAUAGACCCAAAUACCCCUAAUUAGGAUCUGAAUUAACCAACUAACAAUUCAAAUCAGUAGGUACUACUAGACAAUUUAAAAGAUCAACAUAUGAAUCAACACUAACCUAAUACAAACAUCUUAAAACACUGAAUUAAUCCUAAAACAUGCCAUGAUUUCAAAAAUGAAACAAAACAAAGCAAGACUUAACACUAAAAAUCGAAGCAAACAUGGUUAACUAUAAACAAAAAUUAAGCCAACAAAAAUCUAACAGAAUUGCCAUUUUACACCAAUAAAAACAGAAGAGGUUCAAGAGAAGAAGAUCUAAAACAAUCACAAUGAGAACAAGUGAGACCAAAGAACGGCAAUGGUUUGCAGACUUACUCUAACAAUGACAAACUCAAGCGAGAUAUCACAAUACUGAAGAAUAACUCAACUUAAACAAAAAAUGAAGCAUCGACUAAGGCCAUAACAUAACAGAAAAGAGGAAACAAUGAAAAUUAAAGAAGACCAUAUUUAGACUAAAUAAACGAAUUACAAAACAAUAAUUGAAACUAAAAUUAACAGAGAGACUGAAAGACUAAGCUUAAACUUCUUGAGUCUUAAGAAUUUGCAUGCAUCACUUAAAGGGUUCCGGGAACCCUAAUUUUGACUCGACGAGGCAGUGAGGGCGUUUGAGGGCACAUAACCUUAUUUUUGUGGUGAAGAGAGUGAGGGUGGCUCAGAGGAACAUUUUGGUUGGGUUAAGAAACUGAGGUGAUUUUUAUUCGGGCUUUAUAUCAAUAUUUGAGUCGUUGGACCAUGGUUCGAAGGAAGUUGGUAUUAGAUUUGUGACGAGGGUGUAAAGGGGAUGCUAUGGUGUAUUUUUGGUGGCCUUCUAAGCUGGCGCCACCGUGGACGGCGGACCAGUCAAACCUUUGAAUGAAGAUUCGAGAUGAAUGGUUAAGAUUCGAAGGCUGGGAUUUAGAGUGUUGGAAAGAGGAGGAAGGGGAGAUUUAGGGGUGUAAAUUUGGGCGUCAUUGGAGACUUGCCGCUGGCGGCGGACAACAGAGAGGCGGUGGUUUUAAGGCGAUGAUACACCGGUGUAUUUUAGGGUUAAGGGGGACAUGGUACGAGGUUGAGUCUGGGGUGGGGGUGGGGGGGGGGGUUUNNNNNNNNNNNNNNNNNNNNNNNNNNNNNNNNNNNNNNNNNNNNNNNNNNNNNNNNNNNNNNNNNNNNNNNNNNNNNNNNNNNNNNNNNNNNNNGGGGGGGGGGGGGGGGGGGGGUGUUUGUAACACUUAUAUAGGCGUUACACCUCCACUUCUCGACCAUCUGAUCAAAGCAGAUCGACGACUCAAAUUAAUCUAAAGGAAAACUGCGUCGCUCUGGGCAUGGGGGUUGGACCGGGUAGUGUUUUGGGCUGGGCGGGUAUUUUGAACGGGUCAUGAUUUUUUAGGCUGAAAAUAUGGCCCAAAUCUGGUGGUCUGAUUUGUUAUUUGCCCUUUUUUUCAAUUUCAAAUUCUUUUAUUUGUUUUCUUAUUUUUCUCUUUUAUUUAAUUAAUUCCCAUUGUUUUAUUUGUUUUCAUUUUUAGGUUUUUCAAAUGCAAUAUAAAAAGGACAAGACCAAAUUUAUACUUUACUAAUUAAUUUCUAAAAGUAAUCUAAUUCUCAAAUUUAAAAAGAAAACUAAACAAAUGUAAAAAUGACCAUUUUGUUAUUUCUUUAUUUCUGCAAUAUUGAUUAACUAAUAAACCUAAGAAAAAUGUAAAGAUUGAGUCCUAAAUGCGAAUAUGCUAUUUUUGUAUUAUAAAGAAUAAUAUCAAUUUAAAAUGCACAAAAUUCAAACAAACGCAAAAUCUUGCAAUUAAUUCCUAAUAGAUCAAAUAAUAAAAGAAAAAUCCUAAUCUUAAUGAGUUCUAUAAGAAUAUUUCAGGCGAGGUAAAAAUCAGGUGCUCACAGCUGUCCCUCUUUGCUUGGGGACACGAAGGGUUUCCAUGUAAAGAUAAAUGAGUAAACGAUAGAUUUUUGUAUGCUCGACAUUCCAUGAGAAGCAUUUCUAAAACUUUAAGACCGAACCCUACUUCAAAGGUUGCCUUCAUAUCCUUGGCUACAAAGGAAUCAGGUAGUGUAGCUUGGAGUGUUUGGUAGUUGGGACUACCGAAGUUGUGAUUUUACUGCUGCUGUCGUUGCUGCUACUGCUACUGCUAGACCCCCUUAUUACACCAAAAAUAAAGAAACUAGACUAAGCUAUGAACUAUGGAUUACAAAAGAAUCUGUCUAUGUCUUCAAUCUUGCUCUUGAUCCUUGUUGCUUUGUAUUUCACUUCUUCUGUGUUUGUUGUCGAAUUGUUGGACAUAAAAUGUAUUCCCAUGUUUUGCGCNNNNNNNNNNNNNNNNNNNNNNNNNNNNNNNNNNNNNNNNNNNNNNNNNNNNNNNNNNNNNNNNNNNNNNNNNNNNNNNNNNNNNNNNNNNNGGGGGGGGGGGUGUUCAUGAUAACAAAGCUUGAAUCUUGAAAAAUAUUUCCUUGUACUAACAGGUAGGCGCCUAAUUAUCAAAGCUUGAAACUUGAAAAAUAAUCCCUUGUUCUAACAGGUGGGCGCCUGAUUACCAAAGCUUGAAACUUGAAAAAUAUUCCCUUGUUCUAACAGGUGGUUGCCUGAUUACCAAAGCUUGAAACUUGAAAAAUAUUCCCUUACUCUGACAGGUGGGCACCUGAUUACCAAAGCUUGAAUCUUUGAGAAAUAUUCCCUUGUUCCGACAGGUGGACGCCUGAUUACCAAAGCUUGAAACUUGAAAAAAUUCCCUUGUUCUGGCAGGUGGGCGCCUGAUUACCAAAGCUUGAACUUUAAAAAAUAUUCCCUUGUUCUAAAAGGUGGGCGCACGAUUACCAAAAUAAUCUUGAAAAAUAUUCCCUUCUUCUGACAGGUGGGCGCCUGAUUACCAAAGCUUGAAACUUGAAAAAUAUUUCCUUGUUCUGAAAGGUGGGCGCCUGAUUACCAAAACUUGAAUCUUAAAAGUAUUCCCUUGUUCUCAUAGGUGGAUUCCUGAUUACCAAAGCUUGAAACUUGAAAAAUAUUCCUUUGUUCUAACAUGUGGACGCCUGAAUACCAAAACUUAAACUUCGAAAAAUAUUCCCUUGUUCUGUCAGGUGGGUGCCUGAUUACCAUAGCUUGAAACUUGAAAAAUAUUCCCUUGUUCUAACAUGUGGGCGCAUGCUUAACAAAACUUGAAAUUUGAAAAAUAUUACCUUGUUCUGACAGGUGGUUGCCUGAUUACCAAAGCUUGAAUCUUGUAAAAUAUUCCCUUGUUAUGACAGGUGGGCGCCUGAUUACCAAAUCUUGAAACUUGAAUAUUUGCCAGAUUACCAAAGGUUGAACUUGAAAAAUAUUCCCUUGUUCUGACAGGUGGGCGCUUGAUUACCAAAGCUUGAAACUUGAAAAAUAUUCCCUUAUUCUAACAGGUGGGCGCCUGAUUACCAAAACUUGCAACUUGAAAAAUAUUUCUUUGUUCUAAUUACCAAAGCUUGAAACUUGAAAAAUAUUCCCUUGUUCUGACAGGUGGGCUCCCGAUUACCAAAGCUUGAAACUUGAAAAAUAUUCCCUUGUUCUGACAGGUGGGCACCUGAUUACCAAAACUUGAAUCUUGAAAAAUAUUCCUUAAGACAUGCUGCUUGUGUACUUGACCACAACAAAGCAAACAAAACAAGAGAAAUUCCUUCUGCCCCAGUUUUGUACUAGAUGCAUUUGUAAGUGUUAAUAAAAUCCCAUGACAACUUAAAAAUUAGGAUGCGUUCUCAAAAUGAAUUAUUUUCCAUUAUGUUUUGUUAUCAAAGUUAUGUCUGUCGGGGAUCUACUAGGGAUCGGAUAUUAAAGCUACUUCCCAUUAUCCAAGAGGGUCCUGACAACUUUUAACUAGAUGAGAGAUGUGUCUGCUGGGGAUUAGUAUUUCACGCUAUAUCUUAUUAUUCAAACGGGUCUUGAUGACUCUUGUUGGGGCAUGAUCGUGCCCGCCCAUGCCACCCGACAGUUCGUGUUUUAGGUUAAGUCCUAUUUUUCAGGAAGGUCCUGAAAACUCUUAAUUGAAUCCUACUUCAACAUGCAAGUCAUUUUAUGCUCUUUGCUAUCCAUGAUUGUCUCUAAUCUUUAAACAAGUCCCCUUUUCCGGGAGGGCCCUGAGGGUUCCAGAUUAAAUGCCAAUUCUAACUUCUUGUUGUUUCUGCUGGUGGUCAUUGUUCAUGAGGGUUUAGGUGACUCUUAAUGGGGAAAGUGUUUGCGCCUGCCCAUAUUACCAUUCCUGUUCGAGUUUUAAUCUGCACCCCAUUUCGACUUCCAUACCCCUUUUAACUUUCAAUUGUUUCUACUUGGGGUUGCUAAGUAAAGUUUGUCUCAAUAUACUUUUUGCUGAGGAGAACAUUUAUGAUGGACUAUGUUCCCUUUGAGUUAUAAUUGGGUCCCGUUUCCAGGUGGGCCCUGAGAUUUUGAUCAUACCUGCCAUGUGCCUGCUUUCCUCCGUGGAUGGCCCUCCUUAGGCUUUUCUGGAAUUUUUCUGCUCCUGUGUCAAUCAAAGAAAAUUUGUCAGUUUGAAAAAUGGUGGUUAGCUUGCGGCAUUCUUGUUGGGAGCGGCCUCCCCACUGUCGUAUUCCAUUGUGUUCAAGUUUCCAUGUUGAUGGUGAGUUGCCUGAUUUGGUUGGCUGACCCUCGAACCUUUAUGGCUUUACUUUGCUCGCCCAUUACCGUGUUACAUUCCUAGCCAUUUUGCCCCAAUUCUUGCACCUUUCCUGAGAUUACCAGGUCAAUGUAUUAUGUUUGGCUGACCCUCUGACCUUUGUGGCUUUACUCUACUUCCCAUGCUUAUGUUGUACUUUCGAUCCUCUUCCUAGAACUCUUACAUCCUUGCCUGAGGUUGCUGAGUCAACGUAUUACGCUUGGUUAAUCCCUGUAGCCUUUCCUACUUUGUGUUGUGCUUUUGAUUCUUUCGCCAAAAUCCUUGCAUCCUUUCUGAGAUUAUCCGGUCGGUGUGUUAUGCUCGGCUAACCCCUGACCCUCAUGGUUUUACUUUGCUUCCCCAUCUUUGUGUUGUGCUCUUUCAUUUUGCCAAACAUGUCUCUUCAAUCUAUUUUAUCAUUGAAGCUCUUGUGAAUCCCUUCCAUUGCUAUUUCAAACUUUGCUGUCUUUGUUACGUUUUGGGUAUCAUGUGCUUCAUCCCUUUGGGAGCUGAUAGUAAUCUUUGAAAGUUCUCUCCCGUUUGCUUAAACAAAAGAUUUUAUAGACUCGAAAGAAAAAUGAAAUGUAAUGACUCAGAACUGUAUUUAGGGUGAAGAAUUCCACAUUUAAUGACUGUUGAGGGGAAAAGGAAAGAAACUUAUCUGAGGAAAAACAAGUGGUUUUUCAUGAUCAUGACAUGCAAUUCAACCUAAUCGACCUAGUCUGUCCCGAUGACCGGCCUUCAAUCGCCAUGCUUUCGUUGUUGCGACCUUUGUAACCCCAUUCCUCCGACCAAACCCUAACUUUGCUUGACUUAGGGUGUUCAGAACAAAUUUCUACAAAAAGUUCUUUUCCAAUUGUUCGUUCCUUGCCUUGCCUUCGCCUUACGGUGCCCGUGAGGGUUUUCACUGAUAAGACUCUCUCAUUUUUAUUUCUCUCAAACUCUCGUCGCCUUACGGUGCCCAUGAAGGUUUUCACCAAUAAGACUCUCUCAUUUUUAUUUCUCUCUGCUGGAACUAGAGUGCCGUUCGAGGUAUGGUCCACCUCUCCUUGUUUUCCCCGACAUUUCGUACAGAUUGAUCAGAAGGUCUUUCUUUGGGCCGUAAUGUAGGCUUUUGGAUAAGGUUAGAAAUAAAGGGUGUGAAAGGAUCUACAAUCACUUUUAUGGGUUCAAAAUUUACAACUUUCGGAAUCCAAACCAACGCCAUUUCUGCCCCAUUUUCUUGCUUGGGGACUUUGGAUUUUAUUUGAAUAUGACCGAGCCGUGAGGCUGCCUACAUAUCCUUAAAAGGAAUCAGGUUAAACGUAGUUCCUGCCGAUUCCUUACUUUUACUAUUAUUUGUAUGUUUUCCUUUUCCUUCUUUCUUUCUGCUGUUCUUUUCUUCCUUUUUCUCUUUUUUUUUUCUUUUUUUUUCUUCUUUUUCUUUUCUUUUCUUUUCUUUGUUUUAAUUUCUUUUCUCUUUUCGUUCUUGUCCUUUCACUGCCUUUCUUAUGAUUGCGCUUCUGACUUUCGUUACUAAUUUUGAAAGAGGGGUAUGCAAGAAAAUAAUUGAAGCUCAAGAGGGUUAACAAAGGAUAAAAUUUUUAUAUAGCUGAAUAAAAUGCCUUCGUCAUUUCAAUCUCUAAAACAUGCCAAGUACAAACAAACGCCAAGUAUAGACAAUGAUUCAAACAAAAGAGAAUCAUACAUAAUAUCUUAUGACUGUAUUUGAAUUGAUAGCCAUAUUUAUACAUUUUCCUUCAACAUCUAUAGUCAAACAUAAUAUCUUUUGAAUGCAUCUGAAUUGAUAGCAAUUUCUACACAUUUUCCUUCCACAUUUGUUAGAUACAAUGCCCCAUUGGACAACACUUUUGACACGACAAACGGUCCUUGCCAGUUUGGAGCGAACUUUCCCUUUGCCUCGGCCUGGUGAGGGUGGAUUCAUUUCAACUCUAAUUGACCCAUUUCAAACUUUCUUGGACGAACUUUCUUGUUAUAUGCUCUGGCCAUCCUCUGUUGAUACAACUGGCUGUGACACACCGCUGCCAAUCUUUUCUCAUCAGUCAAACUCCAUUGCUCCAAAGGAGUUCUAACCUAUUCUUCGUCGUCGAUUCCAGCUUCAGCUGCGAUACGAAGGGAGGGGAUUUCAACUUCAGCCGGGACCACUGCUUCUGUGCCAUAUACCAAAAAAUGUAGGGUUGCCCCUACCGAAAUGCGGACAGUAGUGCGAUAGCCUAACAGGUCAAAGGGUAACUUCUCAUGCCAUUGCCUGGACCAUUCCACCAUUUUAGGAAGUAUCUUCUUUAUGUUCUUAUUGGCUGCCUCGAUCGCUCCAUUCGCUUUGGGGUGGUACGUGGUAGAGUUGCUAUGUGUAAUCUUGAAUUGCUGACAUACCUCUUUCAUCAAGUGACUGUAGAUAUUUUCCCCAUUAUUAGUGAUGAGAAUCUUGGGGAUUCCAAACCGACAAAUAAUAUUUGCAUGUACGAAGUCGACUAAUGCUUUCUUGGUCACUGCUUUGAUGGUUUUGGCUUCAACCCAUUUGGUGAAGUAGUCAAUAGCAACCGGGAUGAACCUGUGUCUGUUAGAAGCUGCUAGCUCGAUGGGCCCGAUAAUGUCCAUUCCCAAAGCAACAAAAGGCCAUGGUGCAGACAUCGUAUGCAAUUCAGACGACGGGGAGUGAUCAAAUCUCCAUGCACCUGACAUAGAUGACAUUUGCGCACGAAGCUGAUACAAUACCGCUCCAUGGUGAGCCAAUAAUAUCCUGCCCGGAGAAUCUUCUUUUCCAAAACAUAUCCGCUCAUGUGCGGCCCGCAGACGCCAGCACGUACCUCAUCAUGACAGCUGUCGAGUGCGCAGCAUCUACACAUCUUAGCAAACCAAGAUUCGGCGUUCUUUUGUAUUAUAUUCCUCCGCUGAAGAAAAACCCACUUGACAAGCUGCAGAUUGUUCUCUUCUGGUCACUCGUGGCUUGUACCAGGUACACACCCAUCCUGAUAUAUUCUUUGAUGUCGUGGAACCAAGGCUCACCGUCAAUCUCUUCUUCCACCAUGUUGCAAUAAGCAUGUUGAUCAUGGACCCGGAUAUGUAUCAGGUAGACAUAAGACUUAUCCGAAUGAUGUAACAUUGACGCCAAAGUAGCCAAGGCAUAAACAACCUCAUUGUGAAAUUCUGGGGAUGUUCCUGAACUUUAUUGACCAGAAUCGUUGACAAAGAUCAUGUAAGCAUUGCCGGUAUGGUAUGAGCUUUAAUCUCUUGUUUGCCACUCCCCUUGAAUUUGGUGUACCAGAAGGUCCGAGUCUCCCAAGACCAAGACUUCCUGGACNNNNNNNNNNNNNNNNNNNNNNNNNNNNNNNNNNNNNNNNNNNNNNNNNNNNNNNNNNNNAAAAAGAAAAGAAAAGGGAGUAAAGAAAAAUACCAAGACUUCCUGGACAGCCAUGUCUGCUGCUAAUCUCAAGCCCAAACAUGCCUCAUAUUUUGCCAUGUUGUUGGUGCAAUAGAAUCGGAGUUGAGCCGUGACUGGGUAAUGAUGCCCUUCUUCAGAAAUGAUCACUGCUCCUAUCCGACUCCGUUCAUGUUGGAAGCCCUAUUUAAAAACAAUUUCCAUCUCUAUUUCUCGCCCCGUUCCAUUUUGAUCAAUUUGUAUCACUUCCUUGUCCGGGAAGUAUGUGUUUAAGGGCUCACAUUUUUUGUCUAUCGGAUUCUCAGCUAAUGAUCAGCCAAUGCUUGUGCUUUCAUGGCAGUCCUAGUUACGUAGACAAUGUCAAACUUAGUGAGCAAGAUUUUCCAUUUCGCGAGCCUUCUUGUAGGCAUGAGCUUCUGGAAAAUGUACUUCAAUGGGUUCAGACGUGAGAUGAGAUAAGUGGUAUAUGAUGAAAAGUAAUGCUUUAACUUCUGGGCUACCCACAUCAAGGUGCAACAUGUCCUUUCACGAUGAGUAUUCUUAACCUCGUAGGACAUAAAUUUCUUGUUGAGGUAGUAUAUAGCCCGCUCUUUCCUCCCGGUGACAUUGUGCUGACCCAACACGCAUCCAAAUGAGUUGUCCAAGACUGUCAAAUAUAAGAUCAAGGGUCUUCCUGGUUCUGGCGAGACCAACACCGAUGGGUUCGACAAAUAUUCCUUUAUCUUAUCAAAAGCCUCCUGGCACUCUCCCGUCAAUUUCACCGCAACAUCCUUUUACAAUUGCUUGAAGAUGGGCUUGCAAAUGGUUGUGAGCUGAGCAAUGAACCGACCGAUGUGAUUCAAUCUUCCCAAUAGACUAAUCACCUAUGUUUUCUUCCUCGGUGGCGGGAGUUCCUGUAUAGCUUUGAUCUUUCAUGGGUAUUGUUCAAUGCCGUCGACUGACUAUGAACCCUAGAAACUUUCCUCAGGGGACCCCAAAUGCGCAUUUUGCCGGGUUGAGUUUGAGAUCAUACCUGUAGAGCCUCUGGAAGAAUUUCCUCAGAUCUUUUACAUUAUCGGAUUGCUUUCUGGACUUCAUAAUCACAUCAUCCACAUAGACCUCAAUUUCUUUAUGCAUCAUAUCGUGAAAAAUGGUUGUCAUGACCCUCAUAUAUGUCACCCCGGCGUUCUUCAAACCAAAAGGCAUGACCCUAUAGCAAUAUGUUCCCCACCGUGUUAUAAAUGCUAUUUUCUCUGCAUCUUCUUUAUCCAUCAAGAUCUGGUGGUAACCUACUUAAAAAUCCACGAAUGACCCGAUCUCAUUCUUCGCACAAUUGUCAAUCAAUAAGUGAAUGUUCGGCAGGGGGAAGUUGUCCUUCGGACCUGCUUUAUUGAGGUCACGAUAAUCAACACACACCCUGGUUUUACCAUCCUUCUUUGGUACGGGCACAACAUUAGCUGACCAGGUGGGAUAUUGUGUGACUCGGAUAACUUUUGCCUCAAAUUGCUUGGUCACUUCCUCUUUGAUUUUCACGCUCACAUCAGUUUUAAAAUUUCUCAACUUUUGUUUGACGGAAGGAUAUGUUGGGUCGGUGGGCAAUUUUUGAACCACCAAGUCAGUGCUUAAUCCGAGCAUGUCAUCGUAAGAGCAUGCAAAGACAUCUUUGUAUUCGAGAAGUACUUCAAUUAUCUCUUUCCUAAUUUGUGACUCCAGAUGGACACUUAUUUUGGAUUAUCUAGGGCUCCCUAAAUUGACUGCUUCUGAAUCGUUCAGGUUUGGUUUGGGUCUGUCCUCAAAAUUGGCUCAACUCUUUACUAAUGUCAACCCAUGCUCCUUCAUCAUCGUGCUUUGGCUCAUCCUCAUGCUCUAUUUCCUGAAUUAUUAUUUCUAAACUAGACAAAUUUUUAAGACUGGGCCAAAGAGUCUUUAUGCAUGUCAGAUAGUUGGAAUUAGAAUAAAAAUAAUUGUACAAAAAAGAAAAGAAAAGGGAGUAAAGAAAAAUGGGAACUAUUAGCACUGCUGGAAAGGAAAUUACAUUUCAUUAGAAUCAAAAGAUAACAGAGUUUACACAUCCAAACAGACAGAAAUAACAAUUGAAUUAACAACUCUGAAACUAAUCAAAACUAGACUGAAAGAAUAAUCAAAGUCGACUACCACGACUCCCUCCGGGUGGGAAGAGGAGUGGCUUCCCAGUUGUUGACUUUUACACAUGCUUCCACAAACUGCACAUCUGCCCUGAUCGAUCUUUCUCCUUCCUCAACAAUGUUUACCUCAUCGAACAACCUUUCUAAUCCCUAAUCCAAAUCCACAUCCGUGUCAAUCAGUGGACUGGGAAUAUUUGGCAUUGGGCACUUGCUAGUACUAGGCUUGAAAAACGAUCCGAACAACCUUGAGAUGGGCUUUGGGAGGGCCCAGGCCCUCUACUUUGACUUUCUGUCUUGCCUUAUGCCCGUAGUUGUAGGCUUGAACUCUAAACCAAAAGUGUCCACAUUUUUGGGGAGAGACACUGGUUGCACGAUGCCUUGUAGAGAAGCACCCAACCCCUUGCCGGGCAUGAAACCAUUCUUCAUUAUCUGUAAAGCCACCAUGGCCGGCGCAGUUUCUAUUUUUGGAGUCAUGACAACCUCACCUUAUGGGAUCUUCUGAACCGACACCGUAUCAAAUACCUGGUAUACUCAUGGCCCUUUUCUGUCUUCAGAUCUGAAGCCUCUAUGAUUGACGCGGCUGCUAUCCUGGGAGUUUUGACAACUUCUCCUUCUGGGAUCUUCUCAACUAUACCGUGUCGAAUACUUGGUAGACACAUUGGCCUUUGUUGUCUUCAGAUUCAAUAAAAGGUACAAUAGCAUCACCUGAAACACACUGGUUAUCUUCACCGUGCACCAUAAUCUCUUGCCUGUCCUAUUCAAAUUUGACCAUCUGGUGCAAAGUAUAUGGCACUUGGUUGCGUAAAUCCAGGGCCUGCCCAACAACAUGUUAUAAGAAACUAUCACGUCCAGCACUUGAAAUUCCAUGGUGAACUCAACGGGCCUUAUUGUCAGUUCCAGCACUAUUUCCCUACUGAAUCUUUGCCUCCGCCUUCGAACCCUCGAACAUAAAUGUUUUUCUUGUGGAACCUUUAAUUGUCCACCUUCAGCUUGAUUAACGGGGAGAGCGGACAAAUAUUUGCAUAGGACCCGUUGUCAACUAGAACUCGGGUGACCACAGUAUCGUCACACUUCAUAGCCAAAUAAAGGGCCCGAUUAUGCUCAGUGCCUUCCAUGGGCAGCUCAUCAUCAGAGAAAGUGACCCGAUUUACCUCGAAUAUCUUUCUUGGAAUCUUCUCCAAAUGAUUCACUAUUAUCUUGUCAAGGACGUAGGCUUCGUUCAAAAUCUUCAUCAGCGCCCGACGGUGUUCAUCUGAAUGGAUUAGUAUGGACAAUAAGGAGAUCUAAGCCGGUGUUCUCCUUAAUUGCUCUAUGAUGGAGUAGUCCUGCAUUUUCAUUUUCUUCAGGAAUUAUUCUGCCUCUUCUUCUGAUACAGCUUUCCUCACCGAUUCUGGGUUAUCCUCAGGGAUCGUGCUUUUCCUCAACUCCUCAGGGGCGAAGUAUCUCCCUGACCGAGUCAAAUCCCGGGCUUCACAAACUUCUUCCCUAGCUUCCUUUCCUUUGUACUUCACUAUUGCUUGUUCAUAUCUACAAGGAACAUAUUUUCUAUUGACGAAUGGUGGUUGGGUUACUGAUUUUAUAAUGGCAGGCUCUAUGUGAGCACCUUCCAUAUCUACGACGGGUUCCCUGGCUGCCCUGGGUACCAUCACUUUUGCCUUUUACUGUAAUCGUGCAACGGUGCAUGAUGCCCUCCCUUGAACCACAAUACGUUUGUUGUCUAUUUCCUUUGUUUUUGUCACUGACUUCUCAAUGCUCAUACUCUCAAUAGGCUUGACUUCGGUGGAUUUGAUCAUCAUUACUGUUUGUGAGGGCUUUUUAGACUCUCACUCUUUUUCCACGAGCUCAAUCAUGUUGGUCUCAUGAUGGGCCGGAAAUGGGUUUCGGUUAAUGUUGAGUGCUUCUGGAGCCUGCACUUCAAUCGUGUGGGAGUCAAUAAGUUCCUGGAUAGCAUUACUCAAAUGCUAACACGUUUUGGUAUCAUGCCCCGGUGCACCAGAAUAGUAUUCACAGCUGACCGAAUAAUCUAGAUUCUUCGGAGGAGGGUUUGGCAAUUUUUCUUCGAUUGGUCUCAACUUAUCUAGUUGUCGCAGCCGCUGGAAUAAACUAGUCUAGGAUUCUAAAAUGGAGUGAAAGUCUUCUUCUUCUAAUCCCUUUCAUUCCUCAAGACUGGAUUGGCUCGGAAUGCGGGUUUCGAGGGUUGUUUGAAGACUAUUGGAGGUGGGUAAUGAAUUUGUGGAUUUGGGUAGGUAUUUUAUGGGGCUGGCGCACGCCAUUGUACGUGGGUGGGAGGUUAGUUACACGCUUGUGCAUGAUGUACUGAGAAGCGAUGUUCUAACGGUGGAUAGUAAUGUUGUGGUGGGCUGUAUGGAGUGUGUGUGUAUGUCUGGUGGUGAGGACGGGGUUGGGUGUAAUGGGAUUGGGCACGAGGCCUAGACCAAAUUCCCUACUCAACUGUUGCUACUUUCUUCUUCUUCUUCUUCUUCUUCUUUCCAAAUGUUCCCCCGGGUCCACCCUAGAUGGCCUGAGUGAUCACCUUGAUGGCAGAGUAGCUCACGAUCUUGUUGGAUUUGAGGCCUUCCUCGACCAUACUCCCUAUUUUAACUAUCUCGUUGAAUGAUUUACCUACUACUGACACCAGAUGCCCGAAAUAGGUAGGUUCCAGAGCUUGCAGGAAAUAAUCCACCAUCUCACCCUCCUUCAUUGGAAGAUCAACCUUGGUUGCUUGUUCUCUCCACCGGAAAUCGUAUUCUCUGAAACUCUCGUUGUGUUUAUUCUCCAGUUUUUUCAAGGAUAGACGAUCCGGGACAAUUUCGAGAUUAUAUUGAAAGUGACAACGCUUGUGCCAGGUCAUCCCAAGUAUACCACCGACUGUGAUCCUGCCGAGUGUACCAUUCCAAUGCCGACCCACUUAAGAUUUGGCUAAAGUAUGCCAUUAGCAAUUCUUCUUUUCCCCCUGCUCCUCUCAUUUUGCUGCAAAACCCCCUUAGAUGCGCCACAUCGUCAUGUCCAUCAUAUAAGUCAAAUUUAGGCAUCUUAAAACCUGGAGGCAACUGCACAUCUGGAAAUAAACAAAGGUCCUUAAACGCCACACUCACCUGGCCACCUAUCCCUUGCAUGUCCCUGAACGAUUGUUCUAAACUUCUGACCUUUCUGAGCACCUCCUCUUGCUCAGGAUUUUUGAUACGCUUUUCGACUCUCAUUGGGAUUUCAAAAUGGGGAGCAUAGGAAUAAGGUUUAUGGGCUUUGUAAGCGGGUUCUUCUGGAUAGUAUUGGUUGUCGUAAGCUUGAAGCAAGGGCUCACUUGAUGAUCUAUGGAGUGCGGGAGGAGGAGGUGCCACAUAAAUGGGAGCAAUUGGCUUUAGGUAGUGGAGCUAGGGGUGGUUGAGAGGUCGUACCCUUGUGCUGCGAGUAGACAGGAAAGCUUGGGGUGGAUUAGUGGUGGAAUAUGAUGAGCGACUUUGGGUAGUGGAGAUGGGGGUGGUUGAGAGGUCGUACCCUGGUGCUGUGAGUAGGCAGGAAAACUUGAGGGUGGAUCAGUGGUGGACUGAUCAUGAGCUUGGGCCAGUGGUGGAAUGAAGGCUGGGUUAGCAAGAUAGGUUGGGGGUGGCUGUCCUUUUGCCCAUGCCCGAUACAUCUUAGCCAUUUGUUGUUUUAGUUUGUAUAUUUCCUCCUUCAUGGCAUCAACGUCCAAUUCCUCUACCUAUUUCGAAGGGUCAAUAAUGCUAACAUCGGUUUCCUGAUUGGACAUGACUUGCUUGCUCUUAGAACACAUGUUGUAGGAGUGGGUUGCUAGAAUGCCGCAAGUACUAACCACAUGUCUAGUCUGAAUGCAAAAAACACCAAAAUUUGUUAAUGGUUAGGUUUUGACAUGCAAGCGGCCAUAUAUUUGGGGGGGGGGGGGGAAUGCACCUAAANNNNNNNNNNNNNNNNNNNNNNNNNNNNNNNNNNNNNNNNNNNNNNNNNNNNNNNNNNNNNNNNNNNNNNNNNUUUGGGGGGGGGGGGGUGAAUGCACCUAAACAAAGAUUGGUUACUACAUGCAUCGGUUGCUUGCGUCAUCCCGACUUUCCUUUUUCAUUUGCAAUGCCCUUUUUAGUUUUAUGCUCUUACUCACUCCUAUUUUUUUCUUCUUUGUUUCUUGCCUUUCCUCUGCUUUUCUCUCCCGUUCUCUCCACCUUCGUUUAUUUUCUCUUUUAUUUUUCUUUAUUUGGUUACGGUUGAAUCCUUUGUAGAUUGCCUACGUAUCAUGACUCCGCAUUAAUAUGGCCGAGUGUAGUUCUGGCAAAUAAAAAGUGAAGAAACAAUAAAACAUUUUGGCAUUCUCCAUUUUCAUAAUAACAAGCUUUGGUUACAAAGACUCGAAAAAGUGACAGAUUUGAACAAGAAACUAGCAAAUUCUGAUGAAAGAGGACUACAGACUCAAAGAUCAACUAACCUUGCGUAAAAGAAAAUACAGUCUCCAAGACGAACUGAUAGGAUUUAAGGUAAAUACAAGCUCGAGAAAUCACAAAUACAUUAGGGCUUCAAUUGCUCCUAGGACCUGCGAGGCAUCGUUCGGCCUUGCUGCGGGUCGACGAGCUAAAUCCCCCUGGAGGUGAAGGAGAUCUUCCAUUACGCGGCGAACAAAAAGCAUCGCAGUGGCAAAGAACAUAUAUCUAGGUAUAUCCUCACAGCUUCUACACUUCAUUGGAUGCAAUGGGCGAUCCUUUUGAUUCUUUCUCGUAUGGCACCUUUCUAUUGCAAUAAGUCUGCUCAGUUCUGGCCCCCAAAGUUUGUUCGGCUACCCAAUUUUGUUCUUGAAGUGGUUGCAAAUCCCAUUCCAAUUGCGCCAAUGUUGUGUAACAAUGUUCGCUUUCAAUUUUGAACUCUUUUGCCUGUUUGAUCAUUUUGUUUUCUGCGAUGAUGACCCUUUUCUUUAAUCUCGCAACCUCACCGUCGAACUCUUCUUCUAUAUUCUUAACCAGACGUGUUCGUUCUGCCGCAUUUUCAGCCAAUUGUUUUCAAGCCCUAGCUAAUUCCCUUUCUACUUUGCUCAAAUCAAAACUGUAGUCAUUCACCUUCUAUCUCAGGCUGUCUAUAAUUUUUGUGUCCUAUGCACUUCGGUUGGGGUUUUCCGCUGCUACUUUCUUUUUUUGAAUUGGGGCCCGAAGGGCUUCAUUUUCUUUGACCAGUUUCUUCUUUUUGCCUUCAUCUGUGGAGGCCUGCUAAUCUUUCUCAAAUUGCAAAUUCAUGACCCGCUUCUCCAAUUUGCAUAUUGUAGCCCUGUACUCGUGUCUUUAGCCAACUAGUCCCACUGCUUUUGCGAUGCUUCAACGAACUCCUAGAGAUGAGGCCUCUUGGCUGGCCUUUCGAACUCAAUUUCUAUCCUGUACCAGGUAAGGUAUCCUGAUGACACAUCGCCUCUAGACCGAUCCUGUACACAAGUUUUUGCUGUCAGGUAUUGGCCUUCAUUCCAAAUUUUGCGGACCGUUGCUUCGGGGAACUGGCUAUCAGGUCUAAUCUCGACUACCUGGAUAUUGUGAUCUUCGUCUUUUGGUGCUAUCUGGCACCUCCCGAGCUAUCUCAAGACCUGAUGUGGGGCAUAAGGCUGGAUGCUCCUAAGACUCAUCAGAAGGAAGUGAGGCUCCGUUGCCGGCAUGUAUAUGAUCUUGUCCACAGACAACCAUCCCAGCGUCCACUCUAUUUGGCCGGCGGUGAGGGACCGAAGGUAAGAUAUCCAUUUUGUUACUCCUUAGGGCAGGCUGAGCCCUUCAAUCCUUGUGUAAAAUUCCUCCAUACAAGUUUUCCCCGCUGACCCAUAGCUCAUAAACUGAGGAUGGUGUCAUAGAUGAAGGGACCGAAGGUAAGAUAUCCAUCUUGUUACUCCUUAGGGCAGGCUGAGCCCUUCAAUCUUUCAUCUGUGGAGGGCAUCAUUUUUUUUGACCAGUUUCUUUUUUCGCCUUCAUCUGUGGAGGCCUGCUAAUCUUUCUCAAUUGCAGUCAUGACCCGCUUCUCCAAUUUGCAUAUUGUAGCCUUGUACUCGUGUCUUUAGCCAACCAGUCCCACUGCUUUUGUGAUGCUUCAAUGAACUCCUAGAGAUGAGGCCUCUUGGCUGGCCUUUCGAACUCAAUUUCUAUCCUGUACCAGGUAAGGUAUCCCAAUGACACUUCGCCUACCGAUCCUGUACACAAGUUUUUGUUGUUAGGUAUUGGCCUUCAUUCCAAAUUUUGCGGACCGUUGCUUCGGGGAACUGGCUAUCAGGUCCAAUCUCGACUACUUGGAUAUUGUGAUCUUUGUCUUUUGGCGCUAUCUGGCACCUCCUGAGCUAUCUCAAGACCUGAUGUGGGGCAUAAGGUUGGAUGCUCCUAAGACUCAUCACAAGGAAGUGAGGUUCCGUUGCCGGCAUGUAUAUGAUCUUGUCCACAGACAACCAUCCCAGCGUCCACUCUAUUUGGCCGGCGGUGAGGGACCGAAGGUAAGAUAUCCAUUUUGUUACUCCUUAGGGCAGGCUGAGCCCUUCAAUCCUUGUGUAAAAUUCCUCCAUACAAGUUUUCCCCGCUGACCCAUAGCUCAUAAACUGAGGAUGGUGUCAUAGAUGCUCGGUCAUCCAUAUUUGCAACAAUAGAUUGCACCCCUUAGAGAAAUCUUUCCCGGUCCUGCAAGUUGUGAGAGCACAAAAGAUCUCAGCUACUAUAAUAGGCGCGAGUGUGCUUUUGGCUUGGGUGUGUAGAGUGCUGACAACCCCUGCUAUUUUUAUGUCGAUGUUCCCAUGCUUCAUUGGAAACACCAGAAUCCCGAGGAAAGCCACCAUAAAAGCGAAACGUCUAUGUUCUUCCCAUUUGACGCAGUUUCCUUUGCUGCAGAUUUUGUUCUCUGGUUUGUUGAACCCCCCUAUGUGACCAUAUUUGCUAUGCAGGAAUGAAAAAGUACAAAACCCUGUUGCCAAGUUCGAGUUCUGUACCACUCUGCUUAUCUUCAAGGUAUCUAAGAAUUAUGUACAGCAACAGUUCUUGGGGCAACUAAAUACUUGUGUCUCAAAGGAAGCUCAACAUCCCCAAUGUACUCGGCUAUUUCUUCUAAGGUCAGGUUAAGUUCAAAAUCUGAGAAGUGGAACACAUUGUGCGUCGGGUCCCAGCACGUGACCAAUGCCCUUAUGAUGUCUCUCCGGGGUAUAAUCUCCAAUAGCCCAGCAAGGCCCCCCAAAUAUUUUUUACCUCGUCUUGCUCUUCUCUACCUAGAUCAUUCCACCACAGCUGCAACUCCAAAGGGAUUCUGCUUAUGAAUGAGAAAGGUUCGUUUUGGAUUGUGCUCAUCCUACACAUUUAUUAAGGCGAAUUAGUAACUUAUGAUUUUAUUCUGUUUGACUUCAAAAUCAAGAUUGACCCCCUUCUUUUGUGAAACUUGUUUUCUAAAACUAGGAACCCAGUUCGCAGAUACGGCCUUUCAACACUUCCUAAGGAAAUUUAUAAGGUUGUGCCCAGUAACUGGCCAAAAUUAAAAUAAAAUUAAAGGUGGCCGCUUGUGCAAAAUCAGCCUUCUAGCGUCCAUUUCGGCAACAUUCGGCUAUUCUUGACAAUAACGACAUCACCUUACGUAUUACAACAAUACAACAAUUAUUUUUCAUUUUCGGCUAUUUUCCUUAUUAAUAUUUUUGCAAAAAGGAAAUUGGACCCGAGGGGGGUUGCCUACGUAUCUCACACCCUGUGAGAAUCAAAUAAGCGUAAUUUGGGCAGAUAAAGCAAAAGCAAAUUUUUGAAAACAGACUCAUUGUUUUUCAUAGGCAAGUAAAUAAACUAUUGCUAAAAAUAAGACAUUUUCCUUUCUCUUUUUUUUUUUGUUUUUUAUUUGCAAAUAAACUAUUUUUGAAAGCAAAAUUCCAUUCCCCUUUUCUUCCUUUUUUUUUCUUUUUUUCUUUUUUUGUUUUCAUUUUCUAAAAUAUCCAAAAGAGUUUUGACACUAUUUGGACAUUGGAUUUCCAAGGCAGGUGGUUAACUUUCCUUACCCGUAAAAAGACGGUCGACAUGCAAAUCCAAAAAAAAUAAAUGCACAAGUAAGAUACAUGAGGAUGGUCCAUUAUUCCGGUUACACCUGUUCUAGACAGGUCCAACCCCUGUGUUGAGUCCCUUAAGUCAAAUGCAUGAUGCAGAUAAGCGUUCCUACUAGGGAUCCGUCAUGAGGUUAAGUUAUUCUAUGUUUAAAACCUGAGUAUUUGUUUCUAGACUGUUUACCUAAGCGGACAACUCGAGUCGAGGAGGGGGCUACGUGCCGGGGACCUGCAAGAUCAUCCGGCUUAGUAACUUGUCCGAGCCUUUUUCUUAUUUCAAGGUAUGACACUAACAGAAUAUGGAGUCUCGACCAGCGAGCACAUCCACUAAGAUAAGAAGAGAAGGGUUUGGUAACAGUUUAUAUAUACAUUUCAAAUAAUAUCAAAGCGUUAAAAGCUUAAUUUGCACAUUAAGUCAACAUGUAAAAACAAAAAUCAGAUAAUAAACGAAGCCAAAUACAACAAUUAUUCUAAGCUCAAAUUCUUGAACCCUGAACCAGAGAUUCUGGAUUCAAUCCCCAGCAGAGUCGCCAGAGCUGGCAUACCUCCUUUUGAAUAUCCACAACCUGGUGAAGGGCGUGGAUAAGAGAAAAUUUCCAAUUUAAGGACAAUCGAAAUGAGAUUUAUUUAAAUGAAUCAGAGUCGCUACUUGGGAGAUUUAUGGUGUCCCAAGUCACCGGUUUAAAUUCCAAAUCAAGGAAAGUUUGACUCUGUAUACAGUUUGCGAGCCAGAAAUCCGAGUAAGGAAUUCUGUUAACCCGGGAGAAGGUGUCAGGCAUUCCCGAGUUUCGUGGUUCUAGCACGGUCGCUCAACUGUCAUAUUCUGCUUAAAUUAUCUGAUAUUAAACAAUUAUGAACCUAUGUGCAAAUUUUAAAUUUAGCUACUUUUAUUAUUAUUUUUGAAGAAAAUUGCAAUGUCGUUAAAGCGUGCCUUGACCCAUGUCACAUAAAUGCACACGUGGUUUUUGACACAUUUCAACUUCAUUGGUAUUGGGAUUUGGUCCACAUAUAUGUGCACUCGAAAUUAGAAAAGUAGUAUAAUUAAACACACACCUAAAGCGACUAACGUAUUAUUAUCUUUUAGGGAAGCCGUGAAGUUUGCUAAACGGCAUGUCCCGAAUUUCUAUGUAUCUUAAUAUACACAUUUAACGAGGGCCACGCAAUUUAUGGGUUUCAUUUGGCGCAGCGUACCUCAUUUUAUUAUUUAAAUACCCGUCUUAAAGCAAGCAAGGAUUUUCUAUUGAGGCGUGCCUCUAAUAAGACCUAAUUAAUUAGUAUUAUGAAAUUCAGGCCUCGAAUUCAAAUCCGGAUUCAAAUAAAAGGGAAGACCCUCUUAACUUGAACCUGUUUCCUAACUCGAAAGCCCAAUCUUACAUUGAAAAAUUAAACUAACACUGGAAUUUGAAUUCGCGCUUCAGUAUAUUGGGCUACAAAGUUGGCCCUAGAAGUAAAAAUUAUUCAGCUUUUAUAAAGGCUGUCCAGUGUUCAACAAGAUGUAUUGGCAAAGUGGGUCCUUGAUACAUGGGCCCAUUAUUGUGCAGCUAGGCCCAAAUCUCGUUUUUAUGAAUAACUGUGGGCUCCUGAAUGAGCCCAAACCUCAUUUUCAGCCUUCAAAAGUACCGAUUCUAAACAAGCUGAAUCUAACGAUUUUUUAAACAUAGAAAAACCACAAGAAUUAUUCAAAACGAAAGCGAGACAAUAUUUGAAUACCAAUCUCAAUACAUUAUCCAACUCGUUUGUAUACCAGCACAUUUAAUCCAGAAUUUAGCAAAAGUUUAAAGUAAUUACUGAAUCCUCCAACUAUCGUAACAAGCAAUAUACUUCUGAUACUAAAUUGUAAUUAACUCCUGGGUAGGUGAUUAAGAGGUAAUAACAGCAGCAAAUCCACCAAACAAAUGCAACAACAAAUUCUCGAAACCCAGGAACAAACAAGGAGUUUUUCUCAAAAUAAACUAGGAUCUACACAGCUUUAACACUAAUGAUUCCAGGAUGAGUUUAAAGUGGUUGAUGCUAAUGGAACAGUAAUUGUUUUUUGUGUUUUUAAGUUUUCAUCAGAUUUCCUAGAAUCAGAUAUGCCUUUUUUUUGCUCUUCUAUUUGGAACUAAUUCAGAAGAAUUCUUUAGAGGUUGUUUUUCAUGCCUUUUCAAUCAAGAUAUCUAUGCCUUUAUAGGCAAGUAAGCUAGGGCAAAGUUUAGCUUUUAUUCUUUUUCUUUUAGUCCUUUCAAUUUUCAGAUUUUAUACCAUCAAUCCCUCAAUUCUUAACUUGCUAGCCAAGCUAUAUCAAUUAAAACUUGCAAUUCGAAUUUAAGCCCUAUUCUAGAAUGCUCUAGACUUAACUACAAUAUUAUGUUCUAUUUAGGACUAACUACACUACCCCUUUUCAAUUUGAGAUUUACUAAACUAGUUCUCACUACACCCCAACCCCUUUUACCUUGGUUUACAAUUAUCAGCUAUAACCAAAUGUCCUAAUAUCUGAAUCAAUAGACCCAAAUAACCCUAAUUAGAAUCUGAAUUAACCAACUAACAGUUCAAAUCAGCAGGUAUUACUAGACAAUUCAAAAGAUCAACACAUGAAUCAACACUAACUUAAUACAAACAUCUUAAAACCCUGAAUUAAUCCUAAAACAUGCCAGUAUUUCAAAAAUGAAAAAAAUCAAAGCAAGACUUAAUACUAAAAAUCGAAGCAAACAUGGUUAACUAUAAACAAAAAUUAAGCCAACAAAAGUCUAACAGAACAACCAUCUUAAUCCAAUAAAAACAGAAGAGGUUCAAGAGAAGAAGUACAAAUUAAAGCCCUAAAAAUCUAAAACAAUCACAAUGAGAACAAGUGAGACCAAAGAACGACAAUGGUUUGCAGACUUACUCUAACAAUGACAAACUCAGGCGAGAUAUCACACUACUGAAGGCUAACUCAACUUAAACCAAAAAUGAAGCAUGGGCUAAGGCCAGAAAAGAACAGAAAAGAAGAAAUCAUGAAAAUUGAUAAGAUCAUAUUUAGACUAAAAAAACAUUAACAAAACGAUAAUUGAAACUAAAGUUAACAGAGAGACUGAAAGACUUAGCUUAAACUUUUGGAGUCUUAAGAUUCUGCAUGCUUAAAGGGUUCCGGGAACCUAAUUUUGACUCGGAGAGACUGUGAAGGCGUUUGUAGGCACAUAACCUUGUUUUUGUGGUGAGGAGAGUGAGGGUGGCUCAGGGGACCCUUUUGCUUGGGGUUAAGAAACUGGGGUGAUUUUUAGUUGGAGUUCAAAUCAAUAUUUGAGUCGUUGGACCAUGGUUCUAAGGGAGUUGGUGUUAGUGUUAGAUUUGUGACGAGGGUGGAAAGGGGAUGCUAUGGUGUAUUUUUGGUAGCCGUCUAAGCCGAUGCCGCCGUGGACGGCGGACCAGUCAAACCUUGAAUGAAGAUUCGAGAUGAACGGUAAAGAUUCAAGGGCUGGGAUUUAGGGUGUUGGAAAGAGGAGGAAGAGGAGAUUUAGGGGUGUAAAUUUGGGCGUCGUUGGAGACUUACUGCCAGCAGCGGACAUCAGAGAGUCGGUGAAUUUAUGGCGGUGAUACAACGGUGUAUUUUAGGGUUAAGAGGGACAUGGUACGAGGUUGCGUCUGGGAUGGGGGGGCGGUGUUUGUAACACUUAUAUAGGCGUUACACCUCCACUUUUCGACCGUCUGAUCAAAGCAGAUCGACGGCUCAGAUUGAUCUAAUGGAAAACUGCGUCAUUCUGGGCAUGGGGUUGGACCGGGUAGUGUUUUGGGCCGGCGGGUAUAUUGAACGGGUCUUGGGUUUUUUGGGCCGAAAAAAUGCCUAAAUCUGGUGGCCUGAUUUGUUAUUUGCCCUUUUUUAAUUUCAAAUUCUUUUAUUUGUUUUCUUCCUUUUCUCUUUUAUUUAAUUAAUUCCCUUUGUUUUAUUUGUUUUUGUUUUCAAUUUUUAUCAAAUGCAAAAUAAUAAGGAUAUGACCAAAUUUAAACUUUACUAAUUAAUUUCUAAAAAUAAUCUAAUUCCCAAAUUUUAAACAAAAACUAAACAAAUGUAAAAAUGACCAUUUUGUUAUUUCUUGAUUUUUUCAAAUGUAAAAAAUAAAUAUGCUAUUUAAAUAAUAAAAGAAAAAUCCUAAAAAACAAAUUUAAAAAACUAAAUAACAAAUGUAAAAAACGAAAACUAAACAAAUGUAAAAAUUGAGUCCUAAAUGCGAAUAUGCCAUUUUUGUAUUUUUAUGAAUCAUAUCAAUUUAAAAUGCAGACAAUCACAAAAUCUUGCAAUUAAUUCCUUAAAAUUCAAAUAAUAAAAGAAAAAUCCUAAUCUUAAUGAGUUCUAUAGGAAUAUUUUAGGCGAGGCAAAAAUCACGUGCUCACACUCACUAAAGAAGAAAACUCCACCACGCUCGCAAAUGCCAAGUCUCAUUACUCCAUCAACCCAAAUAUGAACAUUCUUAGUCUGAUUGCCUUUCCUUUGCUGGGAAUAAAAUAACAAAUCUCUAGAUCAUGUACUGAGUAAACCUCCCUUCAAGUCAUUCAUUUCCCCGACAUGUAGGGAAAAAUCUUACCAUCAUAACAAUACUACGAACAAUCAUUCAUAAGUGUCACACCUCCUUUUGGUUACUACAACCCGGUAAAGGGCGUAGAUAAGGGAGUAUUUCCAAUUAAAGGACAAUCGAAAUGGGAUUCAAUUAUUUAAGAGAAUUUCAGAGUCGCCACUUGGGAGAUUUAUGGUGUCCACUGUCACCAUUUAGAAUCUUGAAUCGAGGAAAGAAUGAUUUUGCUUAACAGUUCGCGAACUAGAAAUCCGGGUAAGGAAUUCUGUUAACCCGGGAGAAGGUAUUAGGCAUUCCCGAGUUCCGUGGUUCUAGCACGGUCGCUCAACUGUUAUAUUUGGCCUUAAAUUAUCUGAUUUCAAACAGUUACGAGCCUAUGUGCAAUAUUGAAUAUUUUAACCACUUUUACUAUUAUUUUUUAAAGAGAAUUGCAACGUCGUUAGAACAUGUCUUGAACCACGUCACAUAAAUACACCCGUGGUUUUUGACACAUUUCAACUUCGUUGGGAUUUGGAUUUGGGUCACAUAAAUGUGCACCCAGAUUUAAGAAAGGUAAAUUAUGAAACUAACGCGCUUAAAGCAAAUACGCGUUCGCAACUUUGCGAGGGCCAUGGAAUUUAUUAAAUGGCAUACCUCGGAUUCUAAGGAUUAAUUCAAGAUUAACUAAAGCGAAGGCCGUGCAAUCAUUAGUUUAUUUAGCACAACUCGUCUCAGUUUACUAUUUUAAAGGAUAUCUCCAAAGCGAACGAUAGUUCUCUACUAAAAUCCUAUUAGUGAAUAUCUCAUAGCUUAGACUUCAACUCCAAGCCAUUGGGCUUUGAAAUGAGCCCAAGGAUGGUGAAUCCUUUAUCCAACCUUGUCGAACCAGCCAUUGAUGAGUCUCAGCAAAGUAAGGCAAAAUUGGGCUACGCAGUAGCCCUGGCUGAAGCCCAGCUCAUCAUAGACUGGCUGUUGAGACCUGAUCCUUAGUGGAUCGAAAUCCUUAUUCGAAUACAAACUGCACAAUUAUUCCCAACAAAUUUUCAACGAUAGAAACAUAUGUUUGAUCUAUGUAAGCAGGCUAUUAAUUAUUUAGCUAAUACUCACAAGGUUCAGGGAAUUAAUAUGAAACAUCUAAUUAGCCCCUAAAAUCUAGACAGAUAACUACUACUUUUUAAACGAAAUCACUAUUGAAGAGGCUUCCUAAUUUAAACUGAGCAUAUGCGAACUAGAAGGAGUAACUACUCGAUUUCCAAUUUCAUGAUGUUGAAGUAAACAAAUCCACAUUCAUGAUCUCAGAUUUAAAAACCUUAAAAUCAACCUACUUAAUCUAGCACUAUACUGGACAUGCUACUCUACUACAAAAUUUUAACAAAUCAAAGUAAGUUUUCAGUCAGUCCUUAUACAUUCCAUGUACAUACUAAAGGAACUAAAAUGAAUUACAUCAGCUCGUAAAUUAAAUAUAUAUAGACAACCGUUCACUAUUUCCUAAUCAAUUGCAUAAUCUGAAUAAACACCAAGCAUGAAGCCAGGCUUCCAUUCCAUUUCAAUUGUAGGGAUUACAUCAGGGAGCUUUUAAGUGUGUACCUGGAAUGAAGAAGAGACCUAUGAGAAGGCAGUCACAGAGAAACACAACAACAAAUAAUCCCAGAUUUAAUGAGAAAUCAGUGAAUAGACCCCAAAUCAACGGAACAGUAGAUUCAACACUUUCAAAAGACCAGGAGAUGCAACUCGCACAACCAAUACCAAUUUUAAAUAGCCAAGUUAAUUCAAACUUCACGCAAAUAUAACCCAACAGCUACCCUUUAGUCCAUGAUAAGAAGAAGAAAUUAGAACAAGUUUUUGAUCAAAAUUUUGAAGUUUUAAGCUCAGAAAAAUCGAUUGAAUUAGCAGCUUUCUAAUUUUUAUUCAGCUUUUUUCCCUUCUCUCUGAGCGCUAGUAUAUAUAUCCUCACACAUAGGGCUACCUUCAGACUUUAAGUUGCCUCUUAGUCCCUAUUUUAUUUACUACCUUAGUCCCCCAUUUCAUAGCUUGCUACCCAAGUUACCACAAAAUGGAAAUCUAAAUUCCAAUUUGUUUCCUACUCUAGAAGCUUCUUAAUUCAACUGCCAAAGAUUCCUUGCUAAACUACCCAAAUUACCCUUGAAUUGUUCCUAAAAUUAAUAACCCUAGCCCAUCUCUACCCUAGUUAUCUUACCAAUCCUAACUCAACUACAACCAAAUGCCCUAAAGUCUAAAUCACAGGACCCAAAUCAUUCUAAAGGUUUGAAUUAAAUGACUGAAAUCCAGAUCGAUUACAAUUAUGUAGCAUCAGUGUCUAACCAAAGCAGAUUACAAAAAUCAAAAUAGGAUCAGACUGACAAAUUCAUUAAAAAUCACGGCAUAAAAACAGGUUGCCUUCCAAUAAAAGACUCAAACUAAUUCAAUCAGCCAAUGAUGGAAAUAAUGAACCAAAAAUAAAAGUCAUUCAGGAGAAGAAACAAAUCAAUGAGAGUAUAUAUUUAUCCAAAGAUCCAAAGAUAAAAAAUCGAAAUCAAAGAACAAACACAAAUUUCCUUUCCAUAUACAUAUUCCAACUAAUAAGGCUAGUCAAAAUAGAACAAUGAACCAAAAUAACAGACAUUCAAGAGAAGAACAUAUCAAUGAGCGUAUACAAUUAACCAUACAAAUAAAUACAAGACCAACAAAAAAUCGAACACGAAUUGCCUUUCAACAAACAGCCCCCCCCCCCAAAUAAUAAGGUCAGCCAAGAUAGAAUAAUGGACCCAAAAAUAAAAGACACUCAGGAGGAGAACCAAGAAACAACUAUGCUUACUAUACUAUAAGCCUAUCAAACGAAUGAAAAAUGAAUUAAUCCAUACAGAACAAAAGAGAGGAGAGCAUGAAUACUAAGAAUGUACUAAAACAAACAGAAAAUGACCUACACAAUGAUACUCUAUUAAAGUUAAACAAGGUUAGAUGACUUAGCUUAAAAUCAUGGCUUCAGAAACCACAUGCAUCACUAAACGGGUUCCGACUAACUUUUUAUUUAGCAUUUGAACCAUACGGGGGUGAUUCGAGGGCCAUGAGUCAUGGAUUUGAGUUGAGGGGUCUAAAGAGGAUGCAUGGUGUUGAUUUGGUGGUUUUUGGAAGCGGUUGCAUUUUGGCCGGGCUUUCAAAAUUAAUAUUUGAGAAGAUGUGGUGUGAUUCGAGGGACAAAUGUUUUAGAUCUGUGACGAGGGUAGGGCGAGGAGUCUAGAGUGUAAAACUUGGGGUGCUUGUCGAAUUUUGAACAGACAUUCGACGAGAUUGGGAAUUAUUUGAGGGUAACUGGUGAUGGGGUUGGAAAGGGGAGAGUGCGGAGAUGGUGUGGUGUAGUUUUGGGGUCCAUUAGAGCUACGCCGACGGCGACGACGAUUUUCGGCCGGCGGUGGAUGGUGGAGGGAGGGUGGUGAUACGGUGGUGUUACACCGGAGGCCGGUUUAGUAUGAGGAGGAUGAUUUUGUCUCUGAGGGUUGUGAGUGUCGUUCAAACACUUUUAUUAAAAUUGUGAGGCUAGAUCUGUGUCGUUGGAUCAAAAGGAAUGGAUGGCUGAGAUCAAAUGGACGUCAAACAACGUCGUUUAGAUGCCUUCUCUGGCUGGACCGGGUAUGGGGCUUGGGUUGGGUUAAAUUUAAUGGGUCUGGUGGUUUGGGAUCCAAAUUGUGGCCCAAAUCAUGGUCUUAAUGAGAAGUCCCAAUUUGUGCAUUUUUCUCCCUUUUAUACAUUUUCUUUAUUAUAUUUUUAGAUUUUAAUAAUAAAAAUAAAAAUAAACUAAAAAGUAUUUAACUUAUACAAAAUAGACUAAAUAAACUUUUAAAUAACCUAAAUUCUAAUUUCAAAAGAAAAUUGAAUGAAUGUAAAAAUAAGCAAUUUUGUUAUUUUCAAUAUUAAUUAACAAAUAACCCCAAAAAAGAAAAAAAAAGGAAAAAGUGGAAAUUAAGUCCUAAAUGUAAACAUGCUAUUUUUGUAUUUUUUGUGAAUUAUAUUAAUUCAAAAUUCAUAACACAAAAUCAUGCAAUUAAUUCUUAAAAUUCAAAUAAUAAAAGAAAAAUCCUAAUUUUAUGAAUUUUAUAGGAACAUUUUGAGCGAGACGAAAAUCACGUGCUCAGAGCUGCCCUUGUUUGCUCGAAGAUACGAAGGGUUUCCGAGCAAAGAUAAAUAAGAAUCGAGAGAUUUUUGCCUGCUUUGCAUUCCAUGAGAAGCACUUUGAAAACUGUCUGACUGAACCCUUGUCAUACCUCCCUUUUUUUACACGACUACCCCGAAGGAUAAGAACGCAUAAGGGAUUUAUUCCAAUUAAAGUGACAUUAUUCAAAAUGAGAUUAUUUAUUUAUUAGAGUCACCAAUUGGGAUAGCUUUGAAUUUUGGUGUUCCAAGUCACCGGUUUAAUUAAAAUCCCAAAUCGAGGAAAUUUUUCGACUGCCCAAAUGGAGUCUGCGAACCAGAAAUUCUCAGUAAGGAAUUCUGUUGACCCGAGGGAAGGUGUUAGGCACCCCCGGAUCCCGUCGUUCUAGCAUGGUCGCUUAAACUAUUAUAAAUGGAUAAAAUUCUAAUUUUACACAUGUUCAUCCUAAAACUGCAAUUUUUAAUAUUUAUACCUCUUUUAAUAUAUUUGUAAGGAAAUUUGCGAUGCCGCUAAAACUUGUCGCCAACCACGUCACAUAAAUGUGCACAUAAUUUUUGACAUAUUUCAACUUCAUCGGGAUUUGGAUUGGGUCACAGAAAUGCGCACCCGUACUUAGAAAGAUAAAAUUAUUAGAGACGCAUCUAAAAGUGACUAACAUGUUAUUAUCUUUGUGGGAGUCCAUGAAGUUCGCUAAGCGGCAUGUCCCGAAUCUCUAAGUAUUUUAAUAUGAACAUUGCACGAUGACCACGUGGUUUAUGGGUUCCGUGUGGCGUGGCACAUUAUGUUUUAUUACUUAAAAGACGGUCUAAGGCGAACCGAGACUUUCCAUAAUGUUUGUUUCUAAAAGGGCUUUAGCGAUACAGAACUUGGGCUCUAAAUUCAAGUCCGAAUUCAAACAAAAAUGAAACCUCUUAAUUUGAAUUUACUACCUAAUUUGAAAGUACAACCCAAUUUUAUUACAUCAUGGCCAAUAUGGCAGGUUUGAAGCAACACCAUCAGACCCUUUGUUUGCGGAAUUACUGAACUAUAGAUUAACGUGGAAAAUUAUGGAGGGUAACGAUUAAAUUAGGCUAGUUACGAGCUAUGGUAGACAAGGAAUAUUCGAACGGGUUUGAAAUGCGUAAAUGCAUAUUUCCUGGGUCAAAACUAGACUGCCUGCUCGAAUUAAACUGAAAUUCCACCGGCUUUAAUUGACUUUAAGACUACAUUGACACUAAUUAAUAAUAUCCAAAUAUAAAAACUGAUUGUAACCAUUGGCAAGGUUAAAAUCCGCGACUGGGGUGUAGCGAACUAUUAAUUCAUUGUUUGAAUUGUAGAACUUAAAACAGAUUCACAUUUAGGAUACAACUGACAACAAUUUAAAACUAUCAUGCUCUUAGGAUCCAAUUACUUAAAAUCAAUUUAAACUAUUCAGCUAAGCUUGAAACAAUCCCGUUCAGUCCAAAUUACACAGUCCCAAAUUUAUACAGGCAUAAAUCAAGUUAAGCUAUAUUAGACGUUACAAAUCAAUUAGGACUAUUCGAUUCUAAACUAUAAGAAGCCAACCAGGCUUAGCUCAAGGAGCAAAUGCUGGAGUGUUUAUCAUUUCAUUUUUGACCGUGGCUACAUCGGAUCAUGUUCAUGUGUGUGUACCUAGAAUUACAGCAAAGGGGAAGCACCUAUUAGUGGGUAAACAACAGAUAAUACAGCAGCAAAUCCACCAACAGAUUCAACAAUCAAUCAAGCUCGAAACCCAGAAACGAACAAGGAAUUUUUCUCAAAAUUAAGACCACGAUCUACACAACUUUAAUAUAAAAUGCAUCCAGGAUGAAUUCACAAUGGUUGAUGCUAUCGAAAAAAAAUCUUCGCUUUCUUUUGCCUUUUGUGUUUUUCAAGUUUAUAUCAGAUUUCCUGGAAUCAGAGCUACAAUUUUUUGCUCUCUUAUUGGGAAUUAAUUCAGAAGGAUUUUUAGAGGUCUCUCCUUUUUUCUUUUUAGUCAUGAUACUUAUGCAUGUAUAGGCAAGUAAGCUAGGGAAAAGUUUUCAGGUCUUAUUUUAACCUUUAGUCCUUUCUAAAUUUCCAGUUUUAACAGUAAGUCCUUCAUUAUUUGCUUUUAGCCUAGGUUACUUCAGACUUCUAACUUGUUUACCAAGUUUACCAACUGAAAUUUCACUAGAGGCCUUUACUAGAAGCUUCUUAAUUUGUUAUAAAAGAUUCCCUAUCCCUCCAAUGCCUAAACUACCCUUUAUCCAAUUUGAAUUUACGAAGCAUGAGCAGUAAACUAACCCCAACACUCUUUUAACCCUAGUUAGAAAACACUCCAAUGUAUCCAACCAAUCUUGAAAUUUAUUCAAAACUCUACAACUUGUGCUGAACCUGAUUUAAUUUUGAUCAAUAAAAGUUCUAAAGCCAGUGUAUCUAUAGCAGACAAUUAAUUGAAACAAUUUACAACAACAUGACAUGCCAGACGAAAACAAUCAUAUCCUAAUAACCUAACUUGAUCCUCAACUAUUCAAUUUAAAUCACUCAAACAUGAUGUUCAUGGAUCAACAAAGAACGAAUCAAAUCGUAGCUCAAAAAUCUAGAGGUCCAGUCACUCGAAGUGAAAUAAGGAAUCAUUCAUAGCAGAUCAUCGAUGACAUUAAACAGAGGGAGAGAAAUCUGAGUAAACCUAAACUAAAAUUUCAAAUAAAACUAACAGAGGGUCAUUAACAAACAUGCAAGAACAGACAAUACCAAGACAAAGACGAAAGAAUAAGAAAUUGAAUAAGGAACUUAGCUUAGUGACUGGUCGUAGUCCAAAACCCAUGCACCCUUAAACUUCUAGGAUUUCCGGCCAACCUUUGAUUUUAAAUUUGGGAAGAUCCUUUGACAUCGAGGGAGAGUGGUUAGGGUUUUAAGAGGAGGAGGGUGAGAACAAAUACAGGAUAUGAGUUUGGUUGGGUUUGGAGGGGUUGAGUUUUGGACCAGAUUCUUUGAUUUAAUAUUUGACAAAAUCAGGUCAUGUUUGAGGGUUAUUGGAUAUAGAUUCAUGGAGAGGGAGGCGAGGGGGUUGUGUGGUGUAAUUUUGGGUUUGAUUGGUGGUGGCGCCGCCGUAGGCGGCGUUCACAUUUUUGAAGAUUUGAGAAGCUGGGACAAAGUUUGAGGAAUGAUUUUCAGGGCAUUGAAAAAGGAGGAAGAGGUGGUUCAGUGGUGUAUUUUGUUGUGAGUUUUGAGCUUCGCCGGCGGCAGCGACGAUUUCCGACUGGCGGCGGUGAGGUGGAGGGUUGGUAGAGACGAUGGGUACGAGGAAGAAGAUGUUUUGUCUCUAGGGUUUGCAAUGCAUUCAGACAGUUUUAUUUAUGACUAAGGUCAGAUAUGGGCCGUUAGAUUAUAAGACAUGAAUGGCUGAGAUCAUGUGCCCCAAAACAACGUCGUUUUGGGGCGUCUUUGAUGAGAGACCGGUAGGGACAUGUUUGGGCCGGUUUAUUGAUGAUUUGGACGGGUGGGGAGGGUUUGGUUUGGGCUACAUUUAGCCCAAGCCCAAUAUCAGGCCAACCUGAUUUAUAACUCUUCUCCUUUAAUUCUUUUUUUUCAUUUUUCUUUUGUUUAUUUAUUGCUUCAAUUUUAAAACUCAAACUAAAAUGAAAUCUAAAAAUUUAUUCAACCUAUUAAAUUACAAUUAAACUACUAUCAUUUUAAAGGAAAUUAAAUCAAACCAAACAAAUCAAAAUUUCUUUGUGAUUCUUGUAUUUUGUAAAAAAAAACCUAAUUACUGAUUAACCUAAAAAACAAUGUAAAAAUCACAUCCUAAAGGCUCAUGCAAUUUUUGUAUUUUUAUGAGUUAUCAUGCACGCACAAAUACUCAAAAAUAAGCAAUUAAAUCCAAAAAUCGAAUCUUAAAAGGAAAAAUUCCUAAUUCUAAGAAUUCUGUAGGAGUAAUUUUAGCGAGACAAAAAUCACAUGCUGACAGCUGCCCCCUGUUGGCUGGAACCACGAAGGUUUUCGGUCAAAGAUAAAUGAGCGACAUGAUGGAUUUUUGCCUGCUCAAAGCUCCAGGAGAAGCAUUUUGAAAACUCUCUGACCGAACCCUUCUUUAAAGGUUGCCUACAUAUCCUUGGCUAUAAAGGAAUCAUGUCAGUGUAGUUCUAGAGUUUUCAGUAGCUGAGACUACCAUGAGCCGUGAUUUUAUUGUUGAUGUUGCUGCUACUGCUUGCUGACCCCUUAUUACACCAAAAGGAAAUCAAAACUAAACUAGCUAUGCCUAUCAACUAUGAGUUACAAGAUUCCUAUCUAUAAAUCUCUUGAAAGCUUGAUCUUGAGUCUUUAUCUGGACUUGCUACGGACUUCUAUCUGAAUCUUGAUGCUCGUGAGCUAUAGGUUUCGGUCCUUUCUUCAGUAUUACACCAGCUGGGACAUGCACGACUUGCGAUUUUGAAUCAAACCUGGACAGUCCACGUCUUCUUUUUCAACCAUUCUGGAUUUGUUUCCUUUUGUUCUCUUCUUCUUCUUUUCUUUUCUUUUGUCCUGAAUUGAGUUCACUCUUCAAGUCAUCUCAAAUCCUAUACCCUGUGGUAAAACCUGUUCGGCCAUCAAAACCAACAAAUAAACAAAAUUUUCUGCCCUAGUUUUCACUAUGAAAAAUUUAUGAGUUAUUUGCAGCAUGAAUCUAAACUAUUCCUAUUGAAAACAAUGAAAGUGGGAUUAUGUAUUUUUUGGGAGAUUACCAGGUUUAUGCUGGCGAACGGCCAGGUUAUGCCAGAAAAGAGACAUGUUCUUGCUGGGGUAAGAGGAGAAUCCACGGGUUAUGCCUAGGUCCCUGCUGGGGAAGAAAGUCCACGCGUUGUACCGGGAUUGAAAAAAAAGAAGGCUCAUGGAGUAUGCCAGGGGAUCCGCGGGUUAUGCCGGGAUUUCCUAGGUUAUGCUAGGGAAAUUCAUGGGUUAUGCCAGGGGAAUCCGCAGGUUAUGGCGGGAUUGAAAAAGAAAGGGCUCCAGGGUUAUGCCAGGGGAUUCGCAGGUUAUGCCGGGAUUGAAAAAGAGAAGACUUUUGGGUUAUGCCAAGGGAAUCCGCGGGUUAUGCCAGGAUUUGAAAGGAAAGAUUACUGAGUUAUGCCAGGGGAAUCCACGGGUUAUGCCGGGAUUGGAAAGAGAAAACUCCUAGGUUAUGCUAGGGAAAUCCACGGGUUAUACCGGGAUUGAAAAAGAGAAAGCUCCUGGGUUAUGCUAGGGGAUCCGCAGGUUAUGCGGGGAUUGAAAAGAGAAAGAUCCUAGAUUAUGCUAGGGAAAUCCAAGGGUUAUGCCGGGAUUGAAAAAGAGAAGGCUCCUGGGUUACACCAGGGGAUUCGCGGGUUAUGCGGGAAUUGAAAGGAAAGAUUCAUGGGUUAUGCUAGGGGAAUCCGCGGGUUAUGCCGGGAUUGGAAGGAGAAAACUCCUAGGUUAUGCUAGGGAAAUCCACGGGUUAUACUGGGAUUGAAAAGAGAAGACUCCUGGGUUAUGCCAGGAUUUGAAAAAAGAAAACUCCUAGGUUAUGCUAGGGAAAUCCACGGGUUAUACCGGGAUUUGGAAAGGAAAGAUUCCUUGGUUAUGCCAGGGGAAUCCAGGGGUUAUGCCGGGAUUGGAAAGGAAAGAUUUCUGGGUUAUGCCGGGAUUGGAAAAAGAAAGCCUAUGGUAGAAUUCCCUCAGGUUAUACUGGGUAAUGUUGGGGAAUGGAAGGUCACAGAAGUCCUUCUGGCUAUGAUGGGGAUAGAGAUAGAAAGGAAAGACCCUUAGGUUGUGCUAGGGAUAGAAGGGAUUUAGCCUUCAUAUUAUGAUGGGGAAUAAAAGAAAAGAAGGGCCCUUAGGUUAUGCUGGGGACGGAAAGGAGAAAAGGUUCCUUAUGUUAUGCUGGGGAUGGAGAGAGAAACCCUUUGGGUUAUGCUAGGGAAUGAAAGAAAGAAAUUUCUCAGUCAAUGUUGUGGAGAGUGGAGUGUGAUCCUUGGGUUAUGCCGAGAAGGUGCACAAGUUGUGCUGGGAAGACUAGGGAUGUGGCCCUAAAUCUGGGGAAGGAGUCAGGGAUCGGAGUCCUAUGCUAUCAUGUUUUAUGAUUCUCCCUUCCUUCUUUUUUCAUAAAACUGCAGGAGAAGAUGUAACGAGAACCUCCCUUUUUGUUGAUCAUUGGUGCAACGCUAUUCUUAGCCUUUGUCAUGUUCCUUUGAUUGAAUUUGCCAUUUGUCCCUAUUGAUUUGGAUUACACAUGUUUCAAAUUUUCAAUCAAAACACGAUUUGUUAGUUCGAACAGUGAUUGUUUUGUGGCCUUGAUUUGCUUGAUCCCGGCCUUAUUUCUGUUGGGAAAACCUUUGACUCUCCAGACUCCGCCUUAUAGGUUGGUUGGGAGACCUCAUCUUUCAAAUUUGUUUUGCUUUUAUAGGCCCUUAUUUAGGAUUUCUUUGUCCCGAUUUCCACUUCAGGGCCUGCCUUUUGAGAACUUUGUGGAGACAAAUAGCCUGCUCAGGCUUAACCUUUCCAAUCUUCAUUUGCCUUUGUGGGCUUUGACUUUAAAUUUCUUUUCUUUCCACUUUCUUGCUUUUGAAGCGUCAGCCGUCAUGGUCAGCCGGGAUUGGCUAAAUGCGUCCGCUGAUACUGGAUAUUUCUUUUUGUUCUUGCCGGGAGAAGCCCCGUGAGACCGGUCUUACCACCUUCUCUUGCGGAAUAGUCAUGAAGUCAGAGUUAAGCCAAAAGGGAGUGGGGGAAACAGCAAGAACAAGCAUAUGGAAAUAGAGAGAAGUGUCCCUUUCGGAGAAAAAGGAAGGACUUAUCUGGGGGUGCGUGCCAACUUUAAAUGGAGAUGACAUGCUUCUUGGACUAGAUGCCCGACCCGGAUACAUUUAUGCUUCUUGUGACCCAUAUUUCAAUCUUUCAAAAACCAUGGAAGCUUACUUGGGCUUGGAUGGUGAUAUUUCUUCUUUUCGGCUGACGGCGCCCUUUGCGGGUUUUCGUUAAUCGACCUCUCUCCUUUCUCUUCUCCCGUCGCUGGAUAGUGCUAUUUUACGAGUUUUCACUAAAUAGACUGUCUAAUUUUUAUUUUCUCUACUCACCGUCGCCUUAUGGUGCCGAACAUUUUCACCGAUAAGGCUCUCUCAUUUUAUUUCUCUCAAUUAAAUUGUGCCAAAUCCUAACAAUGGUGUUUGUCACGUCCCUGCUUUGGCCAAUUGAUCGGAAGGAUUCGGACCAGGUUCUUGGGUAAAGGAAAUUGGAUGGAAAUUUACAACUUUAGAACCACUCUGGAGGGUUUAUGGCCUAACCAUUACAUCUCUGCCCCAGUUUUAUUUUUGGGGAGCUGAGGUUCUAUUUUGAUAUGAAUGAACCUCAGGGAGAGGCUGCCUACAUAUCCUUUCGGAAUCAAGUCAGACGUAGUUCAGGAAGUUUUUCCUAAACUAAUUUGUUUGUUAUUUUUUUUGUUUUCACUCAUGCAUUUUUGCUUCUUUUUUUGUUUUCUUUUUCUUAUUUUUUUUCUCUUUUUCUCUUCUUUCUUCUUUUUUUCCCAUUCAUUUCCAUGUUUUUUUGAAUAGAAAUUCUAGGUUCCAAAGAGGGUGAACAAAGAAACAUAAUCGGCUCAAGGAGUUUGCGAAGGAUUGGUAGUGUUUAGAGUAGCAGGAAAGAAAAUCCUUUGUCAUUUUAACCGUCCGGAAUCAUUGCGGUAAGGAGUUCAAACAUAAUACCUUUUUACUGCAUCUGCAUUCACUGCUGUCUCGGGCUCGUCUCCUUCAACAUCACCCAACUACAAUGCUCCUUUGGGCAGUAUCUUUCUGAUAAUAUAUGGACCUUUCCAGUUCGGAGCAAACUUUCCUUUAGCUUCCUGAUGGUGAGGGAGAAUACGCCUCAUUACAAGCUGUCCGACUUCGAAAUUCCUGGGGAGCACUUUCUUGUUGUAAGCGCGGGCCAUUCUUUAUUGGUAUAACUGCCCGAAGCUGUCCGACUUUGAAAUUACUGGGGUGCACUUUCUUGUUGUAAGCGCGGGCCAUUCUUUUUUGGAAUAGUUGCUCGUGACAAACCGCAUCCAUUCAUUUUUCAUCAAUUAAUGAUGAUUACUCCAACCGAGGCUUAACCUACUCGCUAUCCUCAAUUUCUUCUUCGACAAUUACCCGGAGCGAAGGGAUUUCUACCUCUGGGGGUAUGACAGCUUCAGUCCCAUAGACCAGUAAAUAUGGAGUUGCCCCUACCUAUGUGCACACUAUGGUGUGGUAUCCAAGCAAUGCAAAAGGCAGCUUUUCAUGCCAUUGUCUUGAGCUCUGGAUCAUUUUUCUCAAAAUCUUCUUGAUGUUCUUGUUAGCCGCUUCGACGACACCAUUGGCUUUGGGCCAGUAAGGAGUGGAGUUUCUAUGUGUUAUCUUGAAUUGUUCACAUAUAUCUCCCAUCAGACGACUCUCCAUAUUGGCCGCACUGUCUAUAAUGAUGGUUGCGGGAAUACCAAAACGAUAAAUGAUGUUGGAACGCACAAAAUCUACCACAACUUUCUUGGUGACGGACUUAAGUGUGAUGGCUGGACUAUUGAGAUUUUCCGCAUUGUCUGUAAUGAUGGUUGCGGGAAUACCGAAGCGACAAAUGAUGUUGGAAUGCACAAAGUCUACCACAACUUUCUUGGUAACAAACAUAAGUGUGAUGGCUUCGACCCACUUUGUGAAGUAGUCAAUAGCAACCAAUAUGAAUCUAUGUCCAAUUGAGGCUUUUGGCUCAAUGGGCCCAAUGACGUCCAUCCCCAAGGCAAGGAUGGCCAAGGCGCUGACAUCAAAACUGAAACAAUCUUUCUCUGUGGUCAUCCAGUAAUACCUUGCCCAAAGUAUUUUCUUUGCCAGUACAUACUCGUUCAUAUGAGGCCCACUCACUCCUACGUGUACAUCAUGCAUAAUCCUCCCGGCUUCCUCGGCGUCGACACUUCUUAGCAAGUUGAGAUCUAGGGUCCUCUUAUAUAAGGUAUCACCACUCAAGAAGAAACUAUUCGCGUGCCUUCGGAUGGUUUUCUUUUGCUCCUCAGUAGUCUGCUCGGGAUACUCUUGUGUUUUCAGAAAAUUCUUGAUAUCACACUACCAGGGCUGGGUGCUGCAUUCGGCCUCAGUCGCAUUACAAUACCCAUGGCUUUCCUUGAUUUGGAUUUCCAAAGGAUCGACGUAGGCGUUUCCAGGGUAAGGCAACAUGGAAGUCAGAGUUGCGAGUGCAUAUGCUAACUUAUUGUGACAGCGAGGAAUGUACCUGAAUUGUACCAACUUGAAAUGUUUGCUGAGAUCCUCUACACGUUGUCGAUAAGGGAUGAGUUUGACAUCCCUUGUCUCCCACUCUCUUUGGGCCUGCUGGAUGAACAAAUCUGAAUCCCCCAUGAUUAACAAUUCCUCAACGUCUGGGUCAAUGGCCAUAUUCAUACCUAUGAUGCAGGCCUCGUAUUCAACUGUGUUAUUGGUGCAGAAAAACCGAAGCCUUGCUGUAGCCGGGUAAUGUUGAUCGGUGGGUGAGAUUAAAAUUGCCCCAAUUCCUAUGCCUUUCGCAUUUAGUACUCUAUCGAAAAAUAUUUUCCAAGCAAGGAUGUCUUCAGAUGUUACCUCCACCGAAUUCACUUCUCAGGGAAGUAUUCAAAGGUUGAUACUCAUCGUCAACUAGAUUCUCGUCUAGAUGAUCCGCUAAUGCUUAGGCAUUCAUUGUGAUACGAGUGAUAUAAACUAUGUCGAACUCGGUGAGCAGGAUUUGCCAUUUUGCCAACCUCCUUGUGGGUAUCGAUUUUUGGAAUAUGUACUUUAACAGGUCCAGCCUGGUUAUGAGGUAGGUGGUGUGGGCUUCCAAGUAAUGCUUCAACUUCUGGGCUACCCAAGUCAAGGCACAAUAGGUUCUUUCUAGCAGUGUAUAUUUGGCCUCGUAACUAGUAAACUUCUUGCUCAAGUAAUAGAUGGCUUGCUCCUUCUUUCCCGUAGCAUCAUGCUGCCCGAGAAUACAACCAAAAGUGUUCUCAAGGACUGUCAAAUAAAGAAACAAUGGCCUUCCCAGUUCCGGCAGGACCAAGACUGGUGGGUUGGACAUGUAAUCUUUGAUUCUGUCGAAAGCCUGUUGAAACUCAUUGGUCCAUUUAAUUGAUGCGUCCUUUUUCAAUAGCCUGAAUAUGGGCUCAUAUGUAGAAGUCAGCUGGGUGAUGAAUCGGCUGACGUAAUUCAGUCUUCCCAACAGGAUCAUUACAUCCUUCUUGGUUUUCGCUCGAGGUAGCUGUUGAAUGGAUUUUAUCUUGGUUGGAUCCAGCUCAAAAUCUCUUCGGCUGACAAUGAACCCUAAAAGUUUGCCUGAUGGGACCCCGAAUGCACACUUGGCUGGAUUCAAUAUUAAAUCAUACUUGCGAAGUCUUUCAAAGAACUUGUAUCUUCUGAUGCAUCAUGUCAUGGAAAAUAGUGGUAAUUUGCCCCAGCAUUCUUUAAGCCAAAAGGCAUAACCCUGUAGCAAUAAGUCCCGAAGGUGUGGUAAAAGCAGUUUUCUCAGCAUCUUCCUCAUCCAUCAACACUUGGUGGUAUCCUGCGUAGCAAUCUACAAAGGAUUGUAUCUUGUUUUUGGCAUAGUUGUCAACAAGGAUGUGGAUGUUUGGCAAAGAGAAGUUGUCUUUGGGAUUGCCUUGUUCAAAUCUCUUUAUUCUACACAUACUCGAGUUUUCCCAUCUUUCUUCGGUACCGGGACCACAUUGGCCUACCAUGUGGUGUAUUGAACCACUCGGAUUACACCCGCCUCUAACUGCUUUGUGAUCUCCUCUUUGAUCUUAUCACUGAUAUCAGGUUUGAACUUUCUUUGUUUUUGUUGGACUGGAGGGCAUUCGGGGAGUUGUCAACAAGGAUGUGGAUGUUAGGCAAAGGGAAGUUGUCUUUGGGACUCGCCUUGUUCAAAUCUCUGUAGUCUACACAUACUUGGGUUUUGCCAUCUUUCUUCGGUACCGGGUCCACAUUGGCCAACCAUGUGGUGUAUCGAACCACUCGGGUUACUCCCGCCUCUAACUGCUUUGUGAUAUCCUCUUUGAUCUUUUCAUUGAUAUCAUGUUUGAACUUUCUCUGUUUUUGUUGGACUGGAGGGCAUUCGGGGUAUGUGGGCAGCUUAUGAACCACCAAAUCAAGACUCAGCCCAGGCAUAUCAUCAUAAGACCAAGCAAACACAUCAUUGAAUUCAAAAAGAAGUUGAAGCAGUGAGUCCCGGAUUUCCUCAUAUACAUGGAUGCUUAUUUUGGUUUCCCUAGUUUUGCCGGGACCACCCAAGUUAACCGGUUCGGUAUCAUUUAGAUUCGGCUUAGGUUUAUUUUCAAAAUGUUCCAACUCUUGGUUGAUUUCCUUAAAAGCCUAUUCUUUAUCAUAUUCCGGGCUUGGUUCAUUAUUUCACAAAUAGGCAGCAUGUUCGGAUCGGGGCAUGAAGUCCGCGAGCAUUCCAUAUUAUUUAAAGCCGCAUUAUUGGAACUGAAAGAAAAGAUAAAAAUAGAAGAAAAUAGCAAAAAUCAGAAAAAAUAGAGGAGUGCAGACGAUGAAAUAUUGAUCUCAUUUCUUUGAAAUUGUAAGAUAACAGGGUUUACAUUUGAAAUUUAAAGAACAAAAUACUAAAGAAAAAAACACUCGAGUUACACCCUGAAAUAACUCGGGAUGCAAGAAGAGAUGGCAAGGUAGGACUACAAGGCCUCCCGCCUGACUGGGAAAGGCGUAGCCUUCCAAUUUUGCAAUUUGGCAUCCGGUCCCAGGUAGAACACCUCGGCGGUGCUCGAGCCUUCUCCAAGCUGAACCAUGUCGGCUUCAUACAAUAAUUUCCUCAUGGCCCUACAUAUACUUCUCUCCGGUAGGCAAAGCGAUUGGCUCAGUUAUCCCUUGUAGAGAACUUCAGAGUCCCUUUCCUGGCUUAAAUCCUUGACGUAUCAUCUCUCUUGCCACCAUAAUUCAGGCGUUGGAGAGGAAAGGCUGGGGAUAUGGUUUGCCUUCUUCGUGUUGAUCAGCUGCCACGAUUUCAAAAGCUUGGUAAACUAUGUGCCCACUUCUUUCUUUACCUUCGAGGCAGGGGACAGAGGGAUCGCGGUAGAUUGACUAUUCAUCUUCUCCAUGGACCACGAUUUCCUGGUUCUCAUGAUCAAACUUCACCAUUUGGUGCAGAGUAGAAUUCACAACUCCUGCUGCGUGAAUCCAUGGUCUUCCUAGGAGGUAGUUGUAGGAUGUGUCCAUAUCUAAUACUUGAAAUGUUACCUCAAAACCGACCGGACCAAUGGUCAAUACCAAGUCAAUUUAUCUUAUCAAGUCUCUUUUAAUUCCAACAAAAUCCCAGACACACACAUUGUUGGGGAGGAUCCUCUCCGUCCCGAUUUCCAUUCUUUGCAAUGUUAACAGUGGGCAUAUGUCCACCCCGGAGCCUCCAUCUACCAUUACUCUUUUGAUGUGAUAGCCUUCACAUUUUCAUAGUGAGAUGCAGGGAUUUGUUGUGGGCGGCUCCCUCUGAAGGCAAAUCAUUCUUGCUAAAUGUAAUAUGAUUAACAUCGAAGAAUCUUUUUGCCAUUUUCUCCAGUUGUUCCAUUGAGGUUUGAACCGGCACGUAGGCCUCAUUUAAAGUUUUGGCUAACACCUUCUGGUGCUCCGGAGAAUCCAUUAGCAAUGAUAUUAAAGACACUUGCUCGGAAGACUUCCGGAGCUGGUCCACUACCUCAUAGUCUGGCAUUUUCAUCUUUCGAAAGAAGGCCUCCGCCUAUUCAGCAUUUACAGGCUUUUUGGGUGGGAAUCGCCUUUUGGUAGCACUGUUCACCUCUUCCAGGUCUGAAUAUUUCUUUGCAGGGUGACCUUCUUGAGUUUCCCCAACAAUUUCUUUACCUUUGUAUGUUGCUAUUGUUUCUUGAUAGUUCCACGAGACUGUAGAAAGGUCGGUCAUUGGCCUCUGGGGCGCGCUAGCGAUUACCACUGGCUCAUUCAACCUUGGCGGUUUAAUCGGUCCCCGCACCACAUAGGCUCCCUUGGGUACGUACAUCAUCUUGUUCAACUCAAAUCGUCUCGGGGGAUUCAGAGUUGGUUAUUUUUCUUGACGACCCCGUGGGAUGUAAAGGACGGUUUCCUUGACGGGUGCCGUCUCAGUUUUAGCUUCAACCUUCUUCUCUGCUUCCGGGUGCUUGGCUUCACUCAUUUCCUUUUCUUCAUCCUUCUUGGGGGUAACCUUUGGCUUUCUAUCUGCAUCAACAAUGGCUAUUAUGGCUUUCAAAGCAGGGUCAAAUUCUUUGUCCUCGCAAAUCAUCUCGAUGGCUGGCCCGUUGUUGUGAGCCGGUAACGGGUUAUUAGUCACGUUCGGGACAUCUUCAUCUCUCAACACUAUUUUCCUUUGUUCUAUUAUAUCCUCCAUUGGAUCAUCCCGAUAACUGGCCCGUUGUUGUGAUCCGGUAACGAGUUAUUAGUGACAUUCGGCACAUCUUCAUCUCUCAACACUAUUUUCCUUUGUUCUAUUAGAUCCUCCACAGCUCGCUUUAGAGUCCAAAAUUUUUCGAUGUCGUGUCCUUUAGCUGCUAAAUGAUAAGCACAGCGUACACCCUGUUGGUAAGAAGGCGAUUCAGGGUUUUGUCUGUUUGGGGGCGCAGGCUGCAAGAGGCCCAUCUGGACAAGUUUUGGGAAUAAGCUGGAAUAAGACUCCCCUAUUGGUGUAAUGUUUUGCCUUCUGGGCGGAUCCCUUGGACGGAAAUUGUUUUGGGGAGGGCAAGAUUAUAGUGGUUUUGGGGAGGCUAAUUUCUCGGGGCCUGGUUUCUAUUGAUCAAGCAAAUGGUUGGGCAUUCAUAACUGCAUAAGGUUGGGGAUUAUAAUGCAUGUCUUGAUGGGGAUAGUAGUGUUGGGAGGUCCUUUCCGAGAACAAUGGGCCUGUGAGGAUGAUGUCUUCUCAUACCAAAGGCUGCCAUUGAAACUUCUUCUUUCUUUUUGCUUCUUGCAACUCCUCAUUCCCCACCUUGGAUGGUCUGUGAGGUUGCCCUUAUGGCUGACUGACUCAGAAUUCUUCCUGUUUUCAAGCCAUUCUCUACCAUCUCGCCGAUCUUGAUUGCUUCCACGAAAGGUUUGCCCAUUGCUGACAUCACAUUUUGAAAGUAAUCCGCUUCUUGGGCCUGGAGAAAGAUAGUGACCAUCUCUAUCUCGUCCAUGGGCGGCCUUACUCUUGACGCCUGUUCGUGCCAUUUGAUAGCGUAUUCUCUAAAACUCUCUGAAGGCUUCUUUUUCAAGUUGGGGAAAGAAUUUCUAUCUGGUGCAAUGUCAACGUUAUACUGGAAUUGCCUUACGAAAUCCAGGGCAAGAUCGUCCCAGAUAUGCCAUCGUGUGACAUCUUGGUCCAUGUACCAUUCAGAAGCGAUGCCUACUAGACUCUCUCCGAAGUAUUCCAUUAACAGUUCUUCGUUUCCGCCUGCCCCACGCAAUUGGUUACAGUACUUUUUCAGAUGAGCAAUGGGGUCGCCAUGACCAUUAUACUUUUCAAACUUAGGCAUUUUAAAUCCCAUGGGAAGAUGUACAUGCGGGAACAUGCACAGAUCUGUGUAGGAAACGCUCUUUUGCCCACUCAAACCCUGCAUGUUCUUCCAGCUCUACUCAAGGCUUUUCAUCCUUAUUGCUAUCUCAUCUUGUUCAGACAUUUUAGGAGUUUUAUCCUGCAUUGGUGUGAGUUCAUAUGCUGGUUGAGGAUAAGUGUAUGUGGGGUAUGAGGGAGGCUCAGUUUGGUAAUUGGGAGUUUGAAAUGUGAAAGUUGUAGGAUCAACAUGGGCCUCGGCACUGCAAGCUGUGUGAUGGCUGAACAUGGAGGAGCCAUAAAAAUAUUAGGAACUGGGCCAGAUGUGAACAUUAGAGGACGGGCUUCAGAAGGUGCUCCGACAACGUUGGUUGAUAUGGUAGGCUGCUCCAAGAGGAACUGCUGGUAGAGUCAUUUCGGUCGGAUCGAACAUGAGUCUCGGCACUGCGAGCUGUGUGGUGGCUGCACAUGGGGGAGCCAUAAAAAUAUUAGGAAUUGUUCCAGAGGUGAACUAUUGAGGGCGAUCUUCAGAAGUUGCUCCGACAAAGUUGGUUCGUAUGGUAGGCUGUCCCAAGAGGACGUUUGGGUGGCUAAUAGGGACAGUGGAAGUACCCCCGACCUUGGGAAGAGCUCAGGAAAUCCAGGGAUGGCACUCAAAGGCUCGUCCAUGCAUCCCACAUCUCCAUGACUCUAAGUCGAAGGAUCCUAUUUUCUACAGCUGCCGCAGAUUCUGAGGCUGAGAUCCCUACAAUCGGGCUAUCCUCUGAAAUGGGAACUGCCGGAAAAGUCAUUUCAGAUGACAUUUCUGUGCUUCUUUUCGAUCUGGUAAAAUAUUGAUGUGAUGCCAGUUUACCACAAACCAACCACUGUUUCAAAAAGCCUGAGACUGGAAUUACAUCAAACAAACGAUUAGUUUGAGAUAGAUAACAGAUAGGGAAUCACACGUUGGGUGUGAUGCACCUAUACAUUUAACUGGUGUCUAAAUGUUUGCAAUGGUCGCAUGCGUCAUCCCGUCGUUUAUUCCCAACUUCAUGUUGAUUUCCACUAUUUGUUUUCUUGCUUUCCCUUUUCUCUUUUUUUUUUGUGUCUUUGGUUUUCCCAUUUUUUAAGAAUACGGUUGAAUCCUAAGAAGAUUGCCUACGUAUCAUGCUCCGCAUGAAUCAGACCGAGCGUAGUUCAUGAGAAGUGCAAUGAAAAUAACAAGAUAUUUUGGAAUUUUCAAUUCUAAUAAAGACAAACUUUGGUUACAAAGACUAGCAAAGUUAAUAAAAGGCAACUAACAGACUCAGACAUAAUAAGAACUACAGACUCGAAGAGUAAUAAUGCGUAAAAAGAAAAUAUAGACUGACAUACUCUUUUAAGGAAAAAUACAAGUUUCAGAAAUCAUGAAACAUUAAGACUUCAACUGCUCCUGGAGCUCGCGGGGCAUCAUUUGGCCUUGCCGCAGGCUUGCGUGCUAAACUCCCUUGGAGGUGGUGGAGGUCUUCCAUCACUUGCCAAACAAAGGUCAUGGCGGUGCAAAGAACAUGGAUCUUGUCAUAUCCUCACAAUGGUUGCACUUUGUGGUGAUGUAGUCCGCGAUCGCUCCAAAGGUCAUGGCGGUGGCAAAGAACAUGGAUCUUGCCAUAUCCUCGCAAUGGUUGCACUUUGUGGUGAUGUAGUCUGCGAUCGCCCGUACCCUUUCCCUAAUAACACCCUUUUCUUGCAACAACUCCCAAUUUGCUCGGCCCUUGCCUCUAGAGUUCGCUCUGCUACUUGAUUCAGUCCUUGGAAUUGCCAGAAAACCAUCUACAAUUGAUAUCACUGCAUAACAAUGUUCUCUCUCGACUUUGAAUUCCCCGACAUGCUUGGCCACUCUGUUCUCAGCAAUGAUGACCCUCCGUUUCAAUCCAACAAUCUCAUUAUUAUGCCCUUAUUUUAAUUGCUCAAUGAUGCGGGCUCGUUCCUCCGUACUUUUAGCUAAUUGUUUACGAACCCUAGAUAGCUCACCUUCCGCCUUAUUCAAGUCAAAACCAUAUUCAGUUACUUUCUGCCGCAGACUUUCUAUGAGUUUUUCAUCCUUUUCGCUCCUGGGGGAUUUUCCGUGCCUGCUUUCAUUUUCUGAAUUUGGGCUCGCAACGCCUCGUUUUCUUUGGUAAUCGUUUCUUUUCUCCCUCAUCUGCUGCGGCUAGCAAACCAUUUUCAAAUUGCAGCUCUUUGUCUUGCUUUUCCAACCUUCCUAUGGUGGCCCUGUGUUUUAACCACAUUGCAAUUUUUUUUUAAAUAAAAAUAUAUUAAAAGCAGUAAAUAAUUAAAAUUGCACCAUAGGAUGAAACAUGUAUUAAAAUCAGAUAUUAAGCCAUUUAUAAUAGUUUAAGCGACCGUGCUAGANNNNNNNNNNNNNNNNNNNNNNNNNNNNNNNNNNNNNNNNNNNNNNNNNNNNNNNNNNNNNNNNNNNNNNNNNNNNNNNNNNNNNNNNNNNNNNNNNNNNNNAGUGCCUAACACUUUCCCUCGGGUUAACAGAAUUCCUUACUCAAGAAUUUCUGGUUCGCAAACUCUAUUUGGGCAAUCGAAGGAUUUCCUCGAUUUGGGAUUUUAAAUAAAUCGGUGACUUGGGACACCAAAAGCCAAAACUCCAUUAUACGUUUUAACCUUCGGGGUAGGUGUGUAAAAGAGAUUAUUUAUUUAUUUUAUUCAGAGUCGCCACUUGGGAUAUGUUUGGCUUUUGGUGUCCCAAGUCACCGAUUUAUUUAGAAUCCUAAAUCGAGGCAAUCUUUCGACUGCCCAAAUGGAGUCUGCGAACCAGAAUUGUUGAGUAAGGAAUUCUGUUAACCCGAGGGAAGUUGUUAGGCACCCUUGGAUUCUGUGGUUCUAGCACAGUCGCUUAAACUAUUAUAAAUGGCUUAAUAUCUGAUUUUAAUACAUGUUUCAUCCUAUAGUGCAAUUUUAAUUAUUUACCGCUUUUAAUAUAUUUAUUUUUAAAAAAAGAAAAUUGCAAUGUGGUUAAAACAUGCUGCGAACCACAUCAUAUAUAUGCACCCGCAGUUUUUGACAUAUUUCAACUUCAUUGAGAUUUGGAUUUGGGUCACAUAAAUGUGCACCCGUACUUAGGAAGAUAAAAUUAUUAAAGACGCGCUUAAAGCAACUAUCGUGUUAUUAUCUUUGCGGGAAGCCAUGAAGUUUGCUAAACGGCGUGUCCCGAAUUAGUUCUUUUGCUCAUAGGUUAAACUCAACAACUAAUCAAUGAUCGGAGUACUCAAAAUAAUGUAAUAGGCUAAAAGUACAAAUGAUUGCGAAUUGGUAUUGGUUACAGAAUGUAUCAAGAACUAUUGAGUUACUACCAAAUACUCAAUUAGCCAAGUUAGUACUGUUUGCAGGGGACUCUAGCCAACUCAUAAGCAGGCAGUAUAUGUGACCAACUUAAGAAAAUUCAAAUCACUAAAUCGAUAAUUAAACUACAAAACACUAGCUGGACAAUCACAAUUUGUGACAGUGAUAACCAUAAGCCAAUAUCACAAUAAAAAGUAUUCGGAAAAAUAAUCUUUCUAAAUCAUUGUUCCUUGUUUAAAUUAUUACAGUAAAUUGACAUUCCAGCAAAUAUGGCUAAUGGUUUCCAGUUCAACUCAUGCCAAACUAUGGCUGGCCAUCGAAAUUUGAGUUUGUCAACUGUAUAUAAAGAAAACUAGGAAACCGAUACACUAUGUAAUUCUACACAAUUAGAGGGUUGUACUGGCUUCUUCAAGGAGGACUCCGGCUAACUGGUGGCCAAAUCCAUCCAUACGCCAUAUCUCAAUGCCAUUUUAAGCAUAAAUUAUUAGUUAAUCAAUUAAAUCCUAAAGAGUAUAAGAAACUAACUAACGCUACACUUUAGCAAAUUAACUUAGCUUCAACAGACGCAGAACAAAGAUCAACACAGAGUGAACAUUAAAUAGUUUAAAACACACUGAAUAUAUGGAAUCAAACAUAAACAACACAAGACCAAGCAAAACAUUCAAACCAUACCAGCUACAAGUUGAAAUCAGCUACUAAUCGCAAGGGACAACAACGAAUGGUAACAAACAGCAAAUCCCUCGGCAAACCCAGCAAGAGCGGCUAAAAUACUCGAGAAAUAGAGCUUGAAACAACACUUGAGUCCAGAUUUAUGCGUUGGUUCAACACCUGUUCCAACGAAUAUCUCCUUGAUAGCAGUAGAAAUAAUCAGCCACUCCCCUAUAUUUGACUCUCAAAAUUCAGAUGAGACCCAGCAGAUUUCACACAGUGAUUCCGGGUACUUCAACAAAUGCAUUUGACAGCUACACAGCUCCAAAUGCAGUACGCAACUCCAAUCAUUUCCUUUUCCCGGCAGAAAUUAGUCAAAUAAAGUAUGGAACUAAAACAAAUGUAGCUCCACAACAACACAAUAACAACGAGAAACAGUGUAAUGACAACAAAAAUCAACGGGCAACGAGCGAAAAUUCCACGGCUUCAAAACAGCUUUUUAUAUAUGAAAAUUUCGGGCCAACAGUAGUAAGACUUUAAAAUAGCCAACAGUAGUAAGACUUUAAAAUAGCCAAAUAUAGGCCGAAAAUUACUUCAAAUGGGUGUUCAGCUACUAAUUGCAGGAGAAAACAACCACAAACAGCUCCGACUUCUAUUGGUAAGGAAGAUCAACAACAAUAGCAACUAGAGCACAAAUCCACUGCUCUGAACCAGAUACCCAGCAGAUUCGACAACUUCAGCAAUAACGAGACUUCAACAAGUCCGAAACAUCGACGGGAAGAAACUCGAACCUCGACGAUCUAAUAAACUUUGGACUUGACCUUUUCGAAGUCCCUUUUAAAUUCAGCUGAAGGAAACAACCAUUUUAUGAUUUUUUGGUGACUGUUUGGGGUAAAUUUAAUGGCUGCUUUGACUGGUUUCGGGGUGGAGACGAAGAAGCAAGGGGGAUUAGGGUGUGUAAGGGUUGAGGAAGAUGAAGACCUGGAAGGGGAGAGGGGGUCUCUCUGGUUGUUGAUUUUUUGUAGAACCAGUCAAACGGAGGGUCUCCUCCUUGAUAUUAUCGUGUGUCCCCUCCCUCGUGUAUUUUCCCGUGUAUCAGGUUUUAGGUGGAGACAAUGGGUUUGGAUUUGGGUCAGGCGGGUGGGUUCAUGGGUGGUUUGGGCUUGGAUCAAGAGAAAUCUUGGAUCAAUUUUGGGUGGGGUGAGAGCUGGCUCAAUUUCACAAGACAAACCCAUUUUCAAUUCCUUCUUUUAUUUUUUUCUAUUUUUUCCUUCUUUUUUAAUUAAAAUCCUACAAAUUUAAAAUUUUAAAUUAUCUAAAAUUAUCAAAUUAAACUAAUUAGCUAAUUAUCAAAAUAACUUAAUUCUAAAUUAACAAAGAUAAAACAAUAAAAGGAAAAAAUGUAGAAAUUGACCAUUUUUUGUAAUUUUUAUUUUUAAUAAAGCAACUAAAUACAAUGCAUGAUAUUUUGGUAUUUUUUAUGAUUUGACUAUAACUUGAACAUGCACGAAAAUGCAAAUAAUUAAAAAUUAUACAAAAAUUCCUAAAUGUCCGAUAAUUAACAAAAAAUCUAUUUUCUUGGGAUUUAUAGGAGUAUUUUGUAUAGGGCAAAAAUCACGUGUUUACAACCUUUAUUCAGUUUCCUUGGUUAGCCAAUCCCAUUGCUCUUGUAACGUUUCAACAAAUUCUUGGAGAUGCGUUCAUUUAGCUGGCCUUCCGGGCUCUAUUAUUUUCUGUACCAAGUAAUGUAUCCCGGUGCAACCUCGCCUUUAGAUAUGUCGCAUACUCGGGUACCCGCUGUCAAGAUUGACAUUCACUCCAGAUUUGAUGCAUGACGACUUCAAGGAAUUGACCAUUGGGGCUAAUCUCAACCGCAUGGUGGCUAAUAUCCUCGUCCGUGGAAUCAUUUGGCAUCCACCCAAUUGCCUUAGAACUCUGUAUGGCGCGUAGGGUUGGAUACUUCGGAGACCAUCAAAAGGAAAUGAGGCCUGGUGGCUGGCAUAUACACAAUUUCAUCCACGGGGAGUGACCCGAAUGUCCAUUCUAUCUGAUUUGCAGUGACAACCCGGAGAUGUGACACCCAUUCCGUGACACCCUCAAGUAGCCUAAACCUAUCAACCUUGUUGUAGAAUUCUUCUAUGCAACUCUUUGUUGGUGACCUAUAAUUCAUGAAUCGAGUCCGGUGGCAUAGAUGCUCGAUCAUCCAUAUAUGUAACAGCAGGUUAAAUCCUUCAAAGAAGUCUCCUCCCGCUUUACAGGCGGUGAGAGCACGAAAGAUCUCGGAUAAGAUCAUAAGAGCGAGGGUACUCUUGGCCUGAGUUAGUAAAGCGCUGAUGACCCCUGCUAUUCGUAUAUCAAUAUUUCCAUCCUUCCGCGGAAACACCAUAUGACCCAAGAAGAAAACCGUGAAUGCAAAACUUCGAUGCUCCUCCCAUUUGAGUUGGUUUCCUUUAGUACAAAUAUGGUUUUCCGGGUUAUUGAAUCCCCAUAUAUGACCAUACCUUUGAUAUAUAAACUGCAGGGUAUAGAAGCCGGCUGACAGGUUAGGGUUGUAAACCUUUCUAUUGAUUUUUAAGAAAUCCAGGAACUUGUGCACGACAAGGGCUCUUGGCACAAUCAGGUAUUGGUGCCUCAGGGGAAUCGUAGGGGUCCCAAUAUAUCUAGUUAUUUCCUCUAAUGUCGGUGUGAGUUCAAAAUCCGAGAAAUGGAAUACAUUGUGAGACGAGUCCCAGAAUGUUAUUAAUGCUUUUAUGAUAUCUCCCCUCAGGUUAAUUUUCAGCAGCCCAGUAAGUCCUCCAAAAUGCAUGUUGACCCUGUUUUUCCCCGCUUCCCCCAAGUCAUUCCACCACAUGUGUAGCUCCAAGGGAAUAUUGUUCAUGAAUGUUAUCAGCAAAUACUGACCCAUGCUCAUUCUGCACAUUUAGUAGGGCGAAUUAGUAUCUCAAGAUUUUGUUCUAUUUGACUCCACAAAAUAUUAAAACUGACCUCUUUCUUUUAUGAAAUUUAUAUUCUAAAACCAUGGCCCAGCUUUGCAAAUACGACCUUUCAGCACUUUCGAAGGAAGAUUUUAAGGUUGUGUUCGCUGACCGGCCAAAAUAAGACUCAAAGGUGGCCAUUUGUGCAAAGUCAGCCUUCCGGCGUCCCCUUUAGAAACAUUCGGCUAUUCUUGGCAAUAACGAGAAUUUUGUUUAUGAAUGUUAUCGGCAAAUACUGGUCCAUGCUCAUUCUGUACAUUUAUUAAGGCGAAUUAGUAUCUCAAAAUUUUGUUCUACUUGACUCCACAAAACAUUAAAAACUAACCUCUUUCUUUUAUGAAAUUUAUUUUCUGAAGUCAGAGCCCAGCUUUGUAAAUACGUCCUUUCAGCACUUUCAAAGGAAGAUUUUAAGGCUGUGCUCGUUCACCGGCCAAGAUAAGACUCAAGGGUGGCCAUUUGUGCGAAGUUAGUUCCGGUGCCCCUUUCAGUAACAUUCGGCUAUUUUUGGCAGUAACGGCAUCACCCGAUUUAUUAAAGAAAAUAAGUAAAAUUGGACAUUUGUUUUGGUUAUUUUCGCAAAAGGGAGGUUGGACCCGAUGAGGGUUGCCUACGUAUCUCGUAUCCGACGAGAAUCAAACCGACAUAGUUCGGACAAAACAAUUUAUUAAAACCAAUACAGUAUUGAAGAUCCCCUUUUCUUUUGUUUUGUUUUUGGUUGUUUUAUUUUUCGAAAUCGGCAGUAUUUCAGUGCUAUUUGAGCAUUAGUUUUAAAAGACAAGAGGUUACCCCCAUUAUCCCUAAUACUGAUAUUUUCUCUAUUUUCUCUCCUUAUUCACAACCCGGUCAACAUGAAAAUCGAAAGCAAAUAAAUGCGCAAGUAGCACGUAAAAUGCAUCAGGAUGGUCUUUAUUUCGGCUCACCUGUCCUAGAUGGACCCAACCCCUGUGUUGAGUCCCCCUAAGUCGAAUGCAUGAUGCAAAUAAGCGUUCCAACUAGGGAUCCGGCAUGAGGUCAAGUUAUUCUAAGUUAAAACCUUUGUAUAGGGUCUAGACUGUGCACCCGAGCGGACAACUCAAGUCGGGGAGGGGGCUACCUACCGGGAACUAAAAGGCCAUCUGGCUUAGUAACUUGUCCGGCCUCUUUCUUAUUUUCAGGUAUGACAUUAACAGAAUAGGGAGUCUCAACCACUAAGCACAUCCCCUGAUGUAAGAAGUGAAGGGGUUCGUAGCAGUUUAUAUGUACAGUUCAGAUGAUAUCAAAGCGGUAAAUCAUUUAGCACUUAGAAUAGAACAUGUAGGCAAAUCAGAAGGAGCCAAAUAUAAAAGUAAUUCUAAGCUCGAUUUCUUGAACCCUGAACCAGAGAUUCUGGGUUCCAUAUCCCCAGCAGAGUCGCCAGAGCUGUCAGCUUCCUUUUACACAACUACCCCGAAGGAUAAGAACACAUAAGGGGGUUUUUCCAAUUAAAGUGACAUUAUUCGAAAUGGGACUAUUUAUUUAUUAGAGUCGCCACUUGGGAUAGGUUUGGAUUUGGUGUCGCAAGUCAUCAGUUUAAUUAGAAUCCCAAAUCGAGGAGAUUUUUCGACUUCCUAAAUAGAGUCUGCGAACCAGAAAUUCUCAGUAAGGAAUUCUGUUAACGCGAGGGAAGGUGUUAGGAACCCCCGGAUACCGUGGUUCUAGCACGGUCGCUUAAACUAUUAUAAAUGGCUAAAAUUCUGAUUUUACACAUGUUCAUCCUAAAACAACAAUUUUUAAUAUUUAUACCGCUUUUAAUAUAUAUUUUAAGGAAAUUUGUGAUGCCGCUAAAACUUUUCGCAAACCACGUCACAUAACAACGUCAUAUAAAUGUGCACGUAGUUUUUGACAUAUUUCAACUUCAUCGGGAUUUGGAUUUGGGUCACAUAAAUGCGCACCCGUACUUAGGAAGAUAAAAUUAUUAGAGACGCAUCUAAAAGCGACUAACGUGUUAUUAUCUUUGCGGGAGGCCGUGGAGUUCGCUAAACGGCAUGUCCCAAAUCUCUAAGUAUUUUAAUAUGAAUAUUUCACGAGGGCCAUGCGGUUUAUGGGUUCCGUUUGGCGUGACACACCACGUUUUAUUAAUUAAAAGCCGGUCUAAGGUGAACUAAGACUUCCAUAAUGUUCAUUUCUAAAAGGGCUUUAGCGAUAGAGCUUAGGCUCCAAAUUUAAGCCGGAAUUCAAACAAAAAUGAAACCUCUUAAUUUGAAUUUACUACCUAAUUUGAAAGUACAACCCAAUUUUAUUACAUCAUGGCCAAUAUCGCAGGUUUGAAGCAACACCAUCAGACCCUUUGUUUGCGGAAUUACUGAACUAUAGAUUGACGUGGAAAAUUAUGGAGGGUAUCGAUUCAAUUAGGCUAGUUACGAGCUAUGGUAGACAAUGAAUAUUCAAACGGGUUUGAAAUGCGUAAAUGCAUAUUUCCUGGGUCAAAACUAGACUGCCUGCUCGAAUUAAACUGAAAUUCCACCGGCUUUAAUUGACUUUAAGACUACAUUGACACUAAUUAAUAAUAUCCAAAUAUAAAAACUGAUUGUAACCAUUGGCAAGGUUAAAAUCUGCGACUGGGGUGUAGCGAACUAUCAAUUCAUUGUUUGAAUUGUAGAACUUAAAACAGAUUCACAUUUAGGAUACAACUGAGGACAAUUUAAAACUAUCAUGCUCCUAGAAUCCAAUUACUUACAAUCAAUUUAAACUAUUCAGCUAAGCUUGAAACAGUCCCGUUCAGUCCAAAUUACACAGUUCCAAAUUUAUACAGGCAUAAAUCAAGUUAAUCUAUAUUAGACGUUAGAAAUCAAUUAAGACUAUUCGAUUCUAAACUAUAAGAAGCCAACCAGGCUCAGCUCAAGGAGCAAAUGCUAGAGUGUUUAUCAUUUCAUUUUUGACCGUGGCUACAUCAGAUCAUGUUCAUGUGUGUGUACCUGGAAUUACAGCAAAGGGGAAGCACCUAUGAGUGGGUAAACAAGAGACAAUAACAGCAGCAAAUCCACCAACAGAUUCAACAAUAAAUCAAGCUCGAAACCCAAAAACGAACAAGGAACUUUUCUCAAAAUUAAGACCAGGAUCUACAUAACUUUAAUACAAAAUGCUUCCAGGAUGAAUUCACAAUGGUUGAUGCUAUCGAAUAGAAACCUUUGCAUUCAUUUGCCUUUUGUGUUUUUCAAGUUUGUAUCAGAUUUCCUGGAAUCAGACCUACUAUUUGUUGCUCUCUUAUUGGGAAUUUAUUCAGAAGGAGUUUUAGAGGUCUCUCCUUUUUUCUUUUUAGUCAUGAUAUCUAUGCCUUUAUAGGAAAGUAAGCUAGGGCAAAGUAUUCAGCUAUUAUUUUAACCUUUAGUCCUUUCUAAUUUUUCAUUUAUAACAGUCAAUCCUUCAUUAUUUGCUUUUAGCCUAGGUUACUUCAGACUUGUUUACCAAGUUUACCAACUGAAAUUUCACUAGAGGCCCUUAUUAGAAGCUUUUAAAUUUGUUAUUAAAGAUUCCCUAUCCCUCCAAUGCCUAAACUACCCUUUAUCCAAUCAGAAUUUACCUAGCAUGAGCAGUAAACUAACCCCAACACUCUUUUAUCCCUAGUUAGAAAACACUCAAAUGUAUCCAGUCAAAACUCCACAACUUGUGUUGAACAUUAUUUAAGUUUGAUCAAUAAAUAAUCUAAAGCUAGUGUAUAUAUAGUGGACAAUUAACUGAAACAAUUUGCAACAACAUGACAUGCCAGAUGAAAAUAAUCAUAUCCUAAUAACUUAUGUAGGCUUUUGGACAAGGUUAGAAAGAAGGGGUGUGAAAAGCUCAAAAAAUCGCUUUUAUGGGUUCAAAAUUUACAACUUUCGGAAUCCAAACCAAUGCAAUGUAUGCCCCAGUUUCUUGCUUGGGGCUUUCUGAUUUAUUUGAAUACGACCGAGCCGUAAGGCUGCCUACGUAUCCUAAAAUGAAUCAGAUCAAACGUAGUUCCUACUAAUUCCUUAUGUUCACUAUUGUUUGAUUUCCUUUUCCUCUUCUCUUUCUGCUACCUUUCUUACUUUUUCCUUUUAUUCUUUUUUCUUUUCCUUUCCUUUUCUUUUCUUUUCUUUGCUUUCUUUUCUUUUCUUUUCUUUGCUUCUCUCUUUUUCUCUUUUUUUCUUUCUUUCUCUCUUUUCUGUUUUGUUUUACUUUCUUUUUCUUUAUUGUCCAUUUGCCGCCUUUUAUAAUUGCAUUUCUUACUCUCAUUAUUGAUUCUGAAAGAUGGGAUAUAAGAAAAUAAUUGAAGCUCAAGAGGGUUAACAAGGGGUAAAGUUUUUAGAUAGCUGAAUAAAAUGCCUUCAUCAUUUCAAACUCUAGAACAUGCCAAGUACAAAUAAAUGUCAAGCAUAGACAACGAUUCCAACAAAACAGAAUCAUACAUAAUAUCUUUUGACUGCAUCUAAAUUGAUAGCCAUUUCUACGCAUUUUCCUUCCACAUCUUUCAGAUACAAUGCUUCAUUAGACAACACUCUAAACACGACAAACGGGCCUUGCCAAUUCGGAGAAAACUUGCCCUUUGCCUCAGCCUGGUGAGGAUGGAUGCGCUUCAACACCAAUUGACCUACUUCAGACUUUCUUGGACGCACUUUCUUGUUAUAUGCUCUCGCUAUCCUCUGUUGAUACAACUGACCGUGACAUACCACUACCAAUCUUUUCUCAUCAAUCAAACUCAAUUGCUCCAAACAAGCUUUGACCCAUUCUUCGUCGCCGAUUCCUUCUUCAGCCAUGAUUCGAUGGGAUGGGAUUUCAAUUUCAGUCGGGAUUACUAAUUCUGUGCCAUACACCUACAAGUUUGGUGUCGCCCCUACCGAAGAGCGAACUGUAGUGCGAUAGCCUAACAAUGCAAAGGGUAACCUCUCAUGCCACUGCCUGGACCCUUUCACCAUUUUAUGAAGUAACUUCUUUAUGUUCUUAUUGGCCGCCUCAACCGCUCCAUUCGCCUUGAGGCGAUACGGGGUAUAAUUUCAAUGUGUGAUCUUGAACUGCUGACAUACUUCUCUCAUCAAGUGACUGUUGAGAUUUGCCACAUUAUCAAUGAUGAGCGUCUUGGGGAUUCCAAACCGACAGAUGAUAUUCGUAUGUACAAAGUCGACAAUGGCUAUUUUGGUCACUGCCUUGAAGGUUUUGGCUUCCACCCAGCUGGUGAAAUAGUCAAUCGCAAUCAGGAUAAAUCUGUGUUCAUUAGAAGCAGCAGGCUCGAUGGGCCCGAUGACGUCCAUGCCCCAAGCAACAAAGGGCCAUGGUGCAGACAUUGUAUGAAAUUCCGACGGUAGGGAGUGGGUUAGUCUCCAUGCACCUGACAUUGAUGACAUUUGCACGAAGUUGAUGCAAUCCCGCUCCAUGGUGAGCCAAUAAUAUCCUGCCCGAAGGAUCUUCUUUUCCAAAACAUAUCCACUCAUGUGUGGCCCGCAGACACCAGCGUGCACAUUAUUCAUGAUGGUUGUCGCCUGCCCAACAUCUACCUGCCUUAACAAACCAAGGCCCGGCGUCCUUUUGUAUAAUACUCCUCCAUUGAGAAAAACCCGCUCGACAGAUGACAGAUCGUUCUCUUCUGGUCACUCGUGGCUUGUACUGGAUACACACCUCUCCUGAUAUAUUCCUUGAUGUCGUGGAACCAAGGCUCGCCGUCAAGCUCUUCUAAAAACCCAUUUGACAAGCAACGGAUUUUUCUCUUUUGGUCACUCGUGGGUUGCAUCGGGUACACACCCCUCCUGAUAUAUUCUUUGAAGUCGUGGAACCAAGGCUCACCGUCAAGCUCUUCUUCCACCAUGUUGCAAUAAGCAUGCUGAUCAUGGACCCAGAUAUGUAUCGGGUCAACAUAAGCCUUGUCCGGGUGAUGUAACAUUGACUCCAGAGUAGCCAAGGCAUCAGCAACCUCAUUCACUCGGGAUGUGCGUGAACUCUAUUGACCGGAAUCGUUGACAAAGAUCAUGCAAGCAUUGCUAGUAUGGUAUGAGCUUUAAGUCUCUUAUUUCCCAUUCCCCUUGAAUCUGGUCUACCAGAAGGUCCGAGUCUCCCAAGACCAAGACUUCCUGGACACCCAUGUCUGCUGCUAAUCUCAAACCCAAAAUGCAUGCCUCAUACUCCCCUUGAAUCUGGUCUACCAGAAGGUCCGAGUCUCCCAAGACCAAGACUUCCUGGACACCCAUGUCUGCUGCUAAUCUCAGACCCAAAAUGCAUGCCUCAUACUCUGCCAUGUUUUUGGUGAAUCGGAAUUGAGCUGUGACUGGGUAAUGAUGCCCUUCUUAUGAAAUGAGCACUGCUCCUAUCCCAACACUUUCAUGUUGGCAGCCCCAUCGAAGAACAAUUUCCAACCUGACCUCUCAUCUUGUUCCAUUCCAUCAAUAUGCAUCACUUUCUCAUUUGGGAAGUAUGUAUUCAAGGGCUCGUAUUCUUCAUCUAUCACAUUCUCAGCUAAAUGAUUUACCAAUGCUUGUUCUUUCAUGGUAGUCCUAGUCACGUAGAUAAUGUCGAACUCAGUGAGCAAGAUUUGCCAUUUUGCAAGCCUUCCGUGGGCAUGGGCUUCUGGAAAAUGUACUUCAAUGGGUCCAGAUGCGAGAUGAGAUAAGUGGUACAUGAGGACAAGUAAUUCUUUAUCUUCUGGGCUACCCAUGUCAAGGCGCAGCAUGUCCUUUCAAGAUGAUUAUACUUGACCUCUUAAGCCAUAAAUUUCUUGCUAAGGUAGUAUAUGGCUUGCUCUUUUCUCCCCGUGACAUCGUGCUGACCCAACACAAAUCCAAAUGAGUUGUCCAGGACUGUCAAAUAUAAGAUCAAGGGCCUUCCUAGUUCUGGCGGGACCAACACCGGUGGGUUCGACAAAUAUUCCUUUAUCUUAUCAAUAGUCUCCUGGUACUCUCCCGUCUAUUUCACCGCAACAUCCUUUUUCAAUAGCUUAAAGAUGGGCUCGCAGAUAGUUGUGAGCUGAGCAAUGAACCGGCUGAUGUAAUUCAACCUUCCUAAUAGACUCAUCACUUCUGUUUUAUUCCUCGGUGGCGGUAGCUCCUGUAUAGCUUUGAUCUUUGACGGGUCCAGUUCAAUGCCUCGUCGGCUGACGAUGAACCCUAGCAACUUCCCUGAGGGGAUCCCAAUUGCGUAUUUUACCGGAUUGAGUUUAAGAUCAUACCUGCAGAGCCUUUGGAAGAAUUUCCUCAGAUCUUUGACAUGAUCAGAUUUCUCUCUGAUCAUCUAUGUAGACCUCAAUUUCUUUAUACAUCAUAUCGUGGAAAAUGGUUUUCAUGGCUAUCAUAUAUGUCGCCCCGGUGUUCUUCAAACCGAAAUACAUGACCCUAUAACAAUAUGUCCCCCACAGUGUGAUAAAUGUGGUUUUCUUUGCAUCCUCUUCAUCCAUUAAGAUCUGGUGGUAGCCUGCGUAGAAAUCCACGAACGACCCGAUCUCAUGCUUCGCACAAUUGUCAAUCAGUAUGUGAAUGUUCGGCAGAGAGAAGUUGUCCUUCAGACUUGCUUUAUUGAGGUCACGGUAAUCGACACACACUUUUGUUUUACCAUCCUUCUUUGGUACGGGCACAACAUUAGCUAACCAGGUGGGGUAUCGUGUGACUCGGAUGACUUUUGCCUCAAACGGCUUGGUCACUUCCUCUUUGAUUUUCACGCUCACAUCAGUUUUGAACUUCCUCAACUUUUGUUUGGUGGGAGGGCAGGCUGGGUCGGUGGGCAACUUGUGAACCACCAAGUCAGUGCUCAACCCGUGCAUAUCAUUGUAGGACCAUGAAAAUACAUCUUUGUACUCAAGCAGGACUUCAGUUAUUUCUUUCCUAAGUUUUGAUUCCAUAUGGACACUUAUUUUUAUUUCUCUGACAUAAUCUGAGCUUCCUAAUUUGACCGCCUUUGUAUCGCUCAGGUUUGGUUUGGUUUUCUCCUCAAAUUGGCUCAACUCUUUACUAAUCUCAUCCCGAGCCCCUUCCUCAUCGUAUUCUGACUCAUCCUCAUGUUCUAUUUCCUGAAUUAUUAUUUUCGAACUAGACUGAUUUUGAAGACUGGGCCGAGGAGUCCUUAUGCAUGUCAGAUCACUGGAACCAGCAUAAAAAUAAAGUUGUGAUUCCAGAUGGACACUUAUUUUUGUUUCUCUAACAUUAUCCGGGCUCCCUAAAUUGAAUUCCUCUAUAUCGCUCAGAUUCGGUUUGUGUUUCUCUUCAAAUUGGCUCAGCUCUUUACUAAUUUCAUCCCAUGCCCUUUCCUUGUUGUAUUCUAGCUCAUAUUCAUGCUCUAUUUCCUGAAUUAUUAUUUCUGAACUAGACCGACUUUUAAGAUUGGCCGAAGAGUCCUUAUGCAUAUCAGAUCAUUGGAACCAGCAUAAAAAUAAUUGUACAAAAGAGAAAAGAAAGAUAAGUAAAGAAAAAUGCAAGCUAUCAGUAUUGCUGGAAGGGAAAUUGUAUUUCAUUAGAAUCAAAGUUAACAGAGAUUACUUAUCCAAACGGACGAAAAUAACAACUGAAUUAACAACUCUGAAGUUAAUCCAAACUAGACUGAAAGAAAAAUCAAAGCCGACUACCACGACUACCUCCGGAUGGGAAGAGGAGUGGCUUCCCAGUUAUUGACUUUUGCGCAUGGUCCCACAAAGUGCACAUCUGCGCUGCUCGAUCCUUCUCCUGCCUCGACCAUAUUUAGCUCAUUGAACAGCCUUUCUAAUCCCUUAUCCAGAUCCAUGUCCACAUCGAUCAGCGGGCCGGGAAUCCUAGGUAUGGAGCCAUGGCUAGCCCUGGGCUUGACGAAUGAUUUGGACAACCUUGAGAUGGGCUUUGGGAGAGCGCAUGCCCUCUGUUUCAGCUUCCUGGCUCUCCUUAUGUCUGCAGCUGUAGGCUUGAACCCUAAACCAAAAGUGUCCUGAUUUUUGGGUAGGGACACUGGUUGCACAAUGCCUUGUAGAGCAGUACCCAACCUCUUGCCGGGCGUGAAACCAUUUUUCAACAUUUGUGAAGCCUCCAUGACCGACGAAACUGCUAUCUUUGGAAUCAUGACAACUUCACAUUCUGGGAUCUUUUGAACAGACAGCGUAUCAAAUACCUGGUAGAUCCAUGACCCUUUGCUGUCUUCAGAUUCGAUAAAAGGUACGAUAGCAUCACCUGAAAUGCACUGAUUGUCUUCACCGUAGAUCACAAUCUCUUGCCUAUCCCAUUCAAAUUUGACCAUAUGAUGCAGUGUAGAUGGCACUGCCUUGGCUGCGUGAAUCCAAGGCCUACACAACAACAGGUUAUAAGAGACUACCACGACCAGCACUUGAAAUUCCAUGGUGAACUCAUCGGGCCCUAUUGUCACUUCCAGCACUAUGUCCCCCACUGAGUCUUUGCCUCUGCCAUCAAAACCUCGCACACAAAUAUUAUUCUUGUGGACCCUUUCAUUCUCCACCUUUAGCUUGGUCAAUGUGGAGAGUGGAUAAAUAUUUGCACUGGAUCCGUUGUCAACCAGAACCCGGGUGACCACAACAUCUUCACAUUUCACGGUCAGAUAAAGGGCCCGAUUAUGCUCAGUGCCCUCCGUAGGCAGCUCGUCAUCGGAGAAAGUGACCCGAUUUACCUCGAAUAUCUUGUUUUCAAUCUUCUCCAAAUGAUUCACUGUUAUUUUAUCAGGGACGUGGGCUUCGUUCAAAUCUUCAUAGUGCCCGGCGAUGUUCAUCUGAAUGGAUUAGUAAGGACAAUAAGGAGAUCUGAGCUUUUGGUCCAUCAGUUAGCCUUUAGUCCAUGAUAAGAAUAGGAAAUCAGAACUACUUUUUGAUUAAAAAUUUGAAGUUUUAAGCUCAGAAAUCGAUUGAAUUAGCAGCUCUCUGAUUUUUAUUCAGCUUUUUUUUUCCUUCUCUCUGAGUGCUAGUGUGUAUAUAUAUAUAUAUAUAUAUAUAUAUCCUCAACAUAGGGGUACCUUCAGAUUUUAAGUUGCCUCUUAGUCCCUAUUUUAUUUACUACCUUAGUCCCCCAUUUCCUAGUUUGCUACCCAAGUUACCACAAAAUGGAAAUCUAAAUUCCAAUUUGUUCCAUAUUCUAGAAGCUUCAUAAUUCAAUUGACAGAGAUUCCUUGAUAAAUUACCCAAAUUACCCCUGAAUUGUUCCUAAAAUUACUAACCCUAGCCCAUCUCUACCCUAGUUAACUUACCAAUCCUAACUCAACUACAACCAAAUGCCCUAAAAUCUGAAUCACAUGACCCAAAUCAUUCUAAAGGUUUGAAUUAAAUGACAAAAAUCCAGAUUGACUACAAUUAUGCAGCAACAUUGUCUAACCAAAGCAGAUUACAAAAAUCAAAAUAGGAUCAGACUGACAAAAUCAACAAAAAUCAAGGCAUAAACACAAGUUGCCUUCCAAUAAAAGACUCAAACUAAUUCAAUCAACCAAUGAUGGAAAUAAUGAACCAAAAAUAAAAGUCAAUCAGAAGAAGAAACAAUUCAAUGAGCAUAUAUAUAUUUAUCCAAAAAUCCAAAGAUAAGAAAUCGAAAUCAAAGAACAAACACAAAUUUCCUUUCCAUAAACAGAUUCCAACUAAUAAGGUCAGCCAAAAUAGAAUGAUGAACCAAAAUAAAGGACACUUAAGAGAACAAUAUAUCAAUGAGCGUAUACAAUUAUCCAAAGAAAUAAGGAUUAGACUAACAAGAAAUCGAACACAAAUUGCCUUUCAACAAACAAGUCGCCCAAAUAAUAAAGUCAGCCAAGAUAAAAUAAUAGACCCAAAAAUAAAAGACACUCAAGAGGAGAACCAAGAAACAACUAUGCUUACUAUACUGUAAGCCUAUCAAACGAAUGAAAAAUGAAUUAAACCAUACAGAAGAAAGAGAGGAGAGCAUGAAGACUAAGAAUACUAAAACAAACAGAAAAGGACCUACACAAUGAUACUCUAUUAAAGUGAAACAAGGUUAGAUGACUUAGCUUAAAAUCAUGGCUUCAGAAACCACAUGCAUCACUAAACGGGUUCUGGCUAACUUUUUAUUUAGCAUUUGAACCAGACGGGGGUGAUUCGAGGGCCAUGAGUCAUGGAUUUGAGUUGAGGGGUGCAAGGAGGAUGCAUGGUGUUGAUUUGGCGGGUUUUGGAAGCAGUUGUAUUUUGGCCAGGCUUUUCAAUUUAAUAUUUGAGAAGAUGUGGUGUGAUUCGAGGGAUAACUAUUUUAGAUCUGUGAUGAGGGUAGGGCGAGGAGCCUAGGGUUGAAAACUUGGGGUGCUUGAUGGCCGGUCUCCGCCGUGGACGAUGGAGAUGUCGAAUUUCGGAUAGAUAUUCGACGAGAUUGGGAAUUAUUUGAGGGUAACUGGUGGUGGGGUUGGAAAGGGGAGGGUGAGGAGAUGAUGUGGUGUAGUUUUGGGGUCCAUCGGUGCUACGCUACCGCCGGCGACAAUUUCUGGCCAGCGGCGGACGACGGAGGGAGGGUGGUGAUACCGUGGUGUUACACCAGAGGUCGAUUUGGUAUGAGGAGGAUGAUUUUGUCUUUGAGGGUUGUAAGUGUCAUUCAGACACUUUUAUUAAAAAUGUGAGGCUAGAUCUGAGCCGGUUGAUCAAAAGGAAUGGAUGACUGAGAUCAAAUGGACGUCAAACAACGUCGUUUUGAUGCCUUCUCUGGCUGGACCGGGUAUGGGGCUUGGGUUGGGUUAAAUUUAAUGGGUCUGGUGGUUUGGGCUCCAAAUUGUGGCCCAAAUCAUGGUCUUUAAUGAGAAGACGCAAUUUGUGCAUUUUUCUCCUUUUUAUACUUUUUAUUUGUUAUAUUUUCAGAUUUUAAUAAUAAAAAUAAACUAAAACAUGUUUAACUUCUACAAAAUAGACUAAAUAAACAUUUAAAAUAACCUAAAUUCUAAAUUUCAAAAGAAAAUUGAACGAAUGUAAAAAUAACCAAAUUUGUUAUUUUCAAUAUUAAUUAACUAAUAACCCAAAAGAAAGAGAAAAAAAGUAAAAAUUAAGUCUUAAAUGCAAACAUGCUAUUUUUGUAUUUUUUGUGAAUUAUAUUAAUUAAAAAUUCAUAAUACAAAAUCAUGUGAUUAAUUCCUAAAAAUUCAAAUAAUAAAAGAAAAUUCUUUAUUUUGAUGAAUUUUAUAGGAACAUUUUGAGCGAGGCAAAAAUCACGUGCUCACAAUAAGUAUUAUGGAAACUUGUGCCUAGCCUCAGAGCUCUCAGAAGUACUGAUACUGAGCUGAAACGACAGAAUAUCCUUCUACAAGAGCGACGAUAAUGGCUCAAACAACCCCGUAGAGAGAAACACCCUACAUCACAUUCGUAGUACCAUUACAAUUCUUUAAUUCUCGAUUUAUAACAAGCGUUUCUUUGAGUAGAAAGGACACAAGGGUAUAAGCCUAAAGGAAUCAAAUCGCACGAUGAGGAAUCAAGAAGGUAAGUACUCCUAACAGCCCUGUAGCCUCUUGAAAAUAAGUACAAACGUAUCCGUACUGAUCCGCGAGACUCUACUAGACUUUCUUUUGACUCGUGAGACUUAAGGGAACCUAGUGCUCUGAUACCAUGUUGUCACGAUCCAAAAUCCACAAAGGGUCGUGAUGGCGCUAGACACCGCUGUCAGGCAAGCCAACCAAAAUACAUAAUUAAAUUCUCGUUUUAAAUAUUUCCGAAAUUACUUCUUUUAUAUGUUUAAACAAUACAUAGUAAAUUCCACUGGAUAGAUAAUGAAAAAUUUAACAACGUUUAGAGUUUCUGAAUAAACCCAUAGACAUCGUAGAACUUGGUGUCACAAGUGCAUGAGCAAUUUCUAAGAAAUAAUUUAAUAAAACAACUGUCUGGAAUACAAAUUGGAUAGAGGAUAAAUACAACAAUAUGGAGGAGACUCUGCAGGCUGCGGGUCGUCCCGAGAAGUGCAACUCAUCUAAGUCUCCGCAUCAACUAUGCUGCUAUGCCACUAAGCCACUAGCCACAUAUAAACCUGUGCAAAAAAAAUGCACAGAAAGUGUAGUAUGAGUACGAAAACAAUGUGUACCCAAUGAGUAUCCCGUCUAAUCUCGAAGAAGUAGAGACGAGAGGUCGACUUCGACAUUUACUAAUGGUCCAAUAAUACAUUAUUAAUGCGAUGAAUCACUGAUUUAUUAUCGACAGUAAUUUUAAAUAAGUCAAGAAACAGGUAAAAGUUCCUUUUUAUUAAAGCCUCUGGAUUCGUAAUCCACUAAUUAACAAUUUUCUCAAGUCGGGGAGAAAAAAUAUCAAUAUCAAUAAAUCUCAAGGAAAGCAAUACAAGCAUGCGCAACUCUUGCCGAGGUCGUACUACCCGAACCAACAUAAAUGUAAAAUAUGCAUUGCCGAGGGUCGAAAGGCGCGAACCAUAGAUGCAUUUAUUACCCACUCGCGAACAAUACAUGCGAUGCGGUCAAAUUUAAAUAUACAAUUGCCCUGCUCGCGAACCUUACAUGCGAUGCAUGUACACAUAGAAGUACAUGCUCAAACAACAAAUUAAGAAUUUAUCGGGAAAUAUUUAUCUAAAUAAUAUUCAAUUUCUUUUAUUGAUUUAAGAAAAUGAAGUUUGAUCCUAUUAGAAAUUCAUUUACCAAUUCGAUAGAAUUUAAGAAAUUCAACUAUCAAUAAGAUCACAAAUAUUCCAAGUAUAGCAUGCUUUUGGAUCCUAGACUACCCGGACUUACACCUGUUAGCAGCUACGCACGGACACUCGUCACCUCAUGCAUACGUAGCCCCCUACAAAUAGGAGCACAUAAUUAAUUAUUUCACCUAUGGGGAUAAUUUUCUCUUACAAGGUUAGAAAGAAGACUCACGUCGUUCCGAAAAUCCAUGAACAACAUUCCAUGCCCUUUCGAAGACUCGAAUCAAUGCUAAAUGCUUCAAAGCUAGUCAAAAAUUAUGCAAGUACAUUUAUAUAUGCCCAAUUACUCAUUACAAUCCAAUUCAAAACAAUUCUUAACCUCGAUUAAAAGGUUGACAAAAUUUUCCUCGGGCCCAUGUGCCCAGAUUCCUAAAUUUUUCGAAGAUAAAGUUUACCCAUAGCCUCAUGAACUCAAAUAUAUAGUUGGCUAUGCAUUUCAUGUCCAAAAUCGUGGUCAAAAUCCAAGAGUACAAAUUUUCUAAGUUUUUCCCAAAAUUACAACUAAUUCACAUGAUUUUCCAUGUUAAAAUCUAGAUAUAAUCCAAGUAAUUAACUUGCAAUAGGUGGGAAUCACUUGUCUUGACAUGGAUGAUGAAAAUGAAGCACCAAAAUCGCUCCUAGUCGGAUCCCAUGGAGGAAAUGAGCCAAAACCAUUUCUUUGCACUUAUACAAUGCCCAUACGACUCUUCUUUGCGUUCGUGAGACCCCCAUCGCGUUCGCAAAGAAGAAAAUAUUCAAAAACCAUUUUCGAAACUCCUCAGCCUCUAGUAUAAUGUCCAUUUUUUUUGUACAAAAUUCCAAAUGACAAAUGGUUUAAUAUUUUGAAAAUAAGAUACCAAGAUCUACAACAUUUAUGUUUUUGUCAUGUCCUAAUUCCUUACAGAUUUUGAGAUAUAACCUGUCAAAUCCAGCUGUGUUCAACACAAUUUCUUCUUCAUAUUCCCGGAUAGCCUAUAAUGUACCAGCUAUAUCCUUUUUGUACACAAAUGGUUUACUUUUCUGAAAACUAGACACAAAGAGCUAUAACUUUCAUUUCUGGAUGAUCUCCAUAUUCUUUAUAGGUUGCAUGAUAUGAGCCUUCGAAGUUAGACCUGUGCAACAAAGAUUUCCUUCUUUACGAACGCGAGGAUAUCUUUGCGAACGCGAAGAAUAGAGUCCCUGAAAUAAACUCCUUCUUCGCGAACGCGAAGAACAACAGCAGCAUCAGCUGUUGCAAAAUAGUCUGAAAUGAUCCGAAACCACCCCGAAACACACCCCAGGCCAUCAGGGUCCCGUCCAAUCACAUAAACCAGUCCCAUAAUACAUCACAGACUUGCUCGAGACCUCAAAUCACAUAUCAAAAAAUGCUAAAACAACGGAUCACAUUCCAAUUCAAGCUUUAUGAACUUUGAAAUUUCAAACUUCUAUAUUCGAUACCGAAACCCGUCAAAUCAUGUGUGAUUAACCUCAAAUUUUACACACAAGUCAUAUUCGACAUUGCGGACCUACUCCAAAUUCCGAAAUUGGAAUCUGACCUCGAAAUCAAAAAGUUCACUUCCGGUCAAACUUCUCAAAAACCUUCAAAUUUCUAUCUUUAACCAAAUGACUACAAAAUAACCUACUAACCUCCGAAUUCUCUUCUAAUUGCGCUCCCAACUUCAUAAUCACCAUACGGAGCUACUCCUAGACUCGGAAUCCCAAACGGACAUUGAUAACACUGAAGUGCACUUUAACCCAAACUUAUGAAAUUUCUUCCAAAAUGCUAACUUCCAUAAUAGGUGCCAAAAGUCUCUCGGGUCAUCCAAAACCCGAUUCGGGUAUACGUCCAAGUCCGAAAUUAUCAUACGAAUGUACUGGAACCUUCAGAUCCCUGUUCCGAGGGCAUUUACUCAAAAAUCUAAUCUUAGUCAAUUCUUUUAACUUAAAGCUUCUGAAAUGAGAAUUCUCUUUCCAAAUCAACUCCGAACUUUUCCAAAUUGAAUUCCGACCAUGCGUACAAGUUAUAAUAUCUGAAGUAAAGUUGCUCAUGGCCACAAACUGCUGAACGACGUGCUAGAGCUCAAAACGACCGAUUGAGUCGUUACGUGUCUUCUUUUCUAUUGUCGGAUAAAUAUUAGUCUAUAGUAAAAAAAAUAUUUAAAAUGUGUAUUGCUUGACUUUAGCUAGUCAUACAUUAAUCAUUAAAAUAUUGUCAUGUAUGGUUGGGUUGUGUUACUUAUCCAUCACUACCAUAUAUUAUCUACAAUCGCACUUAAAACUUAUUCUUAAUAAUUUCUUUGAACUUUAUUAAUUAUUAAGUAGUAGCCAUGUGGUCGCUUCUUUGAAUUGUAUUUACUUUUAGAUGGAAAAUUGUAAUUGACGAUGUAAAUUAUAUAACGGUACCUUGUUUGACUAUUGUCGGAAAGAUAGGAUAAAAUUUAUCAUCAUCAGAAAAUGAUGAAAUAACCUUAUCUUGACGAUGAAAACAUCACAUUAGGAUAUGCAUUCUAAAUUAAAUAAUUUUUUUGGUCUAGUAGGAAAAUUUCUUAACCUGAUUUUUAAACUCGAAGCGUUGAAGCUCUGUUUAAUCUAAUGGGGGACAACGACCGUGAUAUUUCUUUUCUAUUAUAUAGGAAAAGUCUACUUUGUAUUCUAUUUGUGUAUUCUUUUUUAGUCUUAAAUAAUAGCAGAUGAAAUAGAAGGCUUUGAAGGAAGAUAAUGAAAUUAUGUAAUUGGAUCUUCUAAAAGCAAAGGAAUAAUCUGUUUUUCUAUUUUAUAGAAAUAAAAUGAUGGUCGGUCAAAACCAUAUAUGUCAUUUCAGAAUAAUUCCUACAUUGUUAUAUUUUUUAAAUAUAAAGUGUCAUUGAUACACGUGUAUCCCACAUUUUCCUGACUACAAUGCUAUUUUGCAUGUACUAUUAAUUAGACUACUUUUCCUUAGAGUACUAAAUGCAAAUACUCAUUUGGAACAUUCAUUUUCUCAUUUGGUAAAUUAACUAAAUUUAGUUUAGUCAACUAGAAGUUUCCACAGAGAAAGUUGAAUUAAUUUUUAUAUAAUAAAUAUCGGUACAUAUUUAAAAGAUUUUCGUAUUUAUCCAUAUUGUUUUGUCACGACUUCAACCCGGUCGUGAUGGUGCCCAACACACUGUUAGGCAAGCCCAACCAAUUCCAUAACCUUAACCAUUUUAUACCAUUCAGGAGUUAAUUAACACAGAUGAUUUACUAAAUCAGAAUACUAAAAGUCUGAAAUAAACUAAAACAUGCGGAAUCCCAAGUAAUAAAAAUAACUACACAACCCGAAGAAUCUGGUAUCACAAGUUUGAGCCUCUAAUAUCUGAGUAUCAAUCUACUACAUAUCGUUCUAAAAAAUGCGAAAAUAAAGCAAAUAAGAUAGAAGGAUGAUCAAGAUUGCGGACGUCAUGCAGCUACCUUGAUGUUCCCGGAUAAGCUGCUCGGUAGAGAAAGCUUCACUCAACCUUAGAUGUACCUGGAUCUGCACGCAAGGUGCAGGGAGUAAUGUGAGUACUCCGAUUCAGUGAGUAAUAAACACAAAUAAAGACUAAGAAUAAGAAAGCCUAAAUAGGCACAAGUAAUUCUAUAAAUACAACAACAUGAACCAGAUAGUAUUCAACCAGUAAACCAAUAACAACAGUUAUGGAAAUGCUACAGCAGAUAAGUAAGUAAAUGACAUGCAAAUAUGAUAUGCAACACAUAGUCCGGUACCCUCUAGUACCCGCUACAACGUGCAGCCCACUCCAUUUAUUUAUCGUCGACGACGCUCAUUAGGGGUGUACAGACUACGGGAGGAGCCCCUUACGGCCCAAGCGUAAUAUAAGCCAUCUCGUGGGAUUAACUAGGCCCUAGGGCUCAUAUGAAUAUCCACAUAAUACUGCUGCGGCGCACAAUCUUUCGGGCACAACAAUUUAUAGUUCUUCAGCCCAAACUUCAUUAGAAAUAUUAUUUAAGUUUCAAGUUUGAGAAAAGAUGGUUGAGUUUGAGAAAUAGUAUUAAAUACCAGGACUGAGUUCAAUAAUACAUAAAAACGGUAAGAAACCAGUAAUAACAAUCCCUGAAGGAUUCAAUCAAUUGGCACGAAGCCCAAUCAUAGCAAUCAUCUCAAAUUAUACUAAUAAUAAUAGCUAAAUUUUAGUUAAAUACACAGUAUUCAAUCUACCGGGACGGACACAGUUACAAUCCCCUAUGGUGCUCUACCCUAAUCUCGCUAUCUGGCGUACAAGUAACUUUAAUAUAGCACUACAAUGUGCAAAUUCGGAGUUUCAAAUUAUCAGGACAACAUUUACAUCUACUACUCACCUCAAGCCGGCAAAUGUCCUAGCUCGCUAUGCCUUUGCCUCUCAAAUCGACCUCCUCGCACGUCGAAUCUGAUCAAACCCACAACGAAUACGUCACAAUAUGCCAAUGUAACAAUAUCUAAUCGAAAAAUAGCAAAAGUCUCAAAAUUAGCAAAACCCGAGCCCCGGACCCACUUCUCCAAUUCCAAAAAGUUUUACAUCAACGGAUUCCUUAUCUCGCCACGAGUUUAUACAUACGAAAAUUAUCCAAUUCCGACACUGUUUGGUCCUUCAAAUCAUCAUUUUAUAUUUUUGAAAGGUUUCACAAAUUUCUUCCCAAAUUCCAUCCCGAAUCACGAAUUAAAUGAUGAAUCCAAUGAUCGAUUCAUAUACUCUAGCCAAAUAUGAGAUAGAAUCACUUACCCCGAUAAAUUUCUUGAAAAACCGUCGAAUAUUUGAGAAAAUUCGAGCUUUCUAGGGCAAAAUAUCAAAUAAAAUCCAAAACCUCAUAUUUGUAUAGCAACUCCUAAAUUUCCAUCUCUGUCGGCCGCAUAAAAUCGACCGUGGCCACGCAAAAACUAGCGCGGUCCACGCAAAAAUGACCGCGGUCGCACAUUGUUCUCUCCAAUGAUAGGCUUUGGUAUUUUUGCUAUAACUUUCACUACAGAUGUCCAAAUGCCUGUUACAAUAUAUUUCUGAAAACUAGAUUCAAAGAAUUACAGUUUUUCAAUUUUGAAUCAUCUCAAAAUUCCUUGUAGAUCAAAUGAUUUGAGCUUCCAAAAAAGGACUAGCGGGAAGGUUCUUCACCGCGGCCGCACACACUUUUGUGCGGUCCGCACGACACCUACUGCGGCCGCACACACUUUGGUGCGGUCUGCACAGCACUCACCGCGGGUGCACUUCUUUUUGUGCGGACCACGUGGGUGAGUUGCGAGGCCUGCAACCCAUUUGGACCUGCUAUAGCUAUGAUUUUUGCACUAAAACUUCCUGGAACCUACCUGGAACUCCCGGAACUUCAAAAUAAUUGUACCAAUACAUCCCAUGACAUCGUUCAAACUUGUUCAAAAAUUUGGAACGCUCACAGCCACAUCAAAUCAUCAAUUUAACAUAGGAUUCAGCCUAAGAACUCCAAGAACUCUUAAAUUAUGCUUUCGAUCAAAAGUUCGACCAAAUGACGUACGAAUAACCUGAAAUUUUUGCACACACAUCUCAAAUAACCUAACGAAGCUAUAGCAACUUUUGGAAUUCCAUUCCGACCCUCGGAUCAAAAUCUCACCUAUCAACCAGAAUUCGCUAAAAUACUAACUUCGCCAAUUCAAGCCUAAUUCUACACCGGACCUCCAAAAUCACUUCCGAUCACACUCCUAAGUCACAAAUCAUACCCCGAAGCUAGCCGAAUCAUUGGAAUUCACAUCCGAGCCUCCUAGCACAUAAGUCAAUGUCCGAUUGACUUUUCCAAAACAAGCCAUCAUUAAAGAGACUAAGUGUCACAUUUCCUUCUCAAUUCAAUCCAAAAUCAAAUCUUUCACACAAAACACUCAUAGUGAAGCAUAAAGAAGCAGAAAAUGGGGGAAAUGGCCUGGUAACUCACGAGACGACGGGUCGGGUCGUCACAUCCUUCCUAAUAUUAACAAACGCUCGUCCUCGAGCUUACCCGGAGUUGUUCUAGACACCAACCAAUAGAUGAAUAACUUUACCAUGAUAUACUCGAGGGUGAUCCCACAUCACCCUAUUUCAUAUAGGUCCCACAACACCUUUAACUGAAAUUACAAAGUCCAAUCUAGCUCAUAAUUCAUAGAACUACAUUUUCACUUCUGAAACCAUACACAAGAUCGUAACCCCACAUCUAUAUUCAAAAUAAGCCCGAACCAGCUAUAAUAACCCAUACCUUCAAAUCUCAGGUGCAAUUGUAUGAUAUACCACCUAACACCAACACUCAAAACGAUAACUUCUAUUUACAGCAGCUGCACAUAACACGCGAAUACGGGUAGACUUAUCAACUAAGGUCUUAUUCCAACACUUUGAUGUAUUGCUAAUGAUAAAUGAAACAUGCAAUAAACUGUAUCUAUCUCUCGAGUCAACCAUUCAUCAAGUCACUUCCCUUUUGGCUAAUACCAUAGCAAAUUUCCGAGCCGAACCUCGACAUUAUCCUUCCAACAAGCUGCAAUCAAAUCCGAACGUAUUCAUUAAUGACCCCAACGAUCACCUCGAAUCCAACACACCACUCUGGUGACGUGACAUAUCAAUACAGGCCUAAGCCACAAUUUGUAUAAUUCGCGCACCAAUAAGAAAUGGUCUGAAUAUACUCAAAUCAGGAAAAUGACCCAAACGAAACAGUUGUACCUCAAGCUCAUCAGUACCAUCACAAUAUAACGCUGAGACCUCAUCUCACAUCAUAGAAAUAGAACACAUGAAUCUACCCCGAAAGGUCAUAUCUCCACGUACCCUUGCUACAAUGCACGAUCCUAUCCAAACACUACUACACAUAGCACACAUCAAGUCACUAUGCUUAAAAUCGACAACCACGCACCAUGUGAUGUCUGGAACCAAAGCACAUUAUCAUACCCACGGUGAGACAAAUAGCAUAUGCCAUGCAACCCAAUAGGUCAUAAUUGAUACUCCAUUCAUCGAGCAACACCAAAAUACUUUUCUCGCUCGACUUCCACUAUGAAUCCCCAAUGGAACCGUAACCAUAUGUGCCCAUAACCAACAAAUCAUAAUGCCUCGCAACACAGAAAAACAACUCUUAGAUCUCCCCAGAUCACUAACAAAAUCAAUAACGAUCGAAUCGACCUAUCCCCAAACAAUGCAAAUCGGGGCCAACCAAGCCGACUCAAACUAGAACACACAUCCACACUGACAUGCUAUUGAACUCAUCAUAAAGGAAGCUUGAAGCUGCUCCUCACACUACUACAUCUCCUACCGGAGGUUAUGAUACGGUGCCCGGCACCAAAUCAAUACCGAAAUCCACAACCUUGCAUGGCGACAUGUCCGACCAUAAGAAAUGCAUCCGAAAAGUCCCUCAACACCAGAACUAAAUACAUGGUAGAAACCUCUGCCCUGACAUCCAUCACGAAGGACCAAUUAAGAAAAGCAAUCCUCCCUAGAUGUCCGCUAGUCUUUGAAAUACAACCCACUCUACCAUAACAUAAUUCGACACACCUCGCCACUACGUACAUAAUCAGAAGUCUCAUAUGAUGACACAAAGUGCUGAUAGGGUACCGAUUAAAAUGUUGUUCAAACAGAAGAUGAACUCUGGAAGAAACUGCCUAACUUACGCGCUAAUACGUGCUCUCUUUAGAAAAAUAGGAUGCAAGGCAUACAAAAAAGAGCAUAUAGAAAACUACGCUCAAUAUCACACUAUUGCGGUGCACAACCCGAUCCAAAUAACACACUCAUGGCGGCGUGCCACCCGAUUCACACGUAACACUCACAUAAAGAGAUGUACAUCGAGCUAAAUUGCUCAUUAAUAUAAAAUUUCGAAUUUCAGUCACAAGCAUGCUAAGUGCAUAUCACCGUCCCUGAGGGGACAUAUGGCACUAUAAGCUACCAAAACUCAAUCUCAACUGAGGUGCAAUAAAUAAUCUGAAUCUCGAGAGCCAUUUUGCUUAUAAACAUCAUUUCUACGCGGAUCCUCAAUACAUAAGCAUUUUCUCAAAUAGUCUCAGAACUCACACGUCACAGUGUAUCACUGCAUAAAUAACACCCUGACUCCUCCUCCAUAAGGAGCACAUCACUGAAAUGAACCCAUUUGUCUUGACAUAGAGCCCAUAUUCAUAUUUGAAUCCAUCCACCAACCUCAAGCCAAUUCUGAUCGCACUAAACUAGGUUAAUUACCUUUCAAAAGUCCCUAACAACUCAUCUUCUGCCCGUACCACAUAAGAACAUCCAUCAUAGUCGGAGAAAUAAUCCGUAGUCCACAACUCAAUAAACUGAGUGCCCUCGGGUAAUAUCUUCUCAAUUAAACGAUAUUAUCACAACCUUCAUACUUGGUUCAAGUUUUCAAUCAAUCAAGUGACUAAAUUCCAUACUUACACAAUCUUCCUGUGGGACACCCUCCCACAACCUACCAUUACGAAUAACUAGGUCGUACCUCCAAACCACUGACUGCACUAACGUCGGAAAACGCUCAAGAAUCACUAACUAGGGUGCAAAGGCGUUUCACAAAAUAUCAUCCUCAUGUGAUGCUGAAGACAAUACCGAUUUACCUUAAACGUCGAGACUUCUUUCCCGCUCAUCCAAGCUCGUGAGAUCCUGUCCAUACCGAGUUGUUACCUCUAUGUUCACUUCAAAUUCCAUAUCACUCAUUGCACCCAACAUGGAAACAUAUGUUAGAACACUCUCUUCAUCACAGCUUCGGAACCAUUAUUGGAUUAACACUUUAUUAUAUAAAACUUUCAACUUAACUCACUUUAGGAGAACCAUAGCAACACACAAGUGAAUUCUCAUAAUCGUAGAAUAUGCAAAUCUCUAAGUAGUAGUCCAACCCACCAUGACCCUCCCGGGAUCCGCCUACACGUAACAGGACCAUAACAAGGGAACACUCUUGAAUAACAUCUAUUACGACGGACGACAUGCCUCACCUGUACCGCCAAAAAUCACACGCGCAACUUGAUCAUACUAGCAGAAUUAAUCUCUACCACCAAUAUGCAAACAAAUAUAUGGCUAACAAAUCCAUCUCAUUCGACUAACCCUGAUUGACCUAGGAAUAAUAGUAAUUGCAUUCAACAUAUAACACAAUCCAUCUGCACUCAUCCCGAGUGACUUUGAAUCAUGAGACCAUGCUGUCUCACAUCCCACGAACAAUUUCGUACCUUCCAACUGCUACCUCGCAUGUCAAAAGAUCAUAGAGCAUUCUGCGAAUUUUGAACCAUUACCUGCACCUUCCUAAUAGUGCUACAUGGAAGCCCAUAAGUGAUAUAGAAAAAUUACACAUCUUGACCUCUCCCAAUGGAGAGUCAGUUCUAAUCAUAUAUACACAUGUAGAGUCUCGAACACAUUAGUACCAUUCUCAAGAGUCAUUUACUUUGUUUAACUGCAUUUAGCCUGAUCCAAUCAACAGAACCAGCCAGGCCUCGUUAGCACUCUCACAACGCAAGAUAUGACCUCGUCACAAUGCAAACAAAAUCUUCCUACUCCAUGCACCGAGCAUUCUUCACCAACAAUAGCUUAAGACAUCCUGUGAUUCUCAUGCAUCUACAAAGCACCAUAUCACCUUUGUAAAAAUUUUCCUUCACUCGAGCCGUCCUCGGCUCAAUUUCUACAACUAGAACUGAUUUGCCAUUAUAUCUUAAAUUGGAACCAACACAGCACAUAACCGUGCAAUCAUCUAAUAAAUAGCAACCUCCCCAACUUGGCUCGAAGCCCUAGAUCAAAACGCACAAUAACUCAUAACGCAUAUACUCUAGUGCUGCCUUAAUACCAUAGUGAGAUUAAACUCAAUCCUUCAUAAGCUUGUGGAAACACAAAUCAUCUAGAAUUUUUUUUUUUAACUUUUCUGCAAAUCUUGCAUUCACUCACAUAAUAGUUAAGCCCACUUUCUAGGUGAUCCAAUCUAGAUUUCAACACAUUUUCUUCACUUGUAAAUGAGAUCUCCUAACAUACAUAUAAGGAUCACACCAAUUUAGAACACUCCGCAGGCUGCGGGAGAUGACCCACUUAUUUUGCCUCAAUAUAACAUUCCUGUAUACCUUCCACCGUCAUACACAUUACACAGCCACUUAGUCUUCAUGAGUCUAAACUCAUACCGCAUCAUGAAAUUUACUCCACCCUUAACUGGAGAUAUGAAAAGAUUACUCACGUGCCCAUAACUCGGGGCUAUACCUUGAAUCACGAUGGAAAUGAAACAUUUAAUAGUUCUUCUAUCAUCCUACAGACCUUCAUCGUCACUUCCAAGUCACCUAAAUACAUCUCGCAGUGCUAACGUACUCAUCACAUGGCUACCCAGCCGACAUUUCCGCUAAUAGAGACAUUAUAGAAUGUAUAUGUUUGAAACACUUGCUCAUACAAUCAUCACCUCGGUGCUCAAGCCAUAGGCCAGAUACGGCCUCAAGUCCUCCAGACUGGCCCAACAUAAACUCACAGAGAUUACAUCUCGCCCCUUGAUCGCGGAAUCACAAGCCAUCAAGGCACUUCUGAUACUGAGCGCUCAUGCGCGCAUACAAACGCGUGGAAGGAAUUUCAAGAGUUUUAUUUCAAGUUGAAUCAAGGAUGCACGAUAAGAAUUCAAGAAUGUGAAGUUUUUCCUAAGGGUUCUGCAGCCUCCCGAGGAUAAGCACAGACGUCUCUGUACCAAUCCGCAAAACUCUACUAAAUCGGCUCAUCACUCGCUAGACCAAGUAACCUAGGCUAUGAUACCCAUUUGUCACGACCCCAACCCCAGUCGUGAUGAUGCCUAACACACUGCUAGGCAAGCCCGACCAAUUUAAUAACCUUAACCAUUUUAUACCAUUCACUAGUUAAUUAACACAGAUGAUUUACUAAAUCAUAAUACGGAAAGUCUGAAAUAAAACUAAAACAUGCGAAAUCCCAAGUAAUAAAAAAAAUUACACAACCCAAAGAAUCCAGUGUCGCAAGUAUGAGCCUUUAAUAGAUGAAUAUCAAUAUACUACAUGUUGUUCUAAAAAAAUGCGGAAAUAAAACAAAUAAGGUAGAAGGAAGAUCAAGAUUGCGGACAUCAUGCAGCUACCUUGACGUUCCCGAAUAGGCUGCUCGGUAGAGAAAGCUUCACUCAACCUCACAUGUACCUGGAUCUGCACGCAAUGUGCAGGGUGUAAUGUGAGUACUCCGAUCCAGUGAGUAAUAAACACAAAUAAAGGCUAAGAAUAAGAAAUUUUGAAUAGGCACAAGUAAUUCUAUAAAUACAGCAACCUAAACCAGAUAUUAUUCAACCAGUAAACCAGUAACAACAAUUAUGGAAAUGCUACAACAGAUAAGUAAGUAAAUGACAUGCAAAUAUGAAAUGCAACACAUAGUUCGGUACCCUCUAGUACCCGCUGCGGCGUGCAACUCGAUCCAUUCAAUUAUCGUUGAUGGUGCUCACUGGGGGUGUGAAUACUCCGGGAGGGGCCCCUUACGGCCCAAGUGCAACAUAAGCCAUCUCGUGGCAUCAACUAGGCCCUCGACCUCAUAUUAAUAUCCACAUAAUACAGACGUGGCGCGCAGCCCGAUCCUAUGCUCAGUCCAGAAUCACAUAAGCCCCUCGGGCACAACAAUAUAUAGUUCUUCAGCCCAAACUUCAUUAAAAAUAUUAUUUAAGUUUCAAGUUUGAGAAAAGAUGGUUGAGUUUUAAAAAUAGUAUUAAUUGCCAGGACUGAGUUCAAUAAUACGUAAAAAUGGCAAGAAACCAGUAAUAACAAUUCCUGAAGUAUUCAAUCAAUUGACACGAAGCCCAAUCAUAGCAAUCAACUCAAAUUAUACUAAUAAUAAUUAAAUUUUAGUUAAAUACACAGUAUUUCCAUCUACCGGAAUGGACCAAGUCACAAUCCCAAAUAGUGCUCUACCCCAUGUUCACUAUCUGGCAUGCAAGUCACCUCAACAUAGCAUUACGAUGUGCAAAUUCGGGGUUUCAAACCCUCAGGACAUUAUUUACAUCUACUACUCACCUCAAGCCGACAAAAAUCCAAGCUUGUUGUGCCUUUGCCUCUCAAAUCGACCUCCUCGCACGUCAAAUCUGAUCAAAACCACAACAAAUACGUCACAAUAUGCCAAUAGAACAAUAUCCAAUCGAAAACAAUCUAAAGAUAGCAAAAAACUCAAAACUAGCAAAACCCGAGCCCUGGACCCACUUCUUAAAUUCCAAAAAGUAUUUACAUCAACGGAUUUCUUAUCUCGCCACGAGUCUAUACGUACGAAAAUUAUCCAAUUCUAACACCAUUGGUCCUUCAAAUCAUCAUUUUAUAUUUUUUAUAAAUUCCACAAUUUUCUUCCCAAAUUGCAUCGCGAAUCACGAAUUAAAUGAUGAAUUCAAUAAUAGAUUCAUGUACUCUAGACAAAUCUGAGUUAGAAUCACUUACCCCGAUGAAUUUCUUGAAAAACCUUCAAAAAAUCACCAAGUAAGUAUUUACAGCGUUGAGCUCUUAUAUGUAUCUCCUGAACUAUCGUUUUCACUAUACUUUGUGCAUUGAUUUGUUUCUUCUGUAAGAUAAAGAAUUUUAUCACCAAGUAAGUAUUUACAGCAUACAAAAAUCAACUACAGAUCUCUUCUGCUGGACAUGAAGUCCCAACAUGAGAUUUCUUCUCUACUCCUUAAUCUCCUAUUACAAUCCUUACUUAGCUCAUACUGGAUACCAAUUCAUAUUAUCUAGAUAAAUAUCCAGUUUUUACAGCGUUGAGCUCUUAUAUGUAUCUCCUGAACUAUCGUUUUCACUAUACUUUGUGCAUUGAUUUGUUUCUUCUGUAAGAUAAUAUUGUUUCUGGCUUGCCAAAUAUGGUAGAAUACUGUAGCCAAAACCAUUCUAUUUAUCUCUGCUCCAGCACUCUUCCCUGAUGCCUUCUUCUCCGCCAAUUGAACGUCUUCCUUCCACUUCUUUUCCGAGCUCUCUAGGGAAAAAUAUCAAAUAAAACGCAAAACCUCAUAUUUAUAGAGUACCUCUCAGAUUUCCACCUCUGCGGGCUGCACAAAAUCGACCGCGACCACGCAAAAACUAGCGCGGUCCGCGCAAAACCUAGCGCGGUCCGCGCAAAAACUAGCGCGGUCCGCGCAAAAAUGACCGCGACCGCACAGUGUUCUCUGCAAUAACAGGCUUUGGUAUUUUGGUCAUAAAUUUCUCUACAAAUGUCCAAAUGCCUGUUAUAAUAUGUUUCUGGAAACCAGAUUUAAUGAACUAUAAUUUUUAUAUUUAAAUGAUCUCAAAAUUGAUUGUAAAUAAAAAAAUAUGAGCUUCCAAAGUAGGACCGGGGGAAGGUUCUUCACCGCGUCCACGCACACUUUUGUGCGGUCCGCAUGACACCUACCGAGGCCGCACACAUUUUGGUGCGGUCCGCAUAGCACUCACCGCGGGUGCAUUUCUUUUUGUGCGGAUCACGUGGGUGAAUUCCGAGGCCUGCAACCCUUCUGAACCUGCUACAUCUAUGAUUUUCGCACUAAAACCUCCCAGACCUACCUAGAAUUCCCAGAACUUCAAACUAAUUGUACCAACACAUUCCAUGACAUCGUUCAAACUUCAGAACACUCACAAACAUAUCAAAUUACAAAUUUAACAUUAGGAUUUGAGCCUAAGAACUAGAAGAACUCUUAAAUUAUGCUUUCGAUCAAAAGUCUGACCGAACGACCUCCGAAUAACCUGAAAUUUUUGGACACACAUCUCAAAUCACCUAACGAAGUUACAACAACUCUCGGAAUACCAUUCCGACCCUCUGAUCAAAAUUUCACCUAUCAACCGGAAUUCGCCAAAAUACUAACUUCGCCAAUUCAAGCCUAAUUCUACACCAGACCUCGAAAAUCACUUCCUAUCACUCUCCUAAGUCAUAAAUCAUACUUCUUAGCUAACCGAAUCAUCGGAAUUCACAUCCGAGCCUCCUAGACAUAAGUGAGUGUUCGGUUGACUUUUCCAAAACAAGCCUUCCUCAAAGAGACUACGUGUCACAUUUCCUUCUCAAUUCAAUCCAAAUCAACUCAUUCACACAAAACACUCAUACUGAAGCAUAAAGAAGCAGAAAAUGGGGAAAACAGGAUAGUAACUCAUGAGAGGACGGGUCGGGUCGUCAUAAUUUUAAAGCACGUUAAAAAUUAAAAUUAAAAGGUUCUAUCCACACUCUUUAAAGGCCAUUUCAAACUAAAAAAUCUCAUAUUCAAAAGUAAUUUUAAAAAGUAUAGUUUAUUAAACCUCAAAAGUUAAUUUAAGUGAUGAGAUUUGAUCAUGUUGUACCAGGAGACUAUCUCUUAUAUGCUUAAUUGAUGCGAAAAUUUAAUCUACAUCAUUUGAACUCAUCGUUUAAGUUUUCAACAAUCAAUAAAUUAUUUUAAAAUAUUAUUUAUUACAAUAUUUUAUAUUGUUUCAUUAUGACAAUUAAAAUAUGAUAAUUCUAUCUCUGUUUUUAUUAAUAAUAACGAACAUCAUAUAAUUUCGUGCUGUAAAAGGACAGACUGGUAAUGAAACCCACUCUAUUCUUCUUUAUUUACCCUCGACUUUAUUUUUCAAGGAGACUAACAUAUUCGGUUCUCUGUAAAAAAUAAUGAUAUAGAAAAAUAAAAUCAUUUCUCUUAUUUCCUUAAUUAAGAAAAAAAUUAAAAUCCUUAUGAUUUAUAUAGACUUCUAUCAAAUGUUUAUUAUUUUAUCACCAGUUAAUAUUAUUUUAAACGAGUUGUAAUAAAUAUAAUUUGGACUAUUAUAUUAAAUUACUACAAUUUAUAUCAUAUUAAUAUUUAUUUAGUACCUUUGGUUCUCUUUACUUAAUUGCCUCUUUAGGUAUACAAGUCUCCUUGGAAGUUCUCUUUAUUUAGUGUACUAAAAACUUCUCUUGGUUUUGUUAUAUACAAGACAUGAAGUAAAAUCAUAGUAAGUUUUUCUUUUUCAUUUUUUAUCGUAUUGUAAAGAAUGAUAUUGUUCAUUUUAACUUUCAUCAAGUAGCUGAUUGUUCCCAUUAUUGAAACUCCUAUGAAACCAAUUUGGACGUAUUCAAGAAUAGUUUACACGUCGAUUAGUGAGCUUUUUAUUGUAUAUAUAUUUUGUUAAUAUAAAUGACACUUAUUGGCUUUGAUGUCCUCUCUUGUAAAAUAUUCAAAUACAUUAGAAAAAACAUAUUAUUCAAAUUAAAUUUUCAAUUGAUGUUUAUGUUUGAUAUGGAUAUUAAAAAUAAGUAUUAUAGCACGUAGUUUUUUUUUUAUGUUAAUUAGAGCAACUUAAACAUAUUAAAAUUUAUAGUUUAAAUUUAUGUAAAUUAUUAAAAUAAACUAGUUGUAAAUUGAGAUCUCCUAUAUUAUUUUCUAUCCAUGAUUAAAUGAAUAUAACAAUGAUCGAUUUCCUUAUUAAAAUAUUAACUAAGCCCGGGCACAAAAUAAUUUUAAGAAUUUUCACAUUCCUAUGCCAUAUAGGAAGCUAUAUUACUCUCAAUAUUUAUGGUUUGAUUUAAUUACAUUUAUUAUACCUAAUUAUCAAUUCUAUAUGAUAAUGUAUUUUAACUGUACAAUUAAUGUAUCGCAUUAUCUCUCCUUAAUUAACGCUACCGUAUAUCCCUCCAAAUCCCCACCCCCACAUUUCUGUCUUCCAAACCCACAUCCUCACCCACGUAUUUCUCCACACCCAUGUUUCAAACCCAUUAUUCCCUCUGCUAAAACCGGAGAAACAUUUGUAACACCCUUCCAUGAACGUCCAAUUUCAAGCUUUUUUUUCCUGCAAUUAGUCAAAAUUGGAGUUAAAACUUCAAAGUUCAUACACACAUUUACCUUCAGCUUCAAAUUUUUUCAAUGAAGAAGAACAAACCUUCAAAGAGACAAGAGGGCAGCAAUUCCACCAUUAGCAACCAUUAAAAAGCUUUGAAACUUUGAAUUCAAAUUUGAAUAUUGUUUUGCAGACAAGAGAGCAACAAUUCCACAAUUGAUAGCCAUUAAAAAGCUUUAAUUCAAAUUUUCAAAAAUCAUUAUUCGUUUAGAUUUUGUGUUGUUGUAAAUAAUUAAAAAUAUGGUUUGGAGUAUUUUGAGGGGUUUUGGUGAAGAUUAGACUUGGUUUUGGCUAAAUUUCAGAUUGAAACUCGAAGAAGAAGAAGAGAAAAAAGAAGAAGACAAGACAUACAUUAUAUUGCAGCAAUUGUAGAUAAAUUGUAUAAAAUUUUGAUGAGAGCAUGUUAUUCCACCUUGUCUGUUUUGGAGCAAAAUUGUACAAACGAGAAGAUAUUUUUUAAGUUAUAUAUUGCUAUACCUUUAAAAUCAAGAAAGUAUGGUUGUAUUGUAUUUAAAGAGGCAUGGAUUUAUAGAAUAUGUUGAAUGUGAGGAAUGAGUCAAAUAAGGCUAACAAUGACUUAUUUUUUUACAUUUAAUCUGUAACAAAAUUACAUAUCAUUUAAAAAAUUAAUAUGAAAAUACAGAAUUUCAAUGUUUGUACAAAUUAUCUACACAAUAUUUUAGGAAGAUCUAUCCCUUCAUCAUAUUUUUUUGGAUUUCAUAUUUUGCAUAGCAGUUUCGUAAGGAGUGACAAGAGCAAAUAGGAGAAUCAUAGAAUAAUAAGAAUUUUUGACAUACUUGUAUUUUUUGUAGAAGAUUUGUAGAAGUAUUUGUCGUUUUUGAUUUGUGAAAAUAGAAAAUAAAGCAUCUACAAUCAGAAUACAAAUAAUCUAUAAUUUAUCGAUAAAAUAUCUACAAACUGGGUACAUUAAAUUUUAAUAUCCCAAUUCCCAUUCAAUUGUAGUAUAAUUGAGAUUUUCGACAUAAUUAUAUUUUUUGCAGAAGAUUUGUAGAAGUUUUAGUGGUUCAUGAUUUGUGAAAACGGAAAAUAAAGCAUCUACAAUCAGAUAUAAAUAAUCUAUAAUUUAUCUAUAAAAUAUCUACAAACUGGGUACAUUGAAUUUUAAUAUCCUAAUUCCCAUUCAAUUGUAGCAUAAUUGAGAUUUUUGAUAUAAUUGCAUUUUUUUCAGAAGAUUUGUAGAAGUUUUAGACACUUUUUAUUUGUGAAAAUAAAAAAUAAAGCAUCUACAAUUAGAAUACAAAAUAAUCUACAGUUUAUCUAUAAAAUAUCUAUAAAUUGGGUACAUAUUUGGACUCGACAUGCUUCCCCUAAAAUGUUUGUUUCACAUUUUUGGUACAUAUUUUUGUCCAAAACAGUACUAAAUCAUCCACUUAAAUACAAUUUUUAUACAAUAUUGUUCAACUUUCAUAUAAGAGGUAAACAAAUAAAAGAAAAAUAAAUAAACAACAGUCUAUGAUUUCUUUAUAAUUUAUCUACAAUUUCUACAAUAUACGUCUUCUUCUUCUUCUUCUUCUUCUUCUUCUUCUUCUUCGACGAGUCUAAUCUUCACAAAAAUCCUUAAAAUUAAGAUAUAAACUGCAAACUAUUUCAAUUAUUUUCAACAACACCCAAUCCAAAUAAAUAACAAAUUUUAAACACCUUUCGACGAGUCUAAUCUUCACAAAAAUCCUUCUUCUUCUUCUUCUUCUUCUUCUUCUUCUUCGACGAGUCUAAUCUUCACAAAAAUCCUUAAAAUUAAGAUAUAAACUGCAAACUAUUUCAAUUAUUUUCAACAACACCCAAUCCAAAUAAAUAACAAAUUUUAAACACCUAAAUUUGAAUUCAAAGCUUUCAAGCUUUCUAAUGGUUGUCAGUAGUGAGAUUGUUGCCCUUUUCUCCUUUGCUUUGUAUUACUAAAAUUUGGGAUUGAGAGAAACACAGAAAUGUAGAGAGAAUUCUGGAAGCAAAGUCUAAUAGAGUAUAAAAAUCUUGAUCUGCAUUGUGAAAGAUCAGAGUGAGGUCGAUGAUAAUUAUUGAAUAUGCGUGAUCUGCGUUGUGGAAAAUUUUGAAAAAUAUUAAAUUCUCCUAUUUUAGCGUGCCUAAAUAAGGAAUCCUACAACUAAAAUGAUUCCUUAUUUAGUGCACUGUCUAUAUGUUGUAGGAAUACUAUUAGCAUGAAGGGUAAUAUGUAAACUAUAAAUAUAUUUGGUAAUAUAAUUUAUUAUAUGAUAUAGGAACGAAAAUUUCUCGUAAUUUAAGACGACAAUAUUGGACCCGUACGUGGACCUUUCCUCAUCUAGUGUUAAAAGAUAAGAAUUAUUGGGUCAUUUGUUUUUUUUAAAAUAUAAUAUUUAAGACUUUUAAAUUAACGAUAUUUUACUUAUUAGAUUUUUUUACUGGAACUAUAUGAAAUAAUACCAACUUUAACAGUAAAAUUUUUCUCAUGACAAAGCAAUCCAAAUGAUAAAAUGAAUAUAUGUUAACAACAUCAUUCCUGAAUUAAGAAAAUAAUAUUCAAUCACUAACAUAUAUAUUACCAACUAAUAAAUUUUAUAAUUAACUGUAAUUAUUUUUUACAAGAAGAAGACAUUAUUGUAAUGAUGUAUAUAAAGACAUAUUAAGUCUACAUGAAUGUUGAUAGACUUUAUAAUUUUGAGAACUAUAUUAUAUUACAAUGCACUGCAUGUUGGAUAAAAUAAAUAUAAUAAUCUUAAUCUUUUACCUUAAUUUUUUUACAAUUGUUUUUUUAAAUAUAAAAAUAUUAUUUUUGUACUAUAUUUGAGUAUAAGUCAACAUAUUAUUCUUUGUCUGAGCAACUGAAGCAAAUGCGACUCGUGUAUUGAAGUUAUAAUUUUAGCAUUAGAGUACUUUUGUGUGACAUGGUUUUUUUAUUUAUUAAGUUGUCAAAAUAGAUUCAUCAUUUUCAAGAGUUUGUAGUUGUAAAAUCUAAAUUUAACAACUCAAUCAUAUAGUUUAAUAAUAUUUGUGUGGUUUUUAAAUUUUAUACUCAUUAUUAUAAAGUACACGCAUAUCAUACGUAUUCUAAAACUAGUUGAAUAUAAAAGAGGCAUCAACUUUCGAAUGGUCGUAUACUAAUAACAAAAAUUCGUUCCAUCAUAAUAAGUUCUUAUGAUCUUAGUAUGGGCUUUGACUCUACUCGGUACCGGGUAAAAAUAGUAUGAUUUAGCUACUUUUCAAAUUGAUCAUUCAAAAGUAGUUAAUGUUUGCAAAGUUAUUGAAAAAUAGCAACUAUUUUGCUGCAAUACGAGAGAUCGAUGCACCUUUAUAUAUACUGAAAUUUCAGUAUAUUAUACUGGAGUAUUUUUCCGAAUUUUGAACAAUAUUGUUGUUCAGAUUUAUCAUUGCAUAAAAAAUGGCUAAAUUUCGAUAACUUUUAAAAUUAUGGUUAUUUUUGAAUAACCACUUAUAAAUUUGACUAUUUUUGAAUUUAUCCCUAAUUAACAUUAUGAAGGUGGGCAAAUUAUACUGGAAGUCGGUCCAAAGAAAAAUAAAAGAAGAAUUAAUCUAAAUAACCGGUUAUUUUUUGAGGUCGACUCUUUAAAUUUUAACACUGUUACCUCAGUGACUAAAUUUCGUCUUGAAAAGUUGUUGGGUGAAAUAUUCUUUCUAAAAAUAAAUUUAACCCUUUGAGCUAAUGUCCUCACUAGCGGUAGGAAGAGUGAAGGUAGGACAUUAAUCCAAAAAAGGGCUGAUCAAUGUUUUUUAGGUUCAGUCGAGAAGAACUACAUUGUAAAGUGUGUGAUGUAAAUAAUCUAUCCUGAUGUAAGCGUUAAUAAAUGAGUUCGUGACUUGAAUCCGUAACUUAUAAAUCACGCGAAGACAAAUACAUAUCAAUGAAAGCACAAAAAAUUGACAUAACAUAAAAAUACAUAUGCGUUCAUUACUCUUUUGUGGUAGUAGAUGUUAAUGUAAAAUUGAUCAAUUAUAGUCUGUAUAUAGUCUGCAUGAAAGCACAUGGAUAAAAAAAAAGAUUUUAGCGUGAGAAUGGAAAUUACUUAAUUUGGAUUCCUGAGAGCUGAGCCAGAAAUAAAUUCAAGGAAAGAGAUGGUCUACCUAAAAGAUGAAUGUGGUCUGAUAGAGAUAUAUUAAUGGAUAGCCACUCUGUUUAGAAAUUUUCUCAUAUAUGGGAAAGAAAAAAAAGUUUUCUCCCAUUGAAAAUACUAACCCUUUAUUUGGUUUGUAAUUUUCUUUACCCAGAACUUUUUAAAUUCGUGAAUUCCAAUUUUUUGAACAUUGCGAAAGCAAUUUUCCCCAUGAAUACUAAUCAAUCGUGAUAAUUGUGAAAUUUGGAUAACAAAAGAAACUAUUUUUCUAGUUUUUUAAGAUACAAACUUGUUAAUACUUUAUUUAUUUGUUUAUUUAUUUAUUUAUUUAUUUAUUUAUUGAUUUCUUCUAAUAAUUCUUUUCUAUUGAUAAUAUAGCUAACUUAUUUAAUCUUUCUUGAUCUUAGGUAAAAUUUUAUAAGUUUUAAUUUUAAAAAACUUUUUUCCGCCAUGACAACUGUUACAAGAAAUAUUAUAGGCAUUUAAAUCAAUUCUUUUAUUUGGUUGAAUAUGUUGAUUCGAGUAUUGUUUUUUUAUUUGUAUUAUUUUUCUAAACACUUUAAUUUAGAAACUAAGACCAUCAAUAUCAUAGUGUUAUAUUUUAAGAAACAUUCAAGGUUAGGACGGUUUUUUUUAAAAAAAAAUUCUCGUCAUCUAAUGAGCUCAUAUUUUUACAGUUGAAACUUUUAAAUUGUUAAAAUUUUAAACUCUUGAAGAAAGAAAGUAAGCAAAAAAAGUUAAAAAAAGUAUGUAAUCUUAAGAAAAGAAGAUUAUGACUGGGACAGAAUAAGAAAGAGAGUAUAAAAAUUUAUAACUAUUCAUACAUUCCAUAAUAAUCAUUCUGAUAUUGAUAAUUUAUUCACAAAUAUAAUAAAAUUAUCAUUUUCUGUAUGAAAAAAAUUACUUUCUGUUAAAAGUAUUCAAUAUAUUUUUUUAAAGAAAAACUAUAAAUUUAUUAUUGUUAAAAAUUGGAGCCCUCAAAUUUGAGGGCAUAAAGCAAUUAAGUGCUUUAUUUGCUUCACCAUGAAGUCGACACUGCUAUUAAUUCUACAUCUUUUUUAUCGGUAUUGGCACCAGAUAACCCUAUUUAGCAGCGUUGCAUUAGAUGAGAAUAGAUUAUUUAACUUCUUUUAUAUGUUUUAGAAUUUGAAUCCUUGUCGCUCACCAUCUUCGUUCUAUCUCCAUAUUCAUCUAAUUACUAGAAUUGUCAAAUGUUUCUUAAUCAUGAGACUAAACAUAAGUUUACAUGAUCAUCAAUCUUGAUAUAUUACCAUUUAGAGUGAAGUUUUAACUCAUGUAGUUCAAUGAUUUAUAUAAUCCGAUUAAUCAAUUAAAUGUUGAUUAGUAUUUCUGGACCACAAAGUUUGAGUAAAUGCUAGAAAGUACAAUAAUUUAGUUUCUACACCAAACGAAAAUGCUAAUUUAGUUUAUUGGAUAUAUAUAGCUUCAAUAAUUCACCCCCUUGUUUUGCCUUAUUUAGCUAAGAAGUGCAACAACCAUUAACAAUGAAAAAUAUCAUUUUUGGUAGUGAAAAAUAGUAUCAAAGUCUUGGCUUGCACGCCCUUCAAAAAGCUAAAUAAUAUCAAUAAGGGAACAUAUCAAUUCAAAGAAUUUUUGUUUUUCAGAAAGGAUUUACAAAUAUGAACACAUCAAUUCCCUUUUUUGCAAAAUCCAAAUUUGACAGAGACUAUCAUGACAAACAAAUCAGCCAGUAAAAAGGUCAACAUGAUUUUCAAGUGGUCCAAAGUGAAUGCCAUAACAAAGAAAAUUAUGGGGUAAAUUUCAGUACAUAACUAGUAUAUUUUUUUCCACCAAAACCAUGUAACUUUAUUUUGUAAUAAAAUUACAAAACUUAAGUACACCAUAAUAAUAUGAAAAUCACAAAAGCUCGAAACGUAACGCACCGAAUUAUUUUUUACUGGUUUAAAUUUUCACAUUAGCAUAUCCCACUUAGCACGGGCUAGUCAGUUUCUGACCGGAAAUUAAAAAAUAGGCAAGCAUUUGCAAAGUCAUUGAAAAAUAAUUACUAUUUUGUUACAACAUGGAAAGUUCCAACAUAAUAUAAUGGAGAUUGGUGCAAAUGUUUAUAAACUUCCAGCACAUUAUGCUGGAACUCUAGCACACGGAAAAUUCAAGCAUAAUGUACUGGAGAUUGUUGCACAUGUAUAUGAACUUCCAGCAAAUUAUGCUAGAACUCCAGCACACGAAAAGUUCCAGCAUAAUGUACUGGAGAUUGGAGCAUUCGUGUAUGAACAUACAACAUAUUAUGCUGGAACUACAGUAUAUUAUGCUGGAAGUUCGCAUGUAAAAAUUUCGAACUCCAGUAUAUUAUGUUGGAAUAUUUUCCUAAUUUUGAACAAUACUUUCGUUCAGAUUUAUCUUUACAUGAAAAUUGGCUAAAUUUCGAUUAUCUUUGAAUCUGUUGCUAUUUUCAAUUACCACUAGUAAAUCUGGCUAUUAUUGAAUUUCACCAUCUUUUUAACUAAUAAAUACCCGAGACAAUUAGAAAGAAGACCCAUUUUAAUUCGAUUGCGCGACGAGGAAAAAUUUAACAUAGACUAUUGUAAAGGCCCGAUCGGUCAUUUUGAGCUCUUAUCAUUCAGCAGUUUGAGUCCUUGAGUAGCUUCACUUCAGGUAUCAUGAUUUGUACGUGUGGUCGGAAUUGAAUUUCGGAAAGUUCGGAGUUGAUUUGGAAGAAAAUUCUAAUUUCAAAAGCUUUAAGUUGGAGGAAUUUACUAAGGUUUGACUUUGAGUAAACGACUUCGAAAUCGGGAUUUGAAGGUUCCAAUAGGAUUUUAUGAUGAUUUUGGACUCGGGCGUAUGUCCGUAUUGAGUUUUGGAUGACCCGGGAAUAUUUCUGCGCCUAUUGUUGAGAUUUGGCAUUUCGGAAGGAUUUCAUGAAUUUGUGCUGAAGUGUAUUUUAAUGUUAUCGAUGUCCGUUUGGAAUUCUGAGCCUGCGAAUAGCUCCGUAUGGUGACUUUGGUUUUAGGAGCGUGUCCGGAUGUAAAUUUGAAGUUCCUUAGAUAAUUUUGGGGUCAUUUGGCGAAAGUUGAAAAUUGGAGGUUUUUGGAAGUUUGAUUAGAGUGGACUUUCUGAUAUCGAGGUCGGAUUUUGUCCAAAAGUUGGGGUAGGUCCAUAAGAUCAAAGUGACUUGUGCGAAAAAUCUGAGGUCAAUUAGACGUGAUUUGAUAGGUUUCGGCAUCGAAUGUAGAAGUUUGAAGUUCUAAUGUACAUUAAGCUUGAAUUGUGGUGCGAUUCAUGAUUUUUGACAUUUUUUGAUGUGAUUUGAGACCUCGAGCAAGUUUGUAUUAUGUUAUGGGAUUGGUUUGGUAUGAUUGGUCGGGGUCCCGAGGCCUCGGGUGGAGUCCGGAUGGUCAACAGAUCGAAUUUGUAUUUGGAGGAAGAACUGAAGAUUUUGGGAAUCUGGUGCGAUCGCACCUGCCUAAAGAGGGCCGCAAGUGCACACUCGCAGAAGCAGCCCAGAGGUUGCAGAAGUGGAAAGGGAGUCAAGGACUGGCAGUCCGCAUGUGCGGAAGAUUUGCCGUAGAAGCGGAUGCUCACCUGCGGGUGAUUAAGCAUAGAAGCGGGCUGCACAGGUGGGGGCAUCUCUGCAGAAGCGGAAUUUUGGACGCCCCUGCGAAACCUCAUUUGCGGUGCAGUGACCGCACAUGCGAAGUAUGACUGGGUAGUGUGGUCUUUUAUAGCAGAGUUUUGGCUCAAUUCCACUUCAUUUCAUCAAUGGGAGCAGGUUUUGGAGCAUGUUUGGAGUGCCAUCUUCAUCCUCUCUCUCUCUCUAUAUAUAUAUGCAUCUAUGGUUCGUGUUGUUUAACCCUUGACAGUGCACAGAUUAUGAUGGGAUCGGGUUGUACGCCUUGGCAUUUCUAUAAAAUAUCCUUAUGGAAUCGAGCGUAAUAUUGGGCGAGAAGCCAGUGUAGCGGUGUGACUUUUUUCAUGAUUUGAAUUACAGUGACCUAUUUGGUGAGGUCCUUUAUAUAUAUAUAUAUAUGAGGAGGAAUUUGCUAAUUGAGAGCUUGACUUCAUUGUAACGAGGAUACUUAUACCACGUAGUUAUUCUGGGUAAUUAAAGAAUUUUAUCACCAAGUAAGUAUUUACAGCAUACAAAAAUCAACUAAAGAUCUCUUCUGCUGGACAUGAAGUCCCAACAUGAGAUUUCUUCUCUACUCCUUAAACUCCUAUUACAAUCCUUACUUAGCUCAUACUGGAUACCAAUUCAUAUUAUCUAGAUAAAUAUCCAGUUUUUACAGCGUUGAGCUCUUAUAUGUAUCUCCUGAACUAUCGUUUUCACUAUACUUUGUGCAUUGAUUUGUUUCUUCUGUAAGAUAAUAUUGUUUCUGGCUUGCCAAAUAUGGUAGAAUACUGUAGCCAAAACCAUUCUAUUUAUCUCUGCUCCAGCACUCUUCCCUGAUGCCUUCUUCUCCGCCAAUUGAACGUCUUCCUUCCACUUCUUUUCCGAGCUCUCUAGGGAAAAAUAUCAAAUAAAACGCAAAACCUCAUAUUUAUAGAGUACCUCUCAGAUUUCCACCUCUGCGGGCUGCACAAAAUCGACCGCGACCACGCAAAAACUAGCGCGGUCCGCGCAAAACCUAGCGCGGUCCGCGCAAAAACUAGCGCGGUCCGCGCAAAAAUGACCGCGACCGCACAGUGUUCUCUGCAAUAACAGGCUUUGGUAUUUUGGUCAUAAAUUUCUCUACAAAUGUCCAAAUGCCUGUUAUAAUAUGUUUCUGGAAACCAGAUUUAAUGAACUAUAAUUUUUAUAUUUAAAUGAUCUCAAAAUUGAUUGUAAAUAAAAAAAUAUGAGCUUCCAAAGUAGGACCGGGGGAAGGUUCUUCACCGCGUCCACGCACACUUUUGUGCGGUCCGCAUGACACCUACCGAGGCCGCACACAUUUUGGUGCGGUCCGCAUAGCACUCACCGCGGGUGCAUUUCUUUUUGUGCGGAUCACGUGGGUGAAUUCCGAGGCCUGCAACCCUUCUGAACCUGCUACAUCUAUGAUUUUCGCACUAAAACCUCCCAGACCUACCUAGAAUUCCCAGAACUUCAAACUAAUUGUACCAACACAUUCCAUGACAUUUUUUCCUUCUCAUGACCCCUUGCCACUAUAGUAACUUUUGUCAUAUCUCAUUUGAGUAAUCACAGUCAAAAAAUAAAUGUUGCACUAUUUUAUUGUUCCUGCGGCACAUUGUACAUAAUGUUUCAUCUACUGAGCCCCAUAUUGCUAGUCUUUCUUUAGUAGCUAGCCUAUCUUGUAUAGCUAGUCUUAAGAUAAAGAUCCACUUAGACAUUCCCUUGUUGUUGCAUACUAAGCAUCUCUAUGUCACCUUUUGUAAUUCACCUUGUAGAGCUUUGUACAUCUUUAUGGUGGAAAACCCAUCACUGUUCCUCACCUCAUCCUCUAAGUAUCCAGCCUCUAGGAAUUUUGCCUUAGCCUUGAAUAUUUUCUGGAUUAGAAGCAUUCUUUGGCUCAGUAUCCCAUAUAUUGUUAUUUUUUAUAUACUAUGUAUGAAUCCGCUGCACCCACAGCUUCUCUUUCUUCUUGCAAAUAUUCCAAAGCAGCUUACAAAUAGUAACUUUAUUCCAUAGUUCUAUGUUUGUGAAAUUUAAUCCUCCUGCUAUCUUAGAUGCACAUAAUUUGUCCCAAGCUAUCAAAGAUUUCUUUGUAGGUUUAGCACUGCCCUACAAUAAAAACCUUCUGCAAAUUGCCUCAAUGAAUUGUAUACUUUGUUCAUUGAUUUAUUUCUUCUAAAAGAUAAUAUUGUUUCUGGCUUGCCAAAUGUGGUAGACUGCUGCAGCCAAAACCAUUUUAUAUAUCUCUGCUCCUGCACUCUUCCAUGACGCCUUUUUCUCUGCUUAUUGAACUUCUUCCUUCCACUGUUUUUUCUUUCUCAUGACCCUUUGGCAGUACAGUAACUUUUGCCAUAUCUCAUUUGAGUAAUCACAGUCAAAAAACAAGUGCUGCACGAUUUCAUUGUUCCUAUAGCACAAUGUACACACAGUUUCAUCUACUGAGCCCCAUCUUGCUAGUCUUUCUUUAGUAGCUAGCAUGUCUUAUAUAGCUAGUCUUAAGAUAAAGACCCACUUUGGCAUUCCCUUGUUGUUGCAUAUUAAGCAUCUUCAUGUCACUUUUUGAAAUUUCUGUUGUAGAGCUUUGGACAUCUUUUUGGUGGAAAAGCUUUCACUGUUCCUCACCUCAUCCUCUAAGUAUCCAGCCUCUUGGAAUUGUGUCUUGGCCUUGAAUAUUUUCUAGAUUACCCAAGAAGCAUUCUUUGGCUCAAUAUCCCAUAUAUUGUUAUUUUUAUAUAGUAUGUAUGAAUUCGCUGCACCCACAACUUCUCUUUCUUUUUGCAAGCAUUUCAAAGCAACUUACAAAUAGCAACUUUAUUCUAUAGUUCUAUAAUUGUGAAAUUUAAUCCUCCUGCUAUCUUAGGUGCACAUAAUUUGUCCCAAGCUAUCAAAGCUUUCUUUGUAGGUUCAGCAUUGCUCGGCCAUAAAAACCUUCUGCAGAUUACUUCAAUGAAUUGUAUACUUUGUGCAUUGAUUUGUUUCUUAUGGAAGAUAAUAUUGUUUCUGGCUUGCCAAAUAUGAAUACUUGAGCCCAGAAGUUCCGAAUUGUUCCCAGCAUACUUUUGAUCAAUGUUGCUCUUUCUGCAUAAGAUAGAAACUUGGUUGUCGAUCAUUGAAUUCUAUUAAGCAUUUUAUCAAUCAAAGGCUCACAUUGAAUUACUGAAAGUCUUUUUGUACUCAAGGGAACACCAAGGUAUCUAAAUGGUAUAUCACCUUUAGUGAAUCCUAGUACUUCCAUUAUCUUCAGUUGUGUCCUGCUAUCAACACCUCAAAAUUAUACACUGCUUUUGCUAGUGUUUUCCACUAGUCCAGAAGCUGUAGAAAAUAUUUGGAAUUAUUUAUGCAAUACCACGACAGACUGCACAUCUCCCUUAUAAAAUAAUAGCAGGUCAUCAGCAAAUCCCAACUGUAUUAGUCUCACUUUAACACACCUUGGAUGAAAUCUGAAUUCUUUGUUGUUUCCUAAUUGCUUCAUUAGUCUACAUAGGUACUCCAUAGCAAUUACCAAUAGGAAUGGUGAAAGGGGAUCUCCCUGUCUUAAUCCUCUUUUUGUUUCAAAUGGUUUGAUUGACUUCCCAUUGACAAUCACUGAAUAUGAGACAGUAUUGAUAUAGACCAUUACUCAUCCUACAAAUUUUUCUGGAAGUCCCAAUAGCCUCAUAACCUGUCCAACAAAUACCCAUUCCACAGAAUCAUAAGCCUUUUGCAUAUCAAUCUUCAACAUACACCUAGGUGAUUCUUCCUCCUAUAGCCUUUGACUAGUUCAUGGCUCAUUAUAAUAUUAUUUGUGAUAAAUCUUCCUAGCACAAAAGCUAUUUGACAAUUGUCAAUCAAAGCUAGCAUGAAUUCCUGCAGUAUAGAAUUUAGUAUCUUGGAGAUAAUCUUAUAUAACACAGUACAACAUGAAAUAGGUUUGAAUUCUUUGAUAUUACUGGGGUUCUUUACUUUUAGGGUAAUUAUUGUACAGUUGAUUGGUUUGCACAUUACAGACUCCUCAAAAUACUCCAUCACAGCUUGAGUCACCUCUUUCCCUAUAAUAUGCCAUGCUUUCUUAAAGAAGAAUGCAUUAUAUGCAUCACAUCCUGGUACCUUAUUAUAAUCAAUACCCUGCAACGUUUGCUUGAUUUCAUCUUCAAUUACUGCUCGUAUUAACUUUAUUUCUUGUUGUCUCCUUAGGUUGUAGCCUUGCUGCAUCACUUCUGUAUUAACUGCUGGUAUUUUUGCUGUUGCUACUCUAAGUAGUUGCUUGUAAAACUUCAGUAUUUCUACUUCCACAUCAUUAGCAUUCAAAAGAAGUUGCCCUGCACUAUCUGUCAAUCUUCUAAUAUAGUUAGUUGCUUGUCUAUUCUUAACACAUGCAUGAAAAUAUGCUGUAUUUGAAUCUCCUAGGUUUAGCCAUUUGAUCCUUGAUUUUUGCUUCAUUAUACUUUUCUCAAUUUCAAGCCAUUUUCCAACUCCAUCUUUACCUCUUUUUCUUGAUCUAUACUUUCACUACUAUUUCCAGGUCCAACCAUUUGUUCCUGGAUCCCUUCCAACAUUUCUCUUGCUACUAUAAUUCUUUGUUCAAUACUGUUAAAAUCUUCGCUAUUCAUUUGCUUCAGCGUGGUCUUUAGUAUCUUGAGUUUUAUCCACACCUUGUUCAUUGUUGUUGCACCACCCCUAUUUGUCCAGCAUUUGUAUACAAUAUCCUCAAAAUCUUUGUGUUGAGUAAGGCAAUUGAAAAACUUGAAAGGUCUCUUCCAUUUUGUUGGUUAGUAUCAAGUGAUAUGCUCAAGGGGCAUUGAUCAGAGAAACCAGGUUGCAACACCCUCCCUUCCAUUAUAGGGCAUUUCUGAAUCCAUGUAGCAUUGACAAGUAUUCUGUCUAUCUUGCUAUGAACAUGAUUGUUUGUCCAAGUGUAUUUCCUUCCAACUAUUCUCAAUUCAGUUAGUCCAACCUCCCAAUUGAACUCUUUGAAAUCUUUCACUUGAAAUUCCUGUAUUGGGGUUCCUUGUAUCCUGUUUUCACCAGAUAAAAUAUUAUUAAAGUCCCACAUUAACACCCAAGGUCCAUUAAUACAAGCUAUGUUUUUUCCUAUAUCAUCCCAUAAUGAUUUUCUAUCUUGGAUAGUAUGCAUUCCAUAAAUGGCUCCAAAGUUAAAUUUCUUGCCACUCUGAAAUUCCGUUACCUGCCCUAUUAUGUAUUACAUGUGUGUAUCAUACCUUUCAAACUCUAUUUUUUUCUGGUCCCAAACAACCAUAUUCUUCCAUCUAGAGUUGCCGUAUAGUUUGCUAUCAAUCUCCGGCUACUAAACACUUUCUUUAAUAUAGCUUCUGCCUUUUCUUCCUUAACUCUAUUCUCUAACACAUCUAUUAACACCACCUUAUUUUCUCUAAUAAAUUUUUUUAUAUCUUUUUCCUUGUACCCCUUAUUCAAUCCUCUAACAUCCCAAGAGAUGAUGUUCAUUAUUUUAUGGAUGUUUAAUUUAUAGUACCACCUCUACCUCUAUAUCUAGGCAGCUCUCUACCUUGGUCUUGUUUUUAUAUCAUGUGGAUUUUGGACUAUCUUUUGUGCAGUAUCAACCAAAGCUUUGAAAGCGUUACCUAUAUUAACUCCAUUCUCAUUUCUCCCAUCUACAUUCUUCUUUGAUGCAGACUUCCCUCUUGCCAGUUGCCAUUGCUCUUCAUUUGGGUUGUUAUUUUGGGCCUCUUCUUCAUCCUUCUCCACUUGCUCAAACAAUCUUCCACUUGUGUCUAUUUUAUCAAUAUUUGGAUCAAGUUUCCUCAUAUCUUUCCAUACCUAUUCCUGAUUUUGUGUUCUAUAGUUUUGUUUUCCCCUCUCUUGUUUCUGGAUUUGCUGGUUAUGACAUGAGUGGCCAAUUUGACAACAUGUUUGGCAAUAUUGAGGCUUCCAUUUGUGUUACACCAGCUGCUAAAUCACCUUACAUGUAGGCUCAAUCAGUUUAAUUGUUCCUGGUAAAUCCCUUGUUAUGUCUAUUUCAACUAGAAUUCGAGCAUAUGAGGUCCUAUUAGUCACAUUUGUGCAUGCAUCAGCAUGAAGAGGUUUCCCCAGAAAACUCCUAAUUUUGCUCAAGGCUAGGUUACUCCAAUACCUCAAUGGGAGUUUAACCUAUAGAGUAAUAGUUUUCAGCAUCUCUUCACUAAAAUCAAAUCACUUACUCUAUGGAUUUAAUAUUAUUGGUCUACUACUCAUAGUAUAAGGACCAUUCAUCAAUAUCUCAUAUCUUUCUUCUAAGUUAUGCAUCAAAAUUAUAAAGUACCCAUCAUUGUGAAAUAGUGCCUUUGGCUUCCCGAUCUUUCCCCAUUGACCAGCAACAAAUCGCUCAAUAGCUCAUAUAGUUGGAGUAUUUCCAACUACAUACAUAAUUAUUGCUGGAUUCCAUUUUUGCUUCUUCUCAACUAUAUCUUCUUCCAGAAUUUUUAAUAUAACUUCACCCUCUUGUAUCACCGGUGGUAUAUAUGUUAGAUCCUUCCCUUUUGCAGCAAGUUUGUUUUCAUGAAGUAGUCCUACCAAUGACCUUCUAGUAUUGUUUGUUUUCAUCUAUUUAUGCUUCUCUUCCUCAGCUCGUACAGGUACUAUUCCAUUGCUCUGUUCCAUUAAAAGGCUAGUAAUUACUAUUAUAUUGGACUUUUCUUUGCUCAUUCUUGCUCCGCCACUAACGAUCGGCGAUGUGUGCAAUUUAGGUACCGCUUGACUGACUGGGCUUACUAGGCCGGCUGAUGCUAGUCGAUUGCAGCUUAGAUCUGGCCAAUUCAACUCAUUGUCACUGUCUAGAUCUUCCUCGUCCUCCUAUAUUUUUCCCUUUGCAUGUUUUUUUCCUCGAUCCCUUGUAAUACUACUUUGAUUCCGCGUUCAAUGACUAGUGUUUUGCUUUGGUUCUUCCUAGGCCUCCCUCUUCCUCCCAUUUUCGGCGAGUGGCAUAGGUUAUCAAUCUAACGUGCGCCUAAGAGAGAGAGAGAGAGUACCACGAUUUAUACUUAUUCAUUUUGUUUGUUUACUGUGCCUCAUAUUUAUUUACCUCUUUACUGUACCUGAUAUUAUUGGAUCACUAGUAAGUGUAUAUGUCGAUCCCUCGUCACUACUCCUUAGAGAUUAGGCUAGAUACUUACUGGGUACAUGUUGAUUUGCGUACUUAUACUAUACUUGCUGCAUAUUUUAUUCAGGUCCAUUUAUUUCUGGUGGUCCUUUGGGCAUGGAGGCGUGGAUGAUGCGGCGACUUAUCGCCAGCUAUAUUUCAUCUUAUGAUCCGCAGCCAGCAGAGUCGCCUUAUUUAUAUUCUCCUAUCUAAUUUGUAUUCCGUACAUAUGGUGUAUUUUGUUUUUACUUCCUAGUUAAUGCUUAUGUACUUGUGACAGCGGGUUUUAGGAGUGCUUACAGGCUCUUAGUUGCCCUGUAAAUUUCAUUUCUUACUAUUUAAUUAAUGAAAAUUAUGAUUUCUACCUCUAAACAUCCAAUAAUUUUCUCUCCGUACAAGGAGACUGCCUGCUACACUAACACGACAGUGGUGAUAUGGCCACUGUUUUGUCGUCCAUCGGUAAGAUGAGUGCCUUAUAAAUGUGCACCCACCCUAACAAACCCCAUUCCAAAACAAUAUCCAGUCGCAACAGAUCUUAAAAAUGGAGCUGCAAUCACUGUUCAUCAGAAUCUCCUGGAGCUUCUGAAAUUUCCCAAGUGAUUUCUAAGUCAAAUUUGAAAAUUUCAAGCACGGAGAUUGUUCUCCAUCAUCAGGUGCACUUCUCCACCAAAUUUCUGGCAAUUCCACUUUGGGAAUCGUCUUCUCCGAUGAGCUAUAAAGCGGUUGUAAAACAAAACUGGCCAGAAAUGGAGUUACAGACGUCCAAAUGGAAAAAACUUGAUACUAAUCUCUUCGCCUUGACGAGGAGAACAUCAUCAAUUGUACAUGAGUAUCAACCAAUUGCAUCGAUUUUGCAAUCGAAGACCAGUGAUAGUCGAAGCUCACCUGGCAUUCGAUAAAAUGCAAAUUCCACUUAUGGGUUAAAUUGUUCUCAACCACGAAAUGUAAAUACUUCUACGACACUAAAGGAAUAGGUAUGAAAAGUUUCAAGUCAAUCUAACAUGGCACUUGAUCGCCAUGAUCAAUUGAAAAGCGUAGAACUGCUCUAGUUGGUCAGUCGUGGUGUUCCAGUAUACCAAUGGCACAAAACCAAUGGCAAACGAUUCCUGAUGUUCAGGAGAUUAUUUCGUAUCCCUCAAACCUGAUUUCCAUUGAGCCAAUCUCCACAACAUUACAAAAAGGUAUUUCUUCGGACUUUAGUUUAUUAGGUGUUCGACGAAAUGCCAUAGCCACUUCUUCCACUCAAUUAAAUGAUCCAAGCAUUGCUCAGGUGUCAUGAUCCUCAGGAAAUGACUCGUGAAAAGAAUUUGCAAGAAAUAACUCAAAAGGUUGAUGGCCAAACCUUAGCUUUUCCUUCAGUACACCACGUAAUCAACAGUAGUGAGCAAUAUUCCCAGUAGCCCCAAAACCACUCCUAGGUAAUUCAAACAAUACUUGUUAUCCCCUACCAAAGGUGCCAAUGUAGAAGUUGCAUUAGCAACCAACCAAAACCAUGAAGAUCGAGCUAAUCCUCUAGAACCAACUGCCCAAAUGGUUGACAAUGGUAACAACUCCACCCUUGUUGCUCAACACCAAUCAUAGAUACAUCCCACAACCUCAUCCCCAAUUUUCUAUUAAAGUUUCCUUGAACUUUGAUAAGCCAAACCAUACAAAAAAACUACAAACCUCCAGCUAAAACUGCAAAAGUCCCUUCACAUGCACAACCAGUAGUGUAGUCCCUUCCAACCACUAAUAGCACCACUCACUUACUAACCCCAACAUGAAAACCAAAGCUUUAGCAAAUUGACCUUCCCCUCCUUCUCCAACUUCAGCUAGACAUGAAGUUGAAGUUGCUCUAAUCCAGUUCACUCCACCAAUCAUCAUAACAAAACAAGGUAAGCUUGCUGUCAUCUUGAAAUGGGAGGAUUACAUGGUUAAAUUACUGACAGAUGCAAGUAUACUGUGGUGGUAAGUUCCUCAACACCAUGCCUAAAAUGGAAGUAAUUACAAAAAGUUUCAUUGCUUAGACUGAACUCAGGGGUGGAGUCAAGAUUGCCCACUUCAAUGCUAGGACUGUGUACAUAGACUUAGAUAAUGAGUAUGAUCACUCAACAAUGUGGACCAAGCAAUACAUGUAUAUACAAGGCCAAAUGAUGAAAUUGGAAGCAUGGAAUCAUGUCUAUUAGCCCAAUGAAGACUCUCCAAUUGUUCCUAUUUGUAUUGUCAUUCAUGAAUUGCCUUGGAAUCAUUAGUACAUGGAAAUAAUCACUAAAUUACUGUCUCCAGUUGGUAAAUCCAUGUUCCUAGAAUUGGCUUCAUUUCAAAAAACAAGAAGCAAUGUUGUCAAGGUAAAAAUACAGAUAGACCUCACCAAAGAAAGGCCUUCCUAUGUAUGGUUUGGACAUGAUAAAAAUGUAAAUGAAGAUGGUCAAUGGCUUGAGAUCCAAUAUGGCAAUGUAUCUGAGUACUACACAUAUUGUAGACACCAGAGACAUUCUAUUCAUGCUUGUCCAGUGAAGAAAAUAGAUGAUAAGUACAGAAAAAAGGAAGAAGAUGCAGCUAUUUCCGGUGAUCCACAACCUUCAAGGAGCAUCAAUGACAUAGACCAUAUAGGGGUAACAAGACAACAACAAAUAAAGGCAUAUAAGGGCACACCAAACAUCCUAAGGCAAUACCAAAGCAAAAACCAAAAUGCUACUGAAUCACAAAAUAAUGAAGAGCACCAAAGUUCAGGAGUUGCUUCUUC
rnacentral:lncRNA from 1 species